rnacentral:lncRNA from 1 species
UAAAUAAAUCCAAAUAACUGUAAGAUAAAGUAAUUACUAAACACUUUAACUGCUUAACUGCUACAUCACAACUGUAACAAAAUAGUUUAAUGAAUCUAAGCUAACUGGUUUCGUCAUUUGAUUUUCAGCUGUUUAUAACAAGGAAGAUGAUAUUGGAACCUAUACUAUCAAAGCGGUUGAUGAUCCCAGAACCUUGAACAAAAUCCUUUACAUUAAACCCCCUGGUAAUAUUUACUCAUUCAAUGAUCUUGUGUCCUUGUGGGAGAGAAAGAUUGGCAAAACCCUCGAAAGGGUGUACGUUCCGGAGGAGCAAGUCCUAAAGAAUAUUCAAGGUUAGCUAGAAUUCUUACUUUUUAAAUUUUAUCAAAGAGAGCAAUAAAUUUUGUGCCUUAUUAGUACUGCCUUCUCCGAAACGUUGCAGAAGCUGCACCUCCAGUCAAUGUGAUAUUAUCAAUUCAGCACUCUGCUUUCGUGAAGGGAGAUCAAACCAAAUUCCAGAUUGAACCAUCGUUUGGAGUUGAAGCCUCGCAGCUUUAUCCUCAAGUCAAGUACACUACAGUUGAUGAGUAUCUCAGUCAGUUUGUGUAACCCUUCUCUGUUGAGCUGCAGCUUGCAGGAUCUUGGGAAAUAAAUAAUUGGCUUGUUGCCAUCUUUGGUUUCUAUAUGUAAGCAUUAUGGUUGUUGGCCUUACUUUCGUUUGGUUCUCAAUGGAAUUUGUAACACGAUAUUAUGUCCGCUAUGUCAGUACACAGUGAUUAAAUAAAGUAGCUCCAUGUGCUUAAUCUAAAAAUAAUUAUAAAGUCACAAGCACCUAAAAGUUAAACAACAAUGAUAUGCUUACAACAAUGUGUACGACAUCUAAUACAACAAGGAUCAUUUUGCAAAAUAUGUUAAAUUUUAUUAAUUUCUUUGCUGCCCAAAGAUUUUUAUAUUCAUCUUAGGGACCUAUAAUCUUAAUGAAUCAUCUCUUCUUCCAUUUCUCCUACAUCUAUCCUUAAAGCCUUUUAAAGUUUUAACUAUUAUUUUAUAAACUUUUAAAUGAUUAUCAAACUUAUAUAGAUCUAUAAAUUCUAGAUGAGAUCCUAUAUUUAUGAUCAUUUACCUCUUUUGUAACAUGGACCAAAUUUUUUCUUUUAACAUUUCUAUACACACACACACACAUCUAUUUUUCCAACUAAGGAUUAUGUCAUCAAGGCUUUCACAGAGAGGUUGCAAUCUAAAUUUAGCUUCUUGAAUGAACAUAUUCAUAUUAUCAUUAUUAUUAUUCAUUAGUUAUGGUCGGUUUUGAGUUCUAUUAUUAGUUCUGCACCUAUCUUGUAUUAUUUCAAGACUAGACAAAAUUGAUUCCAUUAAUGCUAUCCUAUUUUCCUCUUCAAAGGAAUCAAAUACUUCUUGGUCGUUAUGGAUGUUAAUUCUUUUCAUUUCUUUGGACAAGCGCUUGCUUGCAUUCGAUCUGAUUUUAACAAUAGAAAUUGUAUAAACAACUUGAUAUUCUUAACUGAAAUAUAAAUUAUCAAUUGAAUCUAAAAACUUGUUAACAGAUGUUUCCAUUUUUUUGAAUUUGAGUUAAUCUUAUCACUUUUUUUCUUAUAAAAUCUCAAAAAACAAACAAGACCCAAUAUACUUCCGUUUGUUGCUAAAAUAAAAAAAAAGGUUCAAAAUUACUAUCUCUCGGAAUUCUAAGAUAGAUUCACUAAUUGCCUCCAACCAUAGAGAGGUCCAUAGUCAGCACUGCUAUAAGUCCACACAUCAUGUAAGAUCAACUUAGCAACUAUUCUACACGGCCUAAUGCAACACAUAGCAGUUUGGCCUUGUAAGAUAUGUCUAAGUGAAUUUCUUGCAAUUGUCUCUGGAAAAGUACUUAAUAACAAGAAAUCUUCCUCGUCUAACACAAGUAUUGGCCUGUAAGCUUCUUAGUUAAUUUCUAACAAAAUAUAUGAUAUCAGGAAGAUGAUAAUUUCACUUAAAAGAGUUUUUUAUUUAUUUUAUAACUAGAAAUGUUUGCAAAGGAAAGUCAUAGAGAAUACAAAUGUGGGUGAAGGUUUAGACAUAUGAUGUCCUCCAUUUCUUACAUGUUUCGAUUUAUAAGCUUGAAGAGAUAAUAUUAUCUCCUCUUACAUGACACUUGUUAAAUUUUUCUAGUGGAUUGUGGAUUCCUUUAUGAUAAGGUGACCCCUAUCUUCUUCUAUCAUUAAAGACAUAUGUUGUCAUCUUUUUCUUAUUGACUAGCAGCCUUCACAUGGUUAUGAUAAGCUUUAUCUUUUUGGAAUCUUUUCUUAUCUUUUCACAUGCCAAUUAUCAGUUCUUCAUCUAGCGGCAUGUCUUCCCCAUUAGAUUCCCAUUUUGAUCCUUUGUAGCAAUAACCAUAUGAUGACUGAUGAUUUAGCACCUUGCAUACCUCGUGGUGUGUUAGCAAGCUAGAUUCCACGAGAUUUUCAUAGAUUGCAUUUUUCUGUUUUAGUAUUGCCUAUUGUUGGAUAUAAAUUCAAUUGUUAGUGGUGUCAAUGUGCAAGUGUACACAACAAGUAGUAAAGUGAUGAGUAAUCAAGAUCGUAUCCAUAGGGAUUGAUGUUAUUAGACUUACUACAACAAUCUUAACAGUGCAGAUUUUUUUUCUAAAUUAAAAUAAAUAAUUGAUGAAACUAAUGUACUAAUUAAAAUAAAAACACAAUAAAUAAAAUGCAAUAAAGUAGAUUAUCACGUCAAAUUCAAGGAUAAAACCAAUGGGAAUAUAGAAUAGUUUAGUGAAUAAACUCUCUUAAUGGUCUUGACUAUUUUCUAAUGUUUGGCUCGGUUGUUGCAGCAUCUGCUAUAGCACUGGGAAGAAUCCUUAUGUAUCCUCAGCUGUCGCAUGUUGGAUGUCUUAUAUCUAUAUGCAACUUAAUAGUGAUCAAUUGUUAUGCCAACAUAAGAUAUAGCAUUACACGUUUAGGUUUUAAUUACCCUACAAGAUUGAUUAACACUAAAAAGUGUACGUGUAAUAAGGAUAAAAUUAUUAGUUUUUCACUUAAAGUGUUGAUUAAUGCACGCAUAACUUAUAAAUUAUAUGAAUGCACCCCAAAUAAAUUUUUGUGUUAAAUUAAUUCGCAAUAUGUUAAUUUUUAUCUUAUAAAUAUUUUUCAGGAAUAAAUUAGAAUUGAAAGCGGGAACAAAGAAGGACUGCUGGAGCAAUUUGGAAGCAUUAUUGAGGAGAUGUAAAUAAAGAAAAAAAUAAAAAAUAAAAAAUAAAAAAUAAAAAAUAAAAUAUAAAAAAGAAAAUGAAUAAAAAAAAUAAAAAAAGAACAAAAACCAAGCAAUUUAGUUUCUCAUGAUGGCCACUUGACCAUUACACAUUUCAAUGUACACAUAUAAUAAUAAUAAUAAUAAUAAUAAUAAUAAUAAUAAUAAUAAUAAUAAAAUAAAUAAAGAUAAUGCAUUCCUUGCCUAUAAAAGGCAAGGAAAAGCAGAGAGCUGGGCAUUGAGAAGUUAGAGAACUGAGUAGAGACAGCUUAAGCCGAAAGAGAAUAGAGUGCAGCUGAGGAAUUGUGUCUUUUUCUUCUUUUGUUGUAAUCAACUUUCUUGUAACGUAUUUCCAAAGUUUAUCAAAUAAAUAGAGUGUUGUAUUUUCUUUCAGUAUGAAUGACUAAUUUUAUUAAGCUGAGGUGAAGAGUGAAGCUCAAUAUUUCAAACUAUUAAAUUUAUUAUUUUCUCAAAUGAGUUUUAAAGUUUAUUUUGUUCUUUUCUAGUUAUUUUUAUGUCAUGUUAAUUUAGAAAUUUCUUUAGGAUUUGUAUAGUAUUUUGACACAAUGUCGACACAUUAAUAUAGUGUGGCAUAUUAGGUACUUUAUUCCAUAUUUAUCCACACACAUAGAAUUAAAUGAUAUAAUAAUUAACUGGUAAAAGUGAGGUAAAAUAUAAAUGCGAGAGUAUUAAAAUUAUAGUUUGAAUACUGAGAGUGGAUAUUGUAACCUUAGUAUAUUUUUAAAUUGUUUUCAAAUAAUUUAUUUUCCCACAAUUAAUUUUCUUUGUUUAAUAAAUUGACAACUAGAUUUUAAAAUUUCCUAUGGUUCGACCCCGGACUCACGGGUUAUAUUAUAAUUAGACACUCUUAUACUUGGGAGUAAUACACUUUUAAGUUGUGUCAAAGGUGAAUCUCUAUGUCUAGUUCAUCACUAAUUUUAGAUUAAGCAUGACCCUUUUGGGAUUAAAUAAAACUCAAUCCAAGAAACCCAAUCUAAUACCAAGUAUUGCUAUGAUAUGCUUCACUAAGAUAAGCCCUUGUGUGGCUCUUUUUUAGCUAGUAUCAUUAAAUGGGUGAUCAACCGAAAUAAAUAAAAAUAAAUAUUAUCAAAAUAAAAUAUUACAGCAAACAUGCAGCAACUCAUAUAUUCAGUCAAUAAACCAUCAAAAUUGCUUAUCACUCAACCACAAAUAAAUCUAGUUCACGGUUUGAAAAAGAAAAAUAAAGAACAAAGUUUUAGCCAUCAAACACAUUCCCAUGAAUAAAAAGUAAACAUGAAAAUAAGAGAAGAAUAAAAAGGACUGAGUUCCCGCUUGAUUUCUACAAAUUCUCCUCUUGUGCAGCCCUUAAUCUCUCUCUUAAAUUUUUUUUUCUUUUGUUUCUUUGUGGUUUUUCUCCUUGGGUGACAGCUCUUUCUUUUCAUUAUGAUGUGUGCUCCUUUUGUAGUUGAAAAUUAGGGUAAACAGAAGCAUAGGUCGUGCAUAAGUCAGAUUAGGAAAUUGCAAAUCACAAUAUUCUGUAAAAUUUUCUCUGUCAUCGUUCCAGAAUUGCUACAGCAACGAAUGUUAUGCUGCAGCAACGAUUGCUACAGUAAUUACUACAACAACUGCACUGUUCUAGAUUUAUUUCAAUUCUUCUGUAGUCAAGUUCUUUUUCAUCUUUUACAAGACUAUUACAACAACAUUCCUUUCUUGAAAUUUGAGCUUCCGGUCACCUACAAUUAUGCAUAUAAUUUAAGCACACAAUUUAUUCUAAAUCAAACAAAAUUUAUGAAGAAUAAACUAAGAUGAAUGAUUAUGCAAAAUAUAACUAAAAUGCAAUAAAAAAACAUGUUAUUUACUCUCAAAGUAAUCUUGAUUUAAGUCUAAAAGUGUCAUGAUAACUCUCAUUUUAUAAAGUUAUCACCUAUCUGGCUAAGAUACUUUCUUUUCUACUAAAAAAAAAGAUUAUAUGGUCCUUUGUGGCUUCAUGGAGCCAUAUUUUUUUCUUACUUAUCCUCUCGAGAAAUUCAUGGAGGACUUUCAUUUAAAUGAUCUCUUUGCUCGUGAGAGCUUUAGGCUCGAAUAGUUUGGGAUAAUAAUCAUUGUAGACCUGACCUACAUCAACAGUUGGACUAACUUUUUUACUACUAAUCCCAACUUAUAUCUAUGUGCUGCACUGGAUACCAUUUGUUAUUACAGUGUUCAGGGAAAGCAGUGAGAAUCUUGAAAAAAAUCAUAUCUCUUGUUUUAGAUAUUCUUUUGAGAUCACUGACAGCCUUUGUAAUUUUUUCGGGGAGCUUUUUUAAUUCCCUACAUAAACAAGGUUAAAAAAACUAUAUUCAAACAUUUCUUUUAUUAAUUUUGCAUCAGCUUCUGGACCAAAGUUAAUCCUUAGGUAAUAUCCUAAAUGAUUCGGUAUUAUAGCUUGGCUAGGACAAAUCCCAUAGGCUAUUUUACCAAUUAUUUUACAAUCAUAAGUGUAAUUGCUUCCUAGUGGAAUUUUAACCAUUAGAAUGGAUUGUUCGCUUUUAUCAUAUUGAGGCCUUAAGCUCACUGAAGAGGUUUAAGAUUCUUUUUUCUUUUGAGUUAUAUGAAGAACUCUAGGUAGUCUGCCCUUCAGUUUGAUCCUUGAAAUGGAUCUUUUUUAGCUUAUUACUAAUAUAUUGUUAUAAAGUCUGGACUUCUGGAUGAUUUUGCAAACUUUUGUCAGGGCAAAGUCAGCUCAAUUCUUCAUGGGCAGCAUUAAUCAUGACAAGCCCAUCAUAAAUCAUACUAUUGCCUUUGAGAAGCAAUUCUUGUCCUUUAGAGCACAUCAUUAUGCCCUUAAUUAUUUCGGAAAGACUCCUCUCCAUGUAUUCUCGGCUAAGAAAAUCUGCAAUACAAGGGUUAGGUCAUUUAAUAUAUUCAAUUCAAAAAUCAUAUUUAGUAAAGAACUGCCGCCAUCUAAUUAAUCUUUUAUAUUAAGGGAGAUUAGACAAUUUAUUAAAUAUAAAUCCUUUGACUCAAGUGUUAUUAGAUCUUACCUUGAAUUUCUUUGGUAGCAAAAAGAAAGUAAAUUUAGUUAUUCCAUUUUUAAAUAUAAAUGUUUCGCUGACAUAUCUGCAAAUCUUUUCUUGAUCUAUUUUUAAAACUGCACCCCAAUGAUUAUCUGAAGCAUUAGUUUCAAGAAUUAAAUUAUCACUAGUGGUAGGAAAUCCUAAUCUUGGUAGAUUUUUACAUUUUUCUUUUAAUCUUUUUCCCACUUUGGUAUAAAGAUCUUCCCAUGAUUUUAUAUUGUUCUUUUUUAAUAAUCCUUGUGAAAGUUGUUUUUCUUUAACUAAGUUUUAUAUGAAACCUUCAGCAUAAUUAAGGCAUCCUAAAUAUCUUUGAAUUUGUUCUUUAGAUUCUAAUUUAUCUAGGAAUAAAUAUAUAUUUUCAAAAAUAUGAGGUUGCAUCUCAAUACCUAUUUCAUCUAUUAUUAAUCCUAGAAAUUCUAUUCUAGGUUUCAUUAUUUCGGCUUUCUUUUUAGAAAGUAAUAUUCCAUGUUUCUUUCAUUUUUCUGUAAAAGAAACGAGAUGAUUAAUAUGAUCUAUCUCAUUAUCUAAAUAUAUUAGAAUAUCAUCCAUAUAAACAAUGCAAAAUUCAUGAAAUUCUUUGAAGAUUUUAUCCAUCCUUCUUUGAAAUAUUUGUGGUGCAUUUUUUAAUCUAAAAAGCAUCACAAUCCAUUUAUAUUGUCCUUAAGGUGUACUAAAGGCAGUAAGUGGUAAUACUCUCUUCUACAAGUUUGAUUUGCCAAAAUCCAUAUUUGCAAUCAAACUUGCUAAAUAUCUUUUUAUUAAUUACAAAGGUAAUUAAUAUAUUUUUAUGAGGUAAAAAGUAUCCAUCAAAUUUGGUAUAUUUAUUUAAUUAUUUGUAGUUAAUAACCAUACGAGCUUUUCCUCAUUUAAUCUCUACAUGAUUCCUAAUCAUAAAGAUUGUACUACUAUGAGGACUUUUAAAUUAUCGAAAAAUCUUAAGUUCUAAUCUCUUUAAUUUGUUUAUCAAUUUUUUGUCUAUCUUCUUGCCCAUAUCUCAUAGGCUUAACACAUAUAAUAACAUUUGGAUCUUUUAAUUCGAUCUUAUCAUAUGCUUUAUCAAUUUCCCAUAAUUGAAUGGGGUUUUCACCAAAAUUUUUAUCAAGUUUUUCUAAAUUUUUUUCAUAAUUUGAUAUGAUUUGAUUGAUUUUUAUAGCAUAAUUACCACGCUAGUUGUGUUGAAAAUGUAAUUUUUGAGUUGUUCACCUAACAGGGUUAUAAAUUCUUGGUGUAGUAACGGAAUGAUUACAUGAUGUUUUAAGAAUAAUUAUUUCGUUAGUCAUUGUAUAAAUGAACUGAUGAAGGAAAUUAAUUCCUAAAAGUAUAUCUACACAUAUAUGAUCAUAAGACCAUAAUAUAGGGAUACUUAGGAUAUAAUCUUCUAUUUGGAUUAAAGUCUUAAUCCUACAUGUCCUUAAGGUGAUCUAUUUAACAUUUAUUCCUUGUCCUGUUAAAGGCUUAUAAUCUUUCCAAUAUGAUUUUGGAUAAAACCUAGAAUUAGCUAAACUAACUCUUGAACCAGUAAUAAUUAAAGCAUGAAACCAUUCUCGCUUAUGCUUAUAGUAUGGUAUGAUCAUUUUUAUAUGAACUACAAAAAGAUUAGACAUAUCUUGAUAUGGUUUGCUUAAUCCCUUCAAUUGUUAUGCUUAUUUCUCUAUCUCUUAUGCAAUAAGGAGAGAAAUUUUCAAAAAAAAUUCAUCCCUAAUAAUAAAGGAUUUAUUUUUGUUUCAUAAUUUGAUUCUAUGAAAAAAAGAAAGAUAAAUUCUAUUCCUUUUAUUCUUAAUGGUAUUUCACACUACUGACUUAAUGUCUUUCUUUCUCCAUUAAAGCCUACAUAUGUAUGAGGUUCAAUUAGAAUCUUUCUUUCUAAAUAUUUAAUCAUUUUGGCAUCAGCAUAAGAUUUUACUACUCCUGUAUCAAGGAUAGCAAAAGUCUCAUGGCAUGAUUUUCUAUUAUUCUAUUCAAUCUUGAUUUUUAAGUUUUGAUUAUUUUUCUAACUGUGGCCGAUAUUUCAUGUGAUAGUGGUAUGACAAGAUGGUUACAUCUAGUAUAACUUUGGGUUCUACUUAAUUAUGGUUCUAUUUUGAGUAUAGAGAAUGAUCUUCUAUUUCCUAUGAUGAUUCUUCCUUCUAGAGUAUAUUCUAUGGGUUUAGUAGUAUUUCCCCUUAUCAGAGUAGGUUGACUACUUAGAUCCAUUUCCCAUUCUUCUGGUAAAUUUAUUUCUCUUAAAAUUUUAAGAGAUUGUGUCAUUCCAACUUUCUUAACUAAUUUAUCUAUUUCAAUAAAAUCUUUAUUAGCAAACAUUUCACUAUUGGCUGAAUUUGUUAAUGCAUAUUCUAUGGCAUACGUUAUGCUAUAUGGAUAAGAUCUAUCAUGCAUUAUAUCAAAGUAUUUAAAAUUACGGCAUAAGGUUAAUUUAUUUAUAUUUCUAUCUCUAAAACUUAUAGAAUAUAUGGAAUAUAUCUUAAAUAUCAAUUUUUUUUUUAUAACUCAAGUUCUUUAUAUUAUUCCAAGGAGUGCAUGUUUUCGAUCUUUUAUUCUAUUAUCAAGUACUGCUAAAUUUACAGGACUAUCUAUUUCUUUUCGAAAAUGAGCUUUUAUCAUGACUUGGAUUCUUCCAAUAUGGACAUAUCCAAUCUUAGGUCUGUCGCUAGAUUUUAUCUUUUAUAUCAGAUUUUAAUAAUAAUGGUAUAUUUUGUAUUUCCCCUAGCAUACCUAAUUUCAACAAGCUCUUCUCACACAGUAGCACUAGAAUACGUUAUAUUUUUUCUUUUAAUCAUGUUAGCAAUUCCUUGUGCUAACUUAUUAAUUGAAGUCAUGGAUGAUUCUAAUCCUUUUUUUUUAAUCUUAAGGUAUUGUUUUUUUUAUCAAAGAUUAAUUCUCUAUUAAAAGAACCUUAUUCAUUAAUUCUCUAUUAAAAGAACCUUAUUCUUCUAAUUCUUCAUCCUGAUAUAAAUCUUUAUUAUCUUGUUCUUCUAUACUCAUUCUGAAUCUGAACUACUUGAAGUUUCUUCAGAAAGAUAAUAUAUAUUAUCGUUUUCACUAAUAUCUUCUCUAUUUGUAAUUAAUUCUAAAUUGUUGAAAUCCUCAAACAUCUUUAUGUUUGCUUUCUUCUUUUUAGGACAUUCGUUUGCAUAAUGCCUAUCGUCAUUGCAUAACCAACAUUUAGAUGCAUUGGUCUUAGAUUUUCUUUUAAAUUUAUUUUUCUUGUAGAAUUUCUUCUUAUAUUUACUUUUGUUGUAAUAUUUCUUGUUGGUUUUAAAGAAUUUCUUCCUACGUUCAUAGAUUUUAUCUGAACAUCCAAAUCUUGGUGGAUCUUCUAACUUAGAACAACAUAAUCCUCGAUUUUGCUUUUUUAUAAGUCUUUUAUCUCUUAUUUCAGCACACCAUUCGCUGAUUCUAUUUCCAGUAAAUCUGAUCUUAUUUCCUAAGGUAUUAGUUUUCGUUGUAUCUUCAUAUUUCUUGUUAUAUUCUAACAUAAUCUUUUUCCCCUAUAGGUCUGGUAUCUUUAUAAAAUAUAGAUCAUUAUAAUAGCAUAUGAUAUUUUCAUGUUUAUCAAAUUCACAUUUAUAAUAUAAUUUUUCGAGGCUACAUGUGUAUUCUUCUAAAUAACAUAUAUUACAUAUUUUAAGCCUUAUUAGCUUUAUUACAUUUUCCAUCAUUUUCCUCUUUAUUUCCUGUUGAAAAUUAGUUUCCUAAUCUUCUCCUAAGAAUUCUUUCCUUAUUUCAUUUUCAAAUUUAUUUACGACUUGAUCCAAGCUUUCGUCAUGAUCAUUAUUUUCUCCAUAUAAUAUUUUAUUUUUGUCGGUAUCCUUUAAUUCCAUAAACCAAUGUGACACUAUUCCUAUAAACGAAGUUUUAAGAAAUCCUAUACCAUUAUUUCUAUCUAUUUUGUUAAAUGCAAAUGCCUUUUUCAUAGAUUUAACCCAAGCGGUAAUCGUUUAGUCUCUAUCUUUGACACAGUCUAAAUCCAACCAUACUCCAUCAUAGUUGAUUGGUCUGUCUCUGUAUUCUCUUGGAGUUUUAUAUAUAUUUUUUUAGGUUUGUUAACCCUAAAAUAUUGACCUUGUGGUUUUCAUGAGUUGGUAUUUCUUUCCUAGCAUAGGAACCUCUAUUACUAGAUUCCCUUUGUUCAAAGACCCUUGGCUUUGAUUCAUUCAUUUUUAAAUGUUCUAUUCUAUUUUCAAUAUCUUGUAAGUUAAUAAAUACAUCUUCUUCCUCUUCAGAUUCAUAUUCUUUAUCGGAUAUCUCUGGAUUAGAUAAUUCUUUUAAUCCAUUAUCUAUAUUUUCACUUAACAUCCUUAAACUUAUUAAUUUUUAUCUUCAUUUAUUUUGUUAAAUAUUGGUCUUGAUAUUGCUACCAUUUUUUUAUUUUUCUUUUCAUCGUAGUAAAUUAUGGUAUCUUCUAAAAUUUUAUUUUUUUCUUGAAUUACCAUGAGUAGUUCUUCCAUAUUGUUACUAAUCUUUUGUACUUCAAUCCUUUUGUAAUUUUCCAUUUAUACUUAUUGCAAACUUGUUACCAAGUUGUUCAAUGAUUUUUUCAAUUUUAUAUAAUUGAAUUUCUAUCUUAUUUAAUUUAUCUUCAAUUAAAUUUUUGUUCAUGACAUUAAAGAUUUCUUGUCUGAAUCUAAUCUUAAUCUUCAAUUUUGAAGUCUUUUAUUAAUUGUUUGACUGAAUCAAAUUCUUCACUUAUUUAAUCUCCUAACAUUUUAAUUUAUCUUAUAUUUUGAGCAUUAAAACUUUUAAUUUCAAGUAUUUCAUUUGUACUUUCUAUAUCAUUUAUGGUUAAAUUAUGAUUUCCUAAUUUAUUUAAUAAACAUAGUGAAAUCCAGUUUAACUGAUUAUUUCCCCAAAAAUCAGAAUCAUUUACCAAAUUAAAUGGUUGAAAUCUUCUAUAAGUAAAUUCUCUAUGCCUACAACUAGACGGUGGAAAUUUAUAGGUUUCUAUGUUUUGUGAAAUUAUCAAUGGUUCUAUAAUUUAUUCAUAGUACCAUCUGCAUAAUAUUUCAUUAUAUGCUAACAAGUAUUUGUGACAUAUAAUAUCUCUUAUAUCGUUAGGAAUAUUGUUUUCUUCUAAUCCUUUAUAUAUAUAGCAAUAUACAUAAUAAAAUUUUUAUAUCCUAUCAGCAUGUUACUAGAAGGAUAGUAUUUACUUCUAAUCCUUUUAUUAUUCCAAUUGUAUUCAUUUCUUUGCUUAAUAGUUAAAAAUAUAUUAUAAUCAAUCACAAGUUCGUCUGUAUAAUUCUCAACAGAAUUAAUAUUCCAUUUUUUUUCAUGAAAAAUUAUUUCUAUAAACCUCUCUCCUAGUUCUCAAUAGGAGAAUAUGAUCUAUGUUUAAAUUUCUAUUCUUUAUUAUUAUGAGUUCUCCAAUUCUAAAUUCAUGAACUUGGGAUAAAUACAAUUGUUCUAAUUGUUUAUCAUCCAAUCUAUUUUGUUUUGAAUAAUAAUAUUGUGUAUGUUUAGUUAUGUUAUCCUUAAUUGUAUUACUAUCUAUCAUUAGAUUCUAUCCUCCAUUAUUUAUAAAAUAAACAAUCGUUUCUUCCAUUUUUAUAUUUUGAACCUAAAACUUGCCUUUGAUACCAAUUUUGCGAAUAUUUUUCAACCCAAAAUUCAAAUAAGGAUGUAAAUGAUUAAUUUUUAAAACUUUAUGAAUGCUUUGUAAUUUUGUUUUAUUAAAAGACAGUUUUAUGCAAAGUAUUGUGCAAUCUUUUGGAAGAUUGUCUUUUUCCGAAGUUAAAAGUAAUUCAUCAAUAUUUGACAUGUCAAACGCAGAAAUUAAAAGUAAUUCAUCAACAUUUGUCGUGUCAAAUUUACUUUAUGGAGGAGAAAUUGUAGGAACCAAUUUUAUGGGAUAGAAAAUUCUAGAAAUCCAAUCGAAAGAUAUUUAAUAAAUAAUUUUGUAGUAGAUUAUGUUAAAUAUAAUAUAUAAUAAAUCCAUGAGUUGUCACUCAUGACAAUUCAAUUAUUUAGUUUUGACUAACAAUAUUAUUACGUAUAACGUUAAUAUAACAUAGCAUGAGCCAUUUUAUAGUAUUAUUUUAACUGAAUUGAAAUUCUCGAAAUAAAAAAUUGAAAAGAAUGAACCUGGUGGUUGUUGUGAACCAAAAACAAGCCAGUAUUAUGCUUACAUCAUUCCAUUCUACAGUAAAGGUUAUUUAUAAUCAUAAUUAUAGCACCAAAUUAAUUGUAUUAUUAUAAGAGGUUAUAACUUAAUAGAUGUGUAAUUAUAAAAAUUAUUAUUUUAACUUAAUUAUUUUUAGUGCCAGUGAUAUGGAGACCAAAUAUGCACUAUAUUGAUAAUUAAUUAAUGUAGCAUGUCAAAUUCAAUUUAUAGACAAUAAUGAAAGAGAUACACAUAUUUAAAAAAACUAGUACGUAUAUUAUGUAAUAUUGGAAUUAUGCAAAUUUAUCUUGAAAGUUUAAAGAAUAAAUCAUUGUCCUAAAUAAUUUUAGAAAGUUAUUUUACUCCAUCUUAAACCUUUAAUACAACAUGGCAUUUUUUUUUAACAAUAUACCAAUAAUUAUUAUUAUAUAAAGGCAAAUUUCUUAAAAUCAUAUUUAAAAAAAUUAUAAUUCAUUAUAAUAUAGAGUUUAUUCUUAUUUAUAACUACUAGGCUUAAUAAUAGAACGAGUUGUACCCGAGCCAUGCCAAGACCUAGCCCAACCCUAUGACUAGAAUGAAGGGAUCUUUUUAUCAUUAUAAUAACUACCUUUCAUCAAUUUUUUUUUUAAAACUAUAUAAAGAUUAUUCUUACAUGAAGUAACAAUACAAGGCCCUCAUUAAGAAAUGAACCUGGACGACAUUAGGGCCUUUAUCCACAAACAAAAUUUCAAAACAUACUUAAAAAAAAAAAUCCAACACAUCCGUUAAGUACAACUUUAACAUGGUCACAUGAAAUUUGUGGGGUUAAUUUAUUUAAUUGUAUGCACCCGUUUGGUUUCAUUGAUCUCAUGGCUCAGGUUGAUAGUUAUUAAGUUAUGAGUCAUGAUUACCUAAAAUUUAUUUGGUUAUCCGUUAUUCUAAUGUUGUAUUUAAACCAUAAAACUAGAGAUAACAAAAUUUAUGAGAAGUUUUGUCUUAUCACAAUGUCUAUUACUGAAGAACGUAGUCCUCUUGAAUAACCAUGAUAAUUUAUUUAAUUUCUUUUGCUCUAUCUUAAACAUAUUAUAAUUGUAGUCAAAGUUUUGAUAGUAAAAAUAUAAAUAAAUAGAUAAAACAAAUGUGUCUAUUUCCAUAACUAAAGGGGUGUAUAUAUACAUUUGGACCAACCGAUAAAAUUUAGAUCAUGACAUUAGGUGAAAAUAAUCUUAUUUUAUUUUCUUUAGAUUAUGUUGGAGUUGUAACUUGCAAUCGAACAAUUCUCGAUUGAUUUAACAAAUGACCUUAAGGCCAUGUUUGCUUGGGGUAGAGAAGUGGGGAGAGGAAAAGAAUUUGAUUUCUUUUAUACUUUCCAUUGUUUGGUUAGACUAAAUUUAAUGGAAUUGAAUUUCCAUCAAUUUGAAGAAUUUGUAUUCCUUAUCAAUGAAUAAGGAUUUCAAAUUCCUUAUCUAUUUAAACACAAAAAUUCUAAUAUUAUCCUCUAAACAAAAUCAAUUUUAAAUAAAUGAAAGUAAAAAUAAUUUAUAUUUAUUUUCUUAAAUUAAUAGAAUAAACUUAUUUGAAAAAAGAAAAAACAGUAAAGGGACUCCCCAAAAAGUCACCGGAGUUUCGCCGGAGACGCGCUUUACCAUCAAAACCGGUACCGAUGGAAUCCUUAUGAGUCAAUCUACAACUCUAUGGGGUUAGAAAUGCUAAUAUACAUUGUUAUUUACCUCAAGUCUUAUUUAAAUGUUUGGGAAAAUUUUAACUCUCAUAUUUCCAACUAUAUAGUGUAUUUUCUUCAAAAUUAACAUUUCUAAUGAGUAAAUCAUCCAUUUAUGAUCAUUAUUAUGCAUUUAACGCGAUGAAAAAUGGAGGUCAAUGAUGGUCAAUGGCACCGGUCAAUGGUGGUUAAUGGAGGUCAACGUGGCAGCUGUCCAUGGCCAAAUGCUGUCAUUUUUAAAAAAAAUAAAAUUUUUUAUUUAAUUAGGUAAUUUUUAGAUUAAAUUAAUUCAUAAUUUUAUUAUGUUUUAAUUUAUUAACAAUAUUAACAUUAAAGAUAGUGGGUAUAUAUUUGUCCAAAUAAAAAAUAUGUAAUUUCUUUUCCUUUUAAAUUUUAUGUGAAACCAAACAAUAACAAUUAAUUUUUGUACUCUUUUCCUCUCACCACCUCUCCAUUCCUCUUUUUUUUUUUUUUUUUCUCCUCUCCUCUCCUCCCAUUUCUUAAAACCAAACACCUCCUUCUUAGGAGGUGUUUGGUUUUGUAAAAUGAAAAAUUCUAUAAAUAUGAUUUUGUUGAAGCCUUAAAUAAACCAUACAGUCUGUGCCGCGUAGAAUGGGAUACAGAAUUUUGUAUUUAGCUUGCAUGCAAAAUGCAACAUGCUUACGUGUGUCUAAUUUUCUAAAUAUCUCAUCCAUGCGGCAGCUAGCUUAGCCUUUUUAUAUUGAAUAAUUGAUCAUACAAGUGUAGUUUGUUAGUUUUACGCAACCCACGUAAAUCAAUUUUAUUACGCAAGAAUUAUUGAGAAAUCGCAAAUUAAGUUGAACUGGUCCAUGGUCAGAUGGUCUCGUCUCGUCUCGUCUCACCACUUGGUAUUGAUGCCAUGGGAAAAGAGUAGUUGGUUACUUGAUUUUUUAGACUUGGGGUGGCAUUGAAAAAGAUUGUUGAAAAGGAAUCGAGUGAAUCAAAUCGAAUUAGUUUGUCUUUCUGUACAAUACAUCCCCCAUUAUCUAGCUUAUUCAGUCUUGAGAAUUAUUAUCUGAUUUUGAUCCCCCAUUUAAACUUUUUGCCAAGACUAUCCUAGAAAUUGAUUUGUUUAUCAUUGCUUCUUGGUCCUUACGGUCUUUUAUGAAUCACAAUCAAUUUAAUCAUACAUAAAAAUACGGGUACAAGCUGGUUAGCUUACACGCUUCCUAUAUAAGAAAGGUACGGGAAUCAGAUUCAAAAUAUCCAUCCAUUCAUAAUUUAAAAAAAAAAAAAAAAAACUCCGGAAUUGAACUGAACGAGUUUCAGACAUGGCAUCGAAAUCCAAGAUUCUAUCCAUCGGCGGGACAGGGUAUAUCGGUAAAUUCAUCGUGGAAGCAAGCGUUAAAGCUGGUCACCAGACACCAGACGUUCGUGCUCGUGAGAGAAUCCACACUCUCUGAUCCCUCCAAAUCUCAACUCCUCGACCACUUCAAAAACCUCGGCGUCAAUUUCGUUAUCGUGAGUUAUCAUUUUUUUAUUUUUUUAAUUCCAUUAUUUUGACCCGUGGCAGUGUAGUAUCUACUUGAAAGACUUAGUAUUUUUAUUUUAUUUUAUUUUAUUGGGUGCCGUUAUUAUUAUGCAGGGAGAUGUUUUGAAUCAGGAGAGUUUGGUUAAGGCGAUAAAACAAGUGGACGUGGUGAUAUCAACAGUUGGUCACACUUUAAUAGCCGAUCAGGUCAAGAUUAUUGCUGCCAUUAAAGAAGCCGGCAACGUUAAGGUAUGACAUAAUUAUAAAUAUCUUGGAUCAGGAUUGUGCACUUGCGCACACGUGGUGAUUUAUUAUUGGCGUGGAGCUCGUUGUAGACUAGAGCUCCCUGUUCCGCCAAUAAACACCCGCUACAUGCACAAUUGCGCCCUCAAGAUAAUUUAAUUAACUAAUUAAUUAUAAACACCUAUGGCGUGAAUGCAACUAAAAGUAGCUGAUGUUUGUAAAUUAUUUAUUAUUCAGAGAUUCUUCCCGUCGGAAUUUGGGAUUGAUGAUGAUCGAAUCCAGGGCGCCGUAGAGCCAGCAAAAUCAACGUAUGUCGUAAAGGCGAAAAUCCGCCGAGCCGUUGAGGCAGAAGGCAUUCCGUAUACUUAUGUAGCAUCGUACUGUUUGAAUGGCCACUUCCUUCCCAAUUUGUCGCAGCCUGAGGCCACUGCCCCCCCUAGGGAUAAGGUCGUCAUCUUAGGUGAUGGAAAUCCAAAAGGUAAAAUAAAUUAAUUAAGCUCAUUGUUUUUAAUAAGAUUGUUGAAAAUAACCAUGUUUAAGGCUCCGUUUGUUUGGUAUAUGUUGCGAUGUUAGUGUUAUGGCCUAUUGUAGAAUGGAUGGUCUAGCAACUUAGUGUCUAUUUGGUACUGUUGUUGGAGAUUUUAAGAUAGAGUUUUAAGUGAUUACCAGAUACUGAACUGCCAUAUCAUGGCUGCCACACAACAAUUUCAAACAGAGCCUAAAUAACUUCAUUGCAAAAUAGUUAAAUGAAUCUAACUUAGUUUGGUCAUUUGAUUUUCAGCUGUUUAUAACAAGGAAGAUGAUGUUGCAACCUUCACAAUCAAAGCGGUUGACGAUCCGAGAACCUUGAACAAAAACCUUUACAUUCAGCCUCCCGGCAAUAUUUAUUCGUUCAAUGAUCUUGUGUCUCUGUGGGAGAGAAAGAUUGGCAAAACCCUCGAAAGGGAGUAUGUUUCAGAAGAGCAGCUCCUAAAGAAUAUUCAAGGCUAGUUAAAACUCUCACUUCUAAAUGUUAUUAAAGAAAGCCGCGAAUUUUUGCCUUAUUGAUCCUGUCUUCUCCAAAAUGUUGCAGAAGCUGCACCUCCACUCGGGAGGUUGUUAUCAAUUUAUCACUCUGCUUUCGUGGAGGGAGUUCAAACGGACUUCAAGAUUGAACCAUCGUUUGGAGUUGAAGCCUCGCAGCUUUAUCCUGAUGUCAAGUACACUACAGUUGAUGAGUACCUCAAUCAGUUUGUGUAACCCUUCUCUGCUUCCAGCUGCAGCUUGCAGGAUCUUGGACUCUGGGUAAAUAAAUAAUGGGCUUGUUGCAAUCUUUGGUUUUUAUAUGUAAAAAUUAUGGUUGUUGGCCUUACUUUCUUCUGGUUGUCAAUGGAAUUUGUAAGACCAUUUUAUGUUUGCUAUGUCAGUGAUCAAAUGAAGUAGGCCAUGUACUUGAUCUGAGAAUAAUUAUAAAGCCAACAUGGUCAGGUGAGUGCGUCUGUGGGGCUUUUAUUAGGGUGCGUGUGUGAGGCUUCUGAGGGGCUUGUGAUAUGGGGUCUACAGCCCCUAAUGGGCACGCGACUGCGUGCACUAAAUGAAGUUAUUAUAAAAAUAAUUAUAGAGUCACCAAGGCAAAAAUUAAAAGUAAUUUGCCAAUAAAAAUAGUUAAAAGUAAUAAAAAGUAGGUAUUAUAUUUCAAAAAUCAAUUUUUCAUUAAUGUUUAUAAGAUUAAAUUUGUUCUUAUCUUUCCUUAAUAAACACAAAAAUUUAUCGUUUUGGACUAAUUAAAAUUUUAAAACUAGCUAACAAGCAAACCGCCAUUAAUUUUUUUUUUUCCAUUUCUUUAAUCAUUCUUUUUUCUCUUUUUGACCUUUUUCUUUUUCUUUUCUUCAGUCCUUAUUUUUCUUUUCUUUUUUGGUUUUCCUCUAAACUCUUUAAGAAAGGCUGCCAAGCCUUGAAAAUAUCUCAAAAAAUAAGAUUUUCUUUCUUAAGAUUAACAUUUUAACCACAAAAAUAAAACUCUAGUCCAAACAUUGAGCACUUACAAAUCAAACGAUAAAAACCUCUUAUUAGUACAUUAACCGUAAAAUAAAAAAGAAUUAUCACAAAUAUUGAAAUGUUGUUGUUUGAUGCUUGAGAUUCUUGAAAUGUAUGCAGAAUUCCGACAAUAUUUUGUUGAAGCAACUCUCGGAAACUUGUUUGUUGAGAUUGAUGAAGAGUCCAUGGCAAGUAACCAGGCAUAUUGCAAUCCUUGUAAUUAUUCUGACCGAGAACAAUAAAACAAAAAGUGAAAACUGAAGAAAAUGAUAAGAAAACAAUAGAAUAAUAAUAUUAAAAACUCGCUAAUCUUGCCCAAUUUUUUUUUUUUUUGGAUAAUGUUCAGCGUAUACUAGAAUCUUUUAGAGCAGAAGCAAAACAGCAACAACUUUUCAAGAAAAGAAAAAAAAAAAGAAUUAUUAAAGAAAAUGGAAAAAAGAAUUAACGGCAGUUUAUUUGAUAGCUUUUAGAUAGCCAAAACCGGUGAGUUUUUGUGUUUUAAUAAGGAUAGUUAGGAAUAAAUUUAAUCCUCUCUAUAGAAUCAUUUAGUUACUAUGUGUCAAAAUCUCCUGUAAAGAAUAGGAAAAAUUAAAUUAGAAGAGGAUCCAAAUCAGGACUUGACUAGCUUACAGAAUCUGUAAGCUACGGACUGCAGCAUCAGCCGUUGGAUGUGGUUGGAUGUGGAGUGAGAAAUUAAACAAUAGAAGAUCGGAUGGUGGGAUGACGGGAGAUGUUUGUUACAGAAUCUGUACCAUAGACAGGUCCUCCAAAUCAUCAACAUCUUGGAAUAAACAAAAGAAUCUAAACAAAAGAAACUCGUUUUGCGUGUGAACCAGUUCAAGAUAAAGAGCAGACUAUUGGAAAGAGACAAAUACUACAAGAAUAACAAAACAUUCUACAGUUACUACAUAAGCCUGCAACAAUUAAUUAUUAACUCAAGAUUUAUUACACUUUUUCUUUAAUUUGACAAAGAAACCAAAAAUGAAAUAAAAUUGACAACAGCAAUGAUAUGCUUACAACAAUGAGUAUGAAACUUAGUACAACAAGGACCUUUUUGCUAAUUUUUUCAAAUUUUUAUGAUAUUUUAGAAUUUAUGGGUUUUAUUGAUUUUGAUAAAUUGGAGCAUUUCUCCAUUCAUCUUUUCUGCAUCUAUCCCUAAAUUUCUUAUCUUUGUAAAGUUUUAACUAUGUCUUUGUAAAGUUCUAAAUGAUUAUCUCGUUCAUAGAGAUCUAUAGUUAAAUUAAUUCUUGUAUUUAUAAUCAUUUGUCUCCUUUGAGACAUAGACCAAAUUUUUUCUUCUAACAUUCCUAUGUAUAUUCCUAAGCUAUAUUUCCAGCUUAGGUACAUCUUAUCUAGGAUUUCACAAAUAAAUUGUAAUUUGAGAUCUGCAUCUUGAAUCAACAUCACCAUAUUAUUAUUAUUAUUAUUAUUAUUAUUAUUAUCCAUUGUUUUAUACUCGAUUUUGGGUUCUAUUACUAGUCGCACUUGUCUUGGAUUAUUUCAAGGCUAGAUAGAAUUGAUUCUAUUAAUGCUAUCCUGUUUCCUUCUUCAAAUGAAUCGAAUAUUUUUGGAUCAAUAAUUCUUUUCAUUUCUUCAUACAAGUGUUUGCUUGUAAUUAAUCUAGUUUUAACUAUGGAAAUUGUAUAAGCAACUUGAUAUUCUUGACUAAAGUCUAGAUGAUCAAUUGCGUCUAGAAAUUUAUUAACAGAUCUUUCCAUUUUUAUGAAAUUGAGUUACUUUUAUCACUUCCUAUCUUAUAACAUUUCAGAAUACAAACAAGGCCCAACAUGCUUCCAUUUGUUGCUAAAAUAAAAGAAUAGAGUUCAAGAUUACUAACCAGUGUACAUUUCUCGGAAUUCUAAGAUAGAUUCACUAAUUGCCUCCAACCAUAGAGAGGUCUAUGGUUAACUCCGCCAUAGCUCCACACAUCAUAUAAGAUCACUUCAACGACUGUUACAUAGGCCCAACGCAACAUAUAGCAAACGGGCCUAAAAGAAUAUGUCUAAGUGAUUUGCUUACAGCUGUCUCUGGAAGAGUGCUUAGUAGUAGAAAAUCUUCUUCCUUUAGCACAAGUAUUGGCAUGUAAGGUUCUUGGUUAUUUUCUAAGAGUAUAUAAGAUAUCUGGAAGAUGACAAUUUCGCUCAAAAGAGUUUUAUUUAUUUCAUCAUUGAAAUUAUUUACAGAGGAUGGUUACAGAGAAUACAGGUGUAGGUGUAGGUGUAGGUGUAGGUGUAGGUGUAGGUGAAGGUUAGGCAUGUGAUGUCCUUCCCUUCUUACAUGUUUCUAUUUAUAAUCUUAAAUAGAUAAGGUUAUCUCUUUUACAUGACACUUGUUUAAUUCUCUUGGUGGAUUGUGGAUUCUUUCCUGAUAAGGUGACCCUUCUUCUUUUUAUCAUUAAAGACAGUGGUUGUCUUCUUUUCCUGGUGGUAGACAGCCUUUAUCUGGUUGUAGUGUGCUUUAUCUUUUUGGAAUCUUUCUUUUUGAAUUAUUAAUGCUUUUAGGAUAGCACCUUUUAUCUUUUCCAAUGGUUCCUGUCACAUGCCAAGUAUCAAAUCUUCCUCUAGUGACAUGUCUUCCCCACUAGAAUCCUUUUUUGAUCCUUCGUAGCAGUAGCCACAUGAUGACUGAUGUUUUAGCACCUUGCAUACCUCGUGAUGUGUCAGUAAGCUGGAUUCCACGAGAUUUUCAUAUAUUGCCUUUUUCUUUUUUGAUAUGGCCUGUCUGGCUAAAAUGCUUUCUUUUCUACUUAUAGAAAAGAUUAUAUGCUCCUUUGUGGCUUCGUGGAGCCAUAUUUUUUCCUCACUUAUCCUCUCAAGAGAUUCAUAGAGGACUUUCAUUCCUACGGCUCUUUUGCUGGUGAGAGCUUUGGGUUCGAAAAAUUCAGGAUCAUAAUCAUUAUAGACUUGAUCUAUAUCAAUAGUUGGACUAACUUUUUGCUGCUAAUUCUAACUUAAAUCAUGUGCUGUGCUACCACUUGUUUUCACCGUAUUAAGGGCAAGCAGUGAGGAUCUUGAUAAAAAUUAGUUCUUUUGUUUUGGAUAUCCUUUUGUGGUCAUUAACAGCCUCUGUAUUUUUUUCUAGGAGCUCUUUUAUUUUCCUACAAUCAUCACGGACAUAAACAAGGUUAAGAAAACCGUAUUCAAACAUGUCUUUUAUCAAUUUUGGAUAAGCUCCUAGCACAAAUUUUAUCCUUGGGUAUAACCCUGAAUGAUAUGGUAUUAUAGUCUGGUUAUGAUGAAUCACAUAAGUUAUUUUACCAAUUCUUUUAUAAUUAUAAGCGUUGUCGCUUCCUAAUGGAUUUUUAACCAUAGGAACAGACUGUCCGCUUUUAUUAUAUUGGGGCCUUAAGCUCACUGAAGACCUUUGAGAUUCUUCUUUCUUCAUAUAUUAUUCUUUGAGAUCAUUGAUUGUGAGAAAUUUCUCUAGAUGUGUGACCUUUGAGUUCUGUGAAGAACUCUGGGCAAUCUGAUCCUUAGUUUGAUCCUUAAAAUGGACCUUUUUUUAGCAUAUUACUAAUAGAUUGUUAUGAAAUUUGGACUUCUGGAUGAUUUUGCAAACUUUUCUAUAGGCAAAGUUUGCUCAAUUCUUCAUGGGCAUCAUCUAUCAUGGCAAGCCUAUUAUAAAUUAUACCAUUGCCUUUGAGAAGCAAUUCUUGACCUUCAGAGCACAUUAUUAUGCCCUUAAUUAUUUUGGAAAGACCCUUCUCCAUUGUAUUCUCGGCUAAGAAAAUUUGCAAUAGAAUUGUUAGAUCCUUUAAUAUAUUCAAUUUCAAAAUCAUAUUCAGCAAAAAAACCGUUGCCAUUUAAUUAAUCUUUUAUAUUAAGGGAGAUUAGGCAAUUUAUUAAAUAUAAAUCCUUUAACUCGAGUGUUAUCAGAUCUUACCUUGAAUUUCUUUGGUAACAAAAAAAAGUAAAUUUAGCUAUUCCAUUUUUAAUAGUUAACAGUUCAUUUUCAUUACUAUGAUAAUUCUUCUAUGCGGGUUUGAAUGUUCUGGUGGCAUAUCUACAAAUCUUUUCUUGAUCUGUUUUUAAGACUACACCCCAGUAAUUAUCUGAAGCAUCGGUCUCAAGAAUUAAAUUAUCACUAGAAGUAGGGAAUCCUAAUCUUGGAAGAUUUUUACAUUUUUCUUUCGAUUUUUUUACUACUUUGGUAUGGAGAUCUUUCCAUGAUUUAGUAUUAUUCUUUUUUAAUAAUCCUUGUAAAGAUUGUCUUUCUUUAGCUAAGUUUUCUAUGAAACCUUCAGCAUAAUUAAGAUAUCCUAAAAAUAUUUGAAUUUGUUCUUUAGAUUCUAAUUUAUUUGGGAAUAGAUAUAUUUUCCAAAAAUAUGAGGUUGCAUCUCAAUUCCUGUUUCAUCUAUUAUUAACCCUAGAAAUUCUAUCUUGAGUUUCAUUAUUUCAGCUUUCUUUUUAGGGAGUAAUAUUCCAUGUUUCUUGCAUUUCUCUGCAAAAGAAACGAGAUGAUUAAUAAGAUAUAUCUUAUUAUCUGAAAAUAUAAAAAUAUCAUCUAAAUAAACAAUGUAGAAUUCAUGAAAUUCUUUGAAGAUUUGAUCCAUCCUUCUUUCAAAUAUUUUUGGUGCAUUUUUCAAUCCAAAAGGCAUUACAAUCCAUUCAUAUUAUCCUUGAGGUGUACUAAAGGCAGUAAGUGGUAUACUUUCUACUUUAAGUUUGAUAUGUCAAAAUCCAGAUUUGCAAUCAAACUUGCUAAAUGUCUUUUUAUCGGUCACGGAGAUAAUUAAUGUAUCUUUAUAAGGUAAAAAAUAUCCAUUGAAUUUGGUAUAUUUAUUUAAUUCUUUGUAGUUAAUAACCAUGCGAGCUUUUCCUCAUUUAAUUUCUACAUGAUUUCUAACCAUAAAGGCUGGACUACUAUGAGGACUUUUAGAUUUCAAAUAAUCUUAAGUUCUAAUAACUCUUCAAUUUUUUUUAUCAAAUUCUUGUCCAUGUUCUUGCCCAUCUCUCAUAGGCUUAACUCUUAUGAUACCAUUUAGAUCUGUUAAUUCGAUCUUAGCAUAUGUUUAAUCAAUUUCUCAUAAUUGAAUUGGGUUUUCACCAAAAUUUUUAUCAAGUUUUUCUAAAAUUUUUUCAUAGUCUAACAUGAUUUGAAUGAUUUUUAUAGUGUAAUCAACACACUGACUGUGUCGAAAAUGUAAUUUUUGAGUUGUGCGCCUAACAAGGUUAUAAAUUCUCGGGGUAGUAAUGGAAUGAUUACAUGGUGUUUUGAGAGUAAUGGCUUCAUUAGUCAUUAUAUAAAUGAAUUGACGAAGGAAAUUAACUCCUAAAAGUAUAUAUGUUCCCAUAUGAUCAUAAGACCAGAAUAUAGGGAUACUUAAGAUGUAAUCUUCGAUUUGGAUUAAAGUCUUAAUCCUACAAGUCCCUAAGGUGAUCUGUUCAUCAUUUGUUCCUUAUCCUUUUAAAGGCUUAUAAUCUUUCCAAUAUGGUUUUGGAUAAAUCCUAGAACUGGCAAAACUAACUCCUAAACCAGUAUCGAUUAAAGCAUAAAACCAUUCCAGUUUAUGUUUAUAAUAUGGUAUAAUCACUUUUAUAUAAAUUAUAAAAGGAUUAGACAUAUCUUGAUAUGGUUUGCUUAAUUCCUUCAAUUGUUAUACUUAUUUCUCUAUCUCCUGUACAAUAAGGAGAGAAAUUCUAAAGAAAGUUCAUCCCUAAUAAUAAAGGAUUUAUUUCUGUUUCAUAAUAUGGUUCUAUGAAAAAAGGAAAGAUGAAUUUUGUUCCUUUUAUUUUUAAUGGUAUUUUACAAUAUUUUCUUAAUGUCUUUCUUUCUCUAUUAAAUCCUACAUAAGUAUGAGGUUCAAUUAGAAUUUUUCUUUCUAAAUAUUUAAUCAUUUUAGCAUCUACAUAAGAUUUUGUAGCUCAUGUAUCAAGGAUAGCAAAAGUCUCGUGCCAUGAUUUUCCAUUAUUAUAGUCAAUCUUAAUUUUUAGAUUUUGAUUAUUUUUUCUAAUUGUGGCUAAUAUUUCAUGUGAUGGUGGUGUCACAAGAUGACUACAUCUAGUAAAACUUUGGGUUCCUCUGAAUUUUGGUUCUCUUUUGGGUAUAGAGAAUGAUCUUUUAUGUCUUAUAAUGAUUCUUCCUUCUGGAGUAUAUUCUAUAGAUUUAGUAGUAUUUCCUUUAAUCAGAGUAGGUUGACUACUUAGAUUCAUUUUCCAUUCUUAUGAUAAAUAUAUUUCUCUCUGGAUUUCAGGAUAUUUUAUAUUUCUAACUUUACUAAAUAAUUUAUCUAUUUCAAUAAAAUAUUUAUUAGCAAACAUUUCACUAUUUGCUGAAUUUGUUAAUGCAUAUUUUAUGGCAUACAUUAUGCUAUAUGGAUAAGACCCCUCAUGCAUUAUAUCAAAGUAUUUAAAAUCAUGACAUAAGGUUAAUGUUUUAUUUAUAUUUCUAUCCCUAAGACUUAUAGAAUAUUUAGGAUAUAUCUUAAAUAUCAAUUUUUUAUAACUCAAGUUUCCUUGUAUUAUUCUAGGGACUGCAUGUUUUCGAUCUUGUAUUCUAUUAUCUAGUACUGCUAAAAUUAUUGGACUAUCUAUUCCUUCCCGAAAAUGAGCUUUUAUCAUAAACUGAAUUCCUCCAAUAUGAUCAUAUCCAAUUUUGGGUCUAUUGCUAGAUUUUAUCUUACUGAUUUUAUCUUCUAUAUCAGUCUUUAAUAAUAAUGGUAUAUUUGUAUUUCCCUUAGCAUACCUAAUUUCAAUAUGUUCUUCUCACACAGUAGCACUGAAAUACAUAACAUUUUUUCUUUUAAUCAUGGUGGCAAUUCCUAGAGCUAACUUAUUGACUGAAGUCAAGGAUGAUUCUAAUCAUUUUUUUGUUAAUCUUGAGGUAUUGUUUUUUUUUUUUAUCAAAGAUUAAUUCUUUGUUAAAAGAACCUUGUUCUUCUAAUUCUUCAUCUUGAUAUAAAUGCUUAUUAUCUAAUUCUUCUAUACUCAUUCCAAAUAUGAUUUUGAAUCUGAGCUACUUAAAGUUUCUUCAGAAAGAUAAUAUAUGCUAUCACUUUCACUAAUACCUUCACUAUCUGUGAUUAAUUCUAAAUCAUUAAAAUCCUCAAACAUUUUUAUAUUUUCUUUUUUCUUUUUAGGACAUUCAUUUGUAUAAUGCCCUUCUUCAUUACAUAACCACCACUUGCAUUCUUUAACUACAUUGGUUUUAAAUCUUCUUUUAAAUUUAUUUUUCUUGUAGAAUUUCUUCUUAUAUUUAUUUUUCUUGUAAUAUUUCUUGUUGCCUUUAAAGAAUCUCUUCUUUUUGAAUUUAUUCCUAUAUUUAUAAGUUUUAUCUGAACAUCCAAAUCUUGGUGGAUCUUCUAACUUAGAGCAAAACAAUCCUUGAUUUAGCCUUUUCAUAAGUCUGUUAUCUCUUAUUUCAGCACACCAUUCACUCAUUCUAUUUCGAGCAAACCUAAUCUUAUUUCCUAAGGUAUCAGUCUCUGUUGUAUCUUCAUAUUUGUUGUUAUAUUCUAGCAUAAUCCUUUUCUCCCAUGGGUCUGGUAUCCUUAUAAAAUAUAGAUCUUAGUAAUAGCAUAUGCUACUUUCAUCUAAUUCACAUUUAUAAUAUAAUUCUUCAAAGCUACACGUGUAUUCUUCUAAAUAACAUAUAUUACAUAUUUCAAGCCUUGUUAGUUUUAUUACAUUUUCCAUCUUUUUUUCACUUUAUUUCUUAUUGAAAACCAGUUUCUCAAUCUUCUCCUAGGAAUUUUUUUCUUAUUUCAUUUUCAAAUCUAUUUAAAACUUGAUCCAAGCUUUCAUUUUGAUUAUUAUUUUCUCCAUACAAUAUUUUAUUUUUGUUAUUAUCGUUUAGUCCCAUAAACGAAUGUGACACUAUUCCUACAAAUGAAGUUUUAAGGAAUUCUAUACUAUUAUUCCUAUCUAUUUUGUUAAAUACAAAUGCCGUUUUCAUAGAUUUAACCCAAGCGAUAAUCGUUUUAUCUCUAUCUUUGACAUAGUCUAAAUCUAACCAUACUCCAUCAUGGUUGAUUGGUCUCUCUCUAUAUUUUCCUGGAGUUUUAUAAUUUUUUUAGGCUUGUUAACCCUAAAAUAUUGAUGUUGUGAUCUUUCAUGAGCUAGUAUUUCUUCUCUAGUAUAGGAAGCUCUAUUACUAGAUUCUCCUUGUUAAAAAACCGUUGGUUUUGAUUCAUUCAUUUUUAAUUGUUCUAUUCUAUUUUCAAUAUCUCAUAAGUUAAUGAGUACAUCCUCUUCCUCUUCGGAUUUAGAUUCUUCAUUGGAUAUUUCUGGAUUGUAUAAUUCUUUUAAUCCAUUGUCUACAUUUUCACUUAGCAUCCUUAAACUUAUUAAUUUUUUAUCUUAGUUUUUUGUUAAAUAUUGUCUAGAUAUUGCUAUCAUUUCUUUAUCUUUCUUUUCGUUGUAGUAAAUUAUGGUGUCUUGUAAGGUUUUAUUUUUUUUUCUUGAAUUACCAUGAGUAAUUCUUCCAUAUUGUUAUUUAUCUUUUGUAUUUCAAUCCUUUUGUAGUUUUCUAUGAAAAAUUAUUUCUAUACACCUCUCUCCUAAUUCUAAAUAGGAGAAUAGGAUCGAUGUUUAAAUUUCUAUUCUUUAUUAUUUUGAGUUCUCCAAUUCUAAAUUCAUGAGCUCUAGAUAAAUAAAAUUGUUCUAAUUGUUUAUCAUCUAAUAUCUCAAGUUUUGAAUAAUAAUAUUGUUUAUGUUUAGUUAUGUUAUCCUUUAUAGUAUUACUAUCUACCAUUAGAUUAUAUCCCCUAUUAUUAAUAAAAUAAACAAUUGUUUCUUCCAUUUUUAUAUUUUGAACCAAAAAUCUGGUUCUGAUACCGUUUUUGCAGACAAUUUUCAAUCCUAAGAUCCAAGUAAGGAUGUAAAUGAUUAAUCUUUAAAAUCUUAUGAAUAUUUUACAAUUUUGCUUUUUUAAAACACACAGUUUUAUGCUAGGUGUUGUGCAAUCUUUUGUAAAAAUUCAUGAACCAAUACUAUAUUGACUUCUCCUAAAAUGCAUAGGUUUGUUAUGAAAUUCUAAGUGUACAACCCAAAAAGUGGGGUGAAUUGGGUUUUUAAAAAUUUAAGCAAUUAUAACCACACAAAAAUUUCAAUUAAUGUCUUAUUUGAUUCAAUAACAAUAAUUUUAACAAUGAAUAAAGUAAAGAGAUGAGGGAGAAGAGAGCAAACAUGAGAUUUUUACAUGGUUCAGCAAAACCUGCCUACGUUGACGCCUCCAAGCUCACUAUGCUUGAAGAUUUCACUAUCCAAGCAUUACAACCCUAAGGCUUCAAGAUGCUUACAAUUGAUUUCUAAGGUUUCCAUGGACCUUUACAUCCAGAGGUUCUCUCAAACCUCUUAACCAAGUGUUUCUCACACUUACAACCACUUAAUUGUGAUAUUGAAAAAAAGUUACACAAAUUUUCCACUCACACAAUAUAUGUGUUUACAACUAAAAGCCUAGAGUGUGUUUCAAUGAAAGAAUAAAAACAUUUAAGCUCAAGACAGAUUAAACAUGCAAAAGUAAGCUCAAUGCCAAUUUUUGAAUUCGUUAUUGAUUGAAUAUGAUUAAUCCUUUUGAUAGUUGGAGCUGAAAACUAGCCGUUAUUGACUUUCUGCACAAGGUCGGAUCAUCGUUAAUACUUAUCGGACUGCUGUUUUGACUUGAUCAAGUUACCGUUAGGCGAAAAUCUAAAUUUUCGGAUCACCAUUUUCGAGACAUUGAAUUGUUGUUAGUUUCUAGUAACAUUGCGAGAAAAUAGUUGGCUUACCGUUUUCAAAAUGUCAUAUCGUCGUUAGUUUCCAAAUCCAUUCGAUGUCGGUUAGCCAUUUGCUACAUUAACUGCUACAUUGAAACUAUUUUUUAAAAUUAUAUUUUUGCCAUGCUUUCUAUAAUUAUACUGUAGCCCAAAUCUUCAUAAUACUUUACAAAUAGGUCCAUUUUCAGAGUUUCAAAACAUACUUUUUAUUUCCAAAACUUUAUGAAAUUAUACUAUAACCCAAAAAUAUAUAAAAUAUUUCAAAUAGGUUCAUUUCUAGAAUUUUAAAACAAUACUUGUUGAUUUCAAAGUUCUCAAAACUUUUUAAAUUUAGAGCAUUAACUUCAAAAUAACCAAUUUCAUAAAAUCAUUUUUUUCAUUAAGAUUUAUGAAAAAUGACUUGAGCUUUUAAAUGCUUAAGCAUGCAUAUAUUUAAUCAUACUAGCUUUACAAGAAAUGUAACAAGAGAAAUCACCUAAGCUAGUACCUCUAAUGCUUGUUCUUGACUUAGUGAGCUUUUUACCUUCGUCUAUUUGAGUGCCUUGAACUUGAUCACACACACACACACACACACACACACACACACACACACACACAUAUAUAUAUAUAUAUAUAUAUAUAUAUAUAUAUAUAUAUAUAUCAUUUUAUCCUUUUAUCCUUAACACGUGGUUUGUUAUUAUCAAAACCCAAGUUCGUACAACCGCUUAGGCCAACAUGUUACUCCCAAUCAAUUGACUUCUGACAUGACUACUUCCAAAAUGGCUAGUACCAAAAGGGAAUCCUUCUGGGAUGAGAAUUGAAAAACAUGCCUCUUCUAGCACUAAAAUUACUCCUUCCACCUAUAUUUCCACUAUAAUGUCCUUAAAAUCCUCCGGCAUAUCCACCUCUUUUAGUAUUGCCUCCUAUUUGUGCAUGAUAGUAAUUAAUUAUGCCAUAGUUAUUAUGGUUAGCAAAGUUAGCACAAUUUGCAUUGAAUAUGUGUUUUUCAUUAUGACUUUGUUCAAGUCUUGCCUCUUGAGUAAGCAAUAGAGCAUACGCACCAUCAUAAUAUAACUUGCUAGCAGUAAUAAAAGUAGAUAAAUGCAGAUGGCUAGCUCCAAAACUAUUGAGAAUUUGUUAAACAUAUCUUUAUCAGAAAUAGGACUACCAACACAUGUCAAUUUAUCUGCUAUUUAUUUAAUCUUUAAGCAAUACUCUUCUAUGCUUAGUGACUUUUUUUCUCAAAGCAUUCAUCUCAUAUCUCAUUUGAAGAAUCCUACCCUCAUAAUGUUGCCUAAACUUUUUCUGUAAUGUUUUUCAUACAUCAAGUAAGGUGUUAUAAGAAUGAACAAGACCGAGAAUACCUUCAGUGAUAGAGCUGAGUAACUAGCUAAGUAAUGUGUGAUCUUGAGAUCUCCAAACAAUGAACUCAGGAUUUUCAAUCUGUUAAGUAGAUGCAGCAACUGCUCUAGCAUAGCUGAUGAAUCAAUGAAUUGAUUUGGUGCUUCAUUUUCUCUAGUUAUGUAUCCUUCGGUUUCCUCUUAUAAAAGCUAGAACUUGAUUUUGCCACAGCAUGUAAUUUGAUCAAUCGAAUGUGAUUGGAGUGAUGAAACAGAAUGUUGUUUGCAUUGAUUGAUUUGUAGAGAUUGCAAUUGAAUUUGUGCUUACAUUGCUUGAGCUUGCCAUUUUGGCUCAGAUACCAUGAAUAAAUUAUUGGAAGUUGAGUUAUAGUUGCUGUUUAACAGCUGAGAAAAUAGAGGAAAAUUCUCUGGAAAUUCUAAAUGUUUCCUAUUGAGCAAACGAAAGAUUAACAUACUAUAUAUAUACAAGUUUCUAAAUUGUUUCUAGCUAAUUUACAGUACAGCUAAUCAAUAGAUUUGAUCCAAAGUAAAACUAAUUAGUUUCACACAUAAGGAGCACGUGAAUCCAUCAUCGUUGCAUAAUCGAACAUGUUGACUUAGCUGCUGACUUGGCAUUGACAGCUGAUUUGCUUCUUUUUUGUAACUCUGGAUAGUGUGCUUUCUUCACAAGUUUCCCCAAAUCUCCAUUAUGUACAGCUUCUGCAAAAAUUUCCUAACCAAACCAUUUAUUUGUAAUUUCCUCUUGUGUUGGCCCUAUGCCAUCAUCAAGUGGUACCGUGAGAGGAUUUCCAUCUAGAUUACCCUGAUCUUUGUCUGAAUCAUAACUAGUAUGCAUAGUGUUUUCAUCCUCAUCACCCUGCGCAGCCAAAACAAAAUGCUUAACAUUACAUAUACAGUAAAACCUCUCUAUAGUCAUAUUGUUGGGAUUAAACUAAUUUUAUUAAUAUGAAGAUGUUAUAAACUUAAUGGAAAUUCAGUGACAAAUCUAUUGAUUAGCUGUGCUACUUUGAUAAUUAAUUAAUGAAGCAUGUCAAAUCUAAUGCAUUGACAUUGAUAAAAGAGGUAAACAUAUAAUUUAAAAAACUAGUACUUAUAUCUAUCAUCUGUGUAGUAUUGGGAACAUGCAAAGUCUUCUUAUUGAAAAUCUAAAGAAUAAAUUAUUAUCCAAAAUAAUUUCAGAAAAAUAUUAUAUUUCAUCUUAAAUCUUUCAUGUAACAUAGCAAAUUUUUUUUUUUUUUGCUCAAUAUACAUAUUAGUAAUACUGUGUGGAUGCGUGUUCCUUAAGAUAUGCUCUAUAAAAGUUGUUAACUUAUUACAAUGUGAAGUUUGUUCUUAUUUAUAAUUGGCUUAAAGCAGGAAUAAGAUUUUUUGUGACUAUUGGACGUUGUUCUUAUAAAAUGUAUCACUACAGAGAGAUUUUAUUAUAAUUCUAAACCGAGAAAAGAAAGUGUAAUCCUAAUAAAUCACCAUCGAUUAGAGCUAUAAUGAAUUAAGCUUUACAAAGAAGAAGAAGAAAGAUUACAAUGUGAAGGCAACAAGAAUCAUGACAAAGUGAGAAAAAGAGAGGCCACAUAAGCCCCAAGGGAAAUUGAGAUUUUAUAACACAGCCUAAUUGCAGAAAGCAUAGGCGAAAAACAGGUGCUUGAUUGCAAACAUGCACACGCGCGCGCGCACACACAAUUUGACCACAAAGACCGCAUACCUUUGAGAGUUGGUCCUCUGGGGCAUAGGCAUUUUUCGCACGUUUUCGUGCUUCCUCCUUUUAUGGCCACGUAGUUUUCGUAAGCUUGAUCAAGAAACUCCUCCAAUUGUUCAUCAUACCUAACACCAAAAAAAUGUCAUAAGAUCACAAAGGCAUAAGUUGAUAGAUAUAUUUGUCAAGAUAAUGCGACAGAAGAUAUAGGUAGAAAAGAAUUACUUUCUGCAUUCUUUAUCAGAGUCACUGUCACUGGACAAUUGCUCUUGAGUGUCUCUAUCGGGUCUCUCAUCUUCACAGCCCUCUGCAGUAGCAUUCUCAUCAUCAUCAUCAUAUUCAACAGCAGCAAGAUCUUUUUUACCCUAAACCGAUCAUUCAAGUUUAUAAAAGAAUGAGAUACUUGCCUUAGACCACACUUUUGAAUUGGAAAAAACUAAUAAAUCAAAAUUGCAACUAAUAUUGUCCUACCCAGCCAUUUUUCAUUUAUCCUGAUGUCAAGUACACUACAAUCGAUGAGUACCUCAGUCAGUUUGCGUAACCCUUCUCUGUUGAGUUGUAGCUUGCAGGAUAUUGGGAAAUAAAUAAUUGGCUUGUUGCCAUCUUUGGUUUGUAUCUGUAAACAUUAUGGUUGUUGGCCUUACCUUCUUUUGGUUUUCUAUGGAAUUUGUAGCACCAUAUUUUGUCCACUAUGUCAGUACACCAGUGAUUAAACAAAGUAGUCUCAUGUGCUUGAUCUAAAAAUAAUUAUAAAGUCACCAUGUGGUUGAUCUAAAGAUAAUUAUAAAGUCACAAACACAGAAAAAUUAAAAGUAAUUCAUAAACAUUUGUCAUGUGAAAUUUACUUAAUGGAAGAGAAAUUCUAGGAAACAACUUUAUGGUGAGAAAACUCUAAAAAUCAAACCGAAAGAUAUAUAAUAAAUAAUUUUAUAAGAAUUAGGCUAUGUUUCAAAUAAUAUCACAUAUAGUAAAUUUAUGAGUUGUCGCUCAUCAUAACUCAAUUGUUUCACAUAUUGUAAUUCUUUAAUUUUGAAUAACAACAUAUGUUUCAUAAGAUUUAAAAUGGUAUGACUCAUUUUAUAAUAUUUUUAACUGAAUUGAAAUUCUGCAACUAUAAAAAUUGAAAAGAAUGAACUUGGCGGUAUUACGCUUAUAGUAUUGUUUCUUAUGGUGAACCAAAAGCAAGCCAAAAUUACGCUUACAUCAUCUUACUCUACCGUAAAACUUAUUUAUAAUCAUAACGGUAACACUAAAUUAAUUUUAUUACUGUGAGAGUUUAAUAUUUAAUAGAGGUGUAGUUACAAAAAUUAUUAUUUUAACUUAAUUAUUUUUUGUGCAAGUGAUAUAGCGAUAAAAUAUGCACUAUAUUAAUAACUAAUUAAUACAGCAUGUCAAAUUCAAUGUACUAACAAUGAUGAAAAAGAUAGGCAUAGUUUGAAAAAAACUAGUACAUAUAUCUUUAUAGUGCUGGAAUUAUGUAAAAUCAUCUUGAAAGUCUAAAGAAUAAAUGAUUGUACAAAAUAAUUUUAGAAAAAUAUUUUACUUCAUCUUAAACCUUUAACAUAAUAAGGGAUAUAUUUUUUACAAUAUACCGAUAAUUAUUACUAUUAGAGGUAACUUUCUUAAAACCGGAUUUAAAAAAAUUAUAAUUUAUCAUAAUAUAGAGUUUAUUCUUAUUUAUAAUUAUUAGGCUUGAUAAUCGACUGGGUCGUGUUUGGGCCAUGCCAAGCUCUAGCCCAACUAGGGGUGGCAAAACGAAUAAACGAAUCGAAUUUGAAUCGAAUCGUAAACGAAUUGGGUCAAAAUUAUAUGGAUUCGGAUUCGAUUCGUUUAUUAAACGAAUUGAAAUUUCAGGAUUCAGAUUCGAUUCGGUUAUUAAACAAAUAUUCGGUUCAAUUCGUUUAAUUCGUUUAAUAGAAUUGAUAAACGAAUCGAAUCGAAUCCGGAUUCGUUUAUUAUUCGCUUAUCCUUUACGAAUCCAUAACGAAUCGAAUCGAAUCAGGAUUCGUUUACAAUUCAUUUAGAAAAAUAUAAUUAAUAAACAAAAUUAAGCAAAAAAAACACAAAUUUAAUAUCCCACAACAAAAUACAAAUAAUUCAAAUCAUAUUAUACAGUCAUCCAAAUACUAAAUUACAAAUCCUUAAUAUUACAAAUAACAAUAAUUCAAAUUCAAAUUAUAAAGAAAUGUAAUUUCUUUAAUUCUCUUCAUUUGUCUUUGUCGCCUUGAAAACAAAAAUCCUACACCAAAAAGUAAAUAAAAUGUUAUUAACAUGCUGCAAUAUUGAUAAUAGUCAUUGUAAAAUUUCAAAAAUCAAAUAUAUAGCAAAUUUGUAGCAUUUUCAAGAAAAUAAUAAUUAAACAAGAUAAAAACUUUACCUACCACACUCACACACUGUCAUUUGGAUCAUUGGCACUCUCUGCAGAUGGAGCACAAUUAGUGCUCAUGUUCAUAAUGUUUUGAGUAAGUUGGUCCACAGUGACAUCCAAAUUUUCUACAAUAAUUUUAUAAAAAUAAAUCUUAAUUAGAAACAAUUGCACAUAAUAUUAUAAAAGAAAAGUAAAUAAAUUUUAUGAGCAAGUUUUACCAAUCUCUCCAAACUUCCAAUCUCUAGUAGUAAUAAUUGCUUGAACUAUCUCUAGUAGUAAUAAUUACUUGAACUGUCUCUGGCUUCAAUACACUUCAAAAUUGAUCAAGAACUCAACCGCCAAACAACAACAAAACAACAGUAAAACAGCAACAAAAUAGCAGCAAAAUAGUAGUAAAACAACAACAAAAUAUCAGUAAAAUAGCAGUAAAACAACAACAAAAUAGUGGAAAAAUAACAAAAAAAAUGGUAGCGAAACAGCAGCCAAACAACAGCAGUAAAACAGCAGCGAAACAGCAGUAAAACGACAGUAAAAUAGCAGUAAAUCAGCAACAAAACAACAGCAAAACAGUAAUAAAACAGCAACAAAACAGCAACAAAACAACAGCAAAACGGUAAUAAAACAGCAAUAAAAGGCAAAUUUUCAGUGGUGUACCGUGAUGGUGGGUAGUUAGCGCGGCGGGAAGUGGUGCUGGGGAUGAAAACCUUCAAAUUUUAAAAAGCUUUCAAAUAAAUUUAAGGAUAAAAAAGUAAUUUAAUUAAACGAAUAAUAAACUAAUCGACCCGUAUUCGAUUGGUUUAUGACCGAUUUAUUAAACGAAUAAACGAAUCAAAAUUUUCAAACCUGCAUUCGAUUCGUUUAAUUAACGAAUCGAAUCGAAUUCACCCAUUUAUUAAACGAAUCAAUUUUUUCAAACUCAAACCCAUUUAAUUUGCAUCGAAUCGAAUCAAAUAAACGAAUCCUGACCCAUAUUGCCACCCCUGCCCAACCCUAUGAUUAAAAUGAAGGACUCUAAUACUAAAAAGCUUGACCCUUCAAACUAAAGAACAACCUGGCUUUAAUAAUUUUUUUAUAUUUUAUUUUUUUUUUUAAGAAUAUGACUCCUAUUCUUCAUUCUUUAGUAAUAUUAUUAUUAUUAUUAUUGUUCCUUUUUUUUGUUGGAUUUGUUUGUAAGGAAUUUAAUAAAUUAUUUUUUAUUUAACUUAACAACAAUAGAACGUUUAACAAUCUAACAAAAUUAAUAUAUUAACCAAGCAAUAGGUAAAUAAAUCAAAUACAAAAUAACAAAAUUAAUAUGAAAUAGAGAUAAAUAUCCCUAAAGUGUAGUUGUGACCAUCUAUGUGUAUGUGUGUUUAAUAAUAUUUUUAUUUUAAAAAUUAAUUUAAAGAUCAAGAGUUGAGUUAAAACAUUUUGGUAAAACUUUAACCCUAACCCAAAUGUAAUUAGGUCCUGAUUCCUUAAGCCCUAACCCAACGUUUAACCUUUCAAAUUCGAGUCAAAACCAUUAAAAUUAAGAUCGAAUCAAUCAAGUCGAGGGUCGGAUAAAACCUUUUUGUCAUCCUAAAAAUUACCCUAAAUUAAAAUCAAAAUUUUUUAAAAUUAUAUAAAAAUUAUUCUUAUACACAGUAACAAUAUACGACCCAACAAGAAAUGAACCUGGACGCAUUAGGGCUUUGAUCCACAAACAAACUUUCAAAACCCUCUUAGACCUCAAGAGCAUUUUAGUCCAUUUAAUCAAAAGUAAAAGUGCGGCUACCAGCUAACUCUCCGGAAUUGAACUGAACGAGUUUCAGAAAUGGCAUCGAAAAGCAAGAUUCUAUCCAUCGGCGGGACAGGGUAUAUCGGUAAAUUCAUCGUGGAAGCUAGCGUGAAAGCCGGCCACCCGACGUUCGUGCUCGUGAGGGAAUCCACAGUCUCUGGUCCUUCCAAAUCUCAGCUCCUCGACCACUUCAAAAACCUCGGCGUCAAUUUCCUUGUCGUGAGUUAUCAAUUUUUUUUUUCAUUUUUUUAAUUCCAAAUUUUGACACGUGGCGGUGUAGCCUCUACUUGAUAGACUUGGUUUUUUUUUUUAAUUUAAUUUUUGUGGGUGCUGUUAUUAUUAUGCAGGGAGAUGUUUUGAAUCACGAGAGUUUGGUGAAGGCGAUAAAACAAGUGGACGUGGUGAUAUCAACAGUUGGUCACACUUUAAUAGCCGAUCAGGUCAAGAUUAUUGCUGCCAUUAAAGAAGCCGGUAACGUUAAGGUAUGACAUAAUUAAUGUAAAUGUCUUAGAUUCCGAUCAGGAUUGUGCACUCGUGCACACGUGGUGAUUUAUUCUUCGUGUGGAGCUCGCUGUAGAGUAGAGCUCCCAGUUCCGCUAAUAAACACCCGUCACAUGCGCAAUUGCGCCUCAAAAUAAUUUAAUUAAUUAAUUAGGUAUAAACACCGAUGGCAUGAAAGCAAUUAAAAUUAGUUGAUGUUUAUAAAUUAUUUAUUACUCAGAGAUUCUUCCCAUCGGAAUUUGGAAAUGAUGUUGAUCGAGUCCAUGGCGCCGUGGAGCCAACAAAAUCGACGUAUGACGUAAAGGCGAACAUCCGCCGAGCCGUUGAGGCAGAAGGCAUUCCGUACACGUACGUAGAAUCUUAUUUUUUUGAUGGCUACUUCCUCCCUAAUUUGUUGCAGCCUGGGGCCACUGCCCCCCCUAGGGAUAAGGUUGUCAUCUUCGGCGAUGGAAAUCCAAAAGGUAACAUAAUUUAAUUAAGCUCUGUUUGUUUGGUAUGUAUUUCGGUGUUAAUGUUAUUGUCUGUUGUACAAUGGAUGGUCUUGCUUGGUACUGUUGUUGGAGAGCUGCAGUGUUUUGAUAAACACCUCUAUCCUUAGCUUUCAAGUUAAGUUGAUUUUAUACAACACUUGUUUAAUUAAAAACUUGUAAUAUUCUUACUACUUUGAUAAAAAAAAUAUUACGAUUAAAGUAUUAAUGGCACCAUAAUACGAAGUGAAUCUUAAGUGGUCAUUAUAGAUUUUAAGAUAGAGUUUUAAGUGAUUACCAGAUACUUUAGCUGCUGAACCGCCACAUCAUGGUUGCCACACAACAAUUUCAAACAGAGCCUAAAUAACUUCAUUGCAAAACAGUUAAAUGAAUCUAACUUAGUUUCGUCGUUUGAUUUUCAGCUGUUUUUAACAAGGAAGAUGAUAUUGGAACCUACACUAUCAAAGCGGUUGAUGAUCCGAGAACCUUGAACAAAAACUUUUACAUUCAGCCUCCCGGUAAUAUUUACUCAUUCAAUGAUCUUGUGUCUCUGUGGGAGAGAAAGAUUGGUAAAACCCUCGAAAAGGAGUAUGUUUCAGAGGAGCAGCUCCUAAAGAAUAUUCAAGGUUGGUUAAAACUCUCUUUUUUAAAUGUAUUAAAGAGAGCCGUAUAUUCUCUGCCGUAAAUGUUAUUGAUCCUGUCUUCUCCAAAAUGUUGCAGAAGCUGCAUCUCCACACAAUUUUAUAUUAUCAAUUUAUCACUCUGCUUUCGUGAAGGGAGUUCAAACUAACUUCAAGAUUGAACCAUCUUUUGGAGUUGAAGCCUCGCAGCUUUAUCCUGAUGUCAAGUACACUACAGUUGAUGAGUACCUCAAUCAGUUUGUGUAACCCUUCUCUGUUUCCAGCUGCAGCUUGCAGGAUCUUGGACUGUUGGUAAAUAAAUAAUUGGCUUGUUGCCAUCUUUGGUUUUAUAUGUAAAAAUUAUGGUUGUUGGCCUUACUUUCUUCUGGUUGUCCAUGGAAUUUGUUAGACCAUAUUAUGUUUGCUAUGUCAGUGAUCAAAUGAAGUAGGCCAUGUACUUGAUUUGAGAGUAGUAGUUAUAAAGCCAUCAUGAUCAGGUGGGUGCGUAGGUUGGGCUUCUAUUAGGGUGCGUGUGUUGGGCUUCAGGGGCUUGUGAUAUGGGUUCGACAGCCCCUAACGGGCAGUCAUUAUAAAAAUAAUUAUAGAGUUACAAAUCUAUGUAAAAAGCAAAAAUUAAAAGUAAUUUAUCAAUAAAAAUAAUUAAAAUUAAUAAAAAGUAGGUAUGAUAAUUCAGAAAUUAAAUUAAAGAUAGAAUUCUAAAGAGUUGGAUAAUCCUCCAACUAAACUAAAGAUCUAGUACUUUUGAGAGCAAAUUUAAUUAAAGAAAAGGAUAAGGAAAAACAAUAGAAUAAUAAUAUUAAAAAAUUGCAAAUCUUGGUCUUUUUUUUUUACGAUGAUGUUGAAUUCUUAUAAAUUUAAUCUUAUCUAUAGAAUUAUUUAGUUACUGUAUGUCAAAAUUUCCUAUAAAGAUGAAGAAAAAUUAUAUUAGGAGAAGAUCCAAAUCCGUUUAACUGAUGCAUCAUCGACAACAUGAGUACAACAUUUUCGAAUAAACAAAAGAAACUCGUUUUAUGUGUGAACCAGUUCCAAAAUAAAGAGCAGACUAUUGGAAGGAGACAAAUACUACAAGAAGAACAAAACAUUCUACAAUUCCUACAUGAGCCCGCAACAAUUAAUUAUUAACUCGACAUUCAUUACACUUUUUCUUUAAUUUGACAAAGAAACCAAAAAUAAGAUAAAAUUGACUAAGAAAUAAAAAAAUGACAAAAAUCUUUUUGAAGUUUUGCCAGUUCAGCCAUGCACGCUUAUCUUUAUUCACUUGUUUCCUUUCUUUCCUUUCUUUCCUUUCUUUCCUUUCUUUGCUGAAGCCUUCACAGAUCCUUUACCUUUCUGAGCCUUGCCAAUUUUCCCCUUCUUCAAACCACCUGGCCUUGCUGGAUCCACGUGUCCUUGCAUCCUUUUUCAUUCGUGGAUCAACAAGAAUCUCCCCCUUUCCAGCUCUCUCUUGAACUCCUUGCUUUGCGACCAUGUAUUCUUUGGUAGGCCUUUUGGGUAUAGUUGUCUUGUAUAAUUGUUCAAUUUGAUUCCUCUUCGAACGAUCAGAGAUGUCCGCUUAGUCUGAUAUGACAUUUGCCUUCUUGCGAACCUUCUCAAGAUUUCGCAUGGCAACCCGUAUCUUUCGAGCUUUGGUCUUAGCCACCUUCUUGGCAGUAUGGGUGGGCGAUUCGAUUUUGGGAUAAACUUUUGGUUUCGUAUCGGUUUAGAUUAAAAAAUAAUAUAAAAAAAUAUUUAGAUUUUAAGGGAAAAAAUCCGAACCGAGACUCACCUAUCGAUUUUGGCUCGGUUUCAGUUCAGUUUUGAUUCUCCUAAUAGUUUUAUUUUGCCUUAUUGACUUCCGGUCAAUGACACUUUUGAAAAAUUUACAAAAAAAAAAAAAAUGGCCAUAACAAAAUUUCUAAAUGCAAAUAUUUCCUAAACAUUAGGCUAUACUAAAUUUUUUUAAAAGGUAGGGAUCCAAACGAUAUUAUCCCUCUACUUCAUCUUCAACCUUCGUCACUAGGGAUGGCAAAAUUCAGGUUCGGGUUCGGGUCCGGGUUUAGCCAUUCGGGAUCCGGACCCGGAUGAAUAUUUUCUGUAUCGGACCCGAAAAUAAACCCGCAUUUUUCCACUCCGAGUCUGGUACGGGUUCAACCCGAAAAAAUUCGGGUUCCCAGACUGCGGGUUUCCAACCCGAAUUGAUGAAUCCAAUUGAAAAAAAAAAACUAAAUUCAACUAAAAAAAUCAAAUAGAAAUACAUAUCCAGGAUUUUAGCAAAUCAAAGAAAAAUUAUUUCAUCUGGAAACUAAUUAACAAAAACAACAAUUUUGUUUGGCUGCCCAGAAUCAGCAACCCAAUGUGGCGGCUCGUUCAAAACAUUAGUGUUUUCAACAGAUUUUGGGGUAGGAAAAGCCAAACCUAUCUAGAACAAUGAAUUUGUAUUUUUGGGGGAGAUGAGAUACCUCACUGGUUUGUUGUGUGCGGUGCAGUGUAUCUGAAAUUUGGGGGAUGUGAGAAGGGGAGAGGGAGUGGUAACAAUGGUGAAAGGUCAAAACCAAUAGAGAUGUCCUUCAAAAUGAGCUUCACACCUGUAAAACAGUGAAAUAAAGGUUAGAGGUGAAGCCGGGAUACCCCGGUGUUCACACUCCGAUGCUCAAGUUAGCAAACUCAAGCUUUUAUGACAAAGAGAACUGGCUAGCCCUCUGUAAAUUAGGGUUUAAGGUUCAAGGAAACCUAUUUUUUGGAAUGUGAGUGUUAAUGGUGAGUGAGAGACCUCUUCGAGAAUGAAACAUAGGCGCCUUUAUAUAUGGAGUACCUCAGCUGCCACAUGACGUACCCUUUUUUGGCUAACGUCAUUUUUCCUUUUUAUGAUUUUUGGGUCGUUAUGUGCAUGUUCGCGGGGUAUCUCAUCUUUUGGAAACGUGGCGCGCGCUGGAGAGUGGUCCAGGGUACCUCUGCAGUAGCUGUCGGGUAGGCAGCUGAAGACCACUGUCCUUGGGACAAUGUCCUUCACUUUUGGUAAAGGUGACAGGCGGUUGUCCCCCUUUUUAACACGACAUUUUUUAUUCCUAAUUAUGACAAAAUCGAAUAAUAUCUUUUAAGAGAUGGAGACGUUUCUCAUGGUGGAUAUUUUCAGAGGAUUCUCUUGCAUCUGAUCAGCCGGGUUCCUCCAGUUAUGCAGGGUACCUCUAAUUUUACGGGGUACCUCUAUUUGCGCAGGGUACCUUGAAUCAUGCUAGGUACCUUAGAUUAUGCGGGGUACCUCAUAUUGUGUGGGGUACCUCUAAUUGUGCGGGAUACCUCUAUUUGCGCUAGGUACCUUGAAUCAUGCUGGGUACCUCAGAUUGUGCGGGGUACCUCUAUUUGUGCAGGGUACCUUGAAUCAUGCUGGGCACCUCAGAUUGUGCGGGGUACCUUUAGUCAUGCGAGGUACUUUUAAUCAGGCCAGGUACCCUCUAAUUGUGCUGAGUACCUCUAAUCAUGCAGGGUACCUCUAAUCAUGCGGGGUACCUCUAAUCAGGCCGGGUACCUCAGAUUGUGCGGGGUACCUCUAUUUGCGCAGGGUACCUUGAAUCAUGCCGGGUAUCUCAGAUUGUGCGGGGUACCUCAAAUUGUGUGGGGUACCUCUAAUCGUGCGGGGUACCUCUAAUCAUGUCGGGUACCUCGGAUUGCACUGAAAUUAUUCCAUUCGUUGACACGUGGCGUUAUGCUAUCUUUCUUAUUUUUCCCCCAAACAACAUCCCUCUAGUUUCUUUUGGCAAGAAGUUUUGGAGGCAAAAGAAACUUACAUAAAAAGUAGGAGCGACACGUGGCGAUAUGAUGUUUAGCUCGAUGGAUAACUAAAUAGAGGGCGCCUCUAGGGGUACCCUGAGAACCCAAAAAGGGAAGAUGGGCUCCAUUUCCUCGGAAAUGGCUACCACUUUGGACAUGUUGGAAAUGAUAGAGCUAAUUGAUCAAAAAAAUUUCAUCUAUUUCUGGGGAAGAACACCAAAUACGGGUAGAGGGUAUCGUUAGGGUACCCCACCAUUAUCCAUAGUUUGUUUUCUAGUGACUGCCAUGUAUAAAUCGCUCUGGUGAAGGCUUCAAUACAUUCUUUGGGCAUUUAAGAAGCAAUUAUUUGAUUAUCUCGGGAUCCACCUUAUUUAAGGGUAUAUUUCCUUCAUGUGCUUCGAAGAAAAAAAUAAAAUCACAGGGCCUUCUUCCUUGUAACUUCAGAGGUACCAUCGACAGAAGAACAUAGUCGACAAUGCUUUUAAGCGUAUCAUGAUCGAGGAAUGGAGUGCUGAUCUGGGGUUGGUGGUGCCAAGAGUGGAGAAGAUGGUAGAUGAACCGGCUAUCUUGAAGGCGAUUAAUGAUAGCGGGGCUCCCAACACAUCUUGGUCUGAAAGCCCAUUGAGAUCAGCUGAGGUACCUCAGAUGAGGUAUCUAUAAGGUACCCCUGAUACUAACCCUUGUGUUUUUGCUACUUUUAGCACUUUAUUGAUCCCUUCAUCCUAAGGGAUGAAGUUGAAGAUAAAUAUCCUGUUGUAUAACCUUGUUCGACAUUACUGACAAGAUGUAUGGGGUACCUUGUUAGCCUAUAUGGCUAUAAAUAUUGAUUUUGAUGAUAACAAACCACAUGUAUUUAUUGAGUAAAGAUUUAUGAAUUGUGCUUUUAUAAUGAGAAAAUGAUGUUAUGGAAUUAAAUCUUUUUGAACUAAAAUGAAAGUAAUUUUAAAAUCUUUGAUAGUAUUUUAAAUUUCGGAUUUGUACAUAUUUGAAACUAUUUAAAUGUUUUUAGGUCAUUUUGUAAUUUCACAAAGUUUGGGCGAAGUCAUAAUUUCAUAAAGUUGUGGGAUUGAGAAAGCAUUAUCUAAAAUUAUGAAAUUGGACAUAUUUGCAAACGUUUAUAACGUUUUGGGCCAUACCACAGUUUUAUAAAGUUUUAGGGUCAAAUUGAAAAUAUUAGAAAAUUUUCACUGUAGCAGGUUACUGUAGCAAGCAGCUUACCGGAUUCAGAAAAUCAGAAAUCCGGAUUCGAGGCAGUAAGCAUCCAGAACCAAAACGGCUUACCGGAUUCCUGAAUCCGGCAAACCGGUUAGGCAAAAUUUUGAAUUUUGCCUUAACGGUAACAUAAAUCCGGCUUACCGAAUUCUAUAAAAUGGCAAACUGGAUAGCCUAGAAUGUGAGUAACGGCUAGUUUUCGAGCUCAAGCUAUAAGAACUCAAAUCCAACUCAUUUUGAAGCUCUCCAACAAGCAAGAACAAAAAGCACACGUGAUAUCUUGAGCCUUCAACUUGUAAAACACAAUUCAUUGAAUCAUUCAUUGUUCUUCAUCUUUGAAUAUCUACUCAUUGAGUGAGUUUCAUUGUAUCUUUCAUUUCUUCAAUUCAUUUGUAAGAGUUUGAGUGUGUGAGACACUUGAGUGAAGAGAUUGGGAGAUAAUCUCUUUGUUGUAAAGGUUUAUUGACACCUCGAAGUCAAUUGUAAUCGUUGAAGCCUUGGAAAGGCUUGGAUAGUGAAAUCCUCGAGCUUGGAUCGCUUGGAGGCGUGGACGUAGGCGGGGAUUACCGAACCACGUAAAAAUUCGUGUGUUUGUUUCUCUUCUCCCUUACUCUUUAAUUAUUGUACCAUUAUUGAACUUAUUACUUUCAAUUAUUGUUAAGACAUUAGAUUGCUUGUUGUGUGGAUUUGUUAGGAUAAUUUUUAAAAAUCCAAUUCACCCCCCUCUUGGGUUGCACACUUGUAUUUCAUACCUCAUGUACCCUAAUGCUUGGAUAUCCCUUGAGCUAUCUGUUACUUCAUGGCGGAAUAACCCAAUUGCAUCAAACAUAUGGCGAUUCUUCCAGAUAUGCUUGUCGCUUAUCUUAAGCUUUCUUAGGGUUCCUCCUGGUGUAUCUGAGGAAUAGCUUUCUGGCGUGGGGUACCCUUAAUCAGCGUAUGGUGAUUUUCAUAGAAAUGCUUGCCGCAAAUCUUCACAAAACUUGUUGCGGUUGCUUUUGAGAGAUUGUGCGGGGUACCUUGAAUCAUGCCGGGUAUCUCAGAUUGUGCGGGGUACCUCAAAUUGUAUGGGGUACCUCUAAUCGUGCGGGGUACCUCUAAUCAUGUCGGGUACCUCGGAUUGCAGUGAAGUUAUUCCAUUCGUUGACACGUGGCGUUCUGCUAUCUUUCCUAUUUUCCCCCAAACAAUUAGUAAAGAGAGCUAAAGAACUAGCUUUAGUUACGAGCAGAAAAUCAGAAGUCAAGGAGCAGCCAAAGCACUUUUAAUGGUGAUGGUAAAACUAGAGAGGUAAUGCAAAUAAGUUUACGUUGAUUGGAUAUUCAGAAGAAGUAAUACGCCAUUAAAAGCAACAAGUUUUCCAAAAAGCCAACAAAGACAGAGACCACCACACCACCCCGCACUGGAUGAAAAACGAUGAAAGCAUGAUAAGUGGCAUCGAGUAAGCCACGUUCUCUCUCUCUCUCUCUCUCACUCGCACUCGCACUCGCACUCGCACACACUGUUACUAAAAUGACCAAAAAUAAGAUUCCCAUCAAAAUAUUUUCGAGUAUCGUUCUUGAAAGUGGCGGCGGCUGAUGAUGAUGAACACAGCCGCGAUUGCGAUUGGCGAAGGCGGCGUUCUGCCCGUAUCACAGCUAGUUAUCGGUCGCGGCAGAAAAGAUAAUGAAACGACGGCUGAUGAUGAUGAUGAUGAUGUUGAACAGCCGCGAAUAUGGGUAAGUGAUGCGACGAUGAUUUGAUUUGAUGAAGAUGAGCUGAACAUGGAAUAAGAGAGGAAAUGUUUGUGCGGCUGGGAAAGUGUAAUGAACUGCUAGGGCACCAUUUGGGUUUUUUUGCUUUCCUAUUUAUAUUAAAAAUAAUUUUUAAAAAUUAAUAUAUAUCCGGGUUCGGGUUUUGGAUGUACGGGUUUACCUAGACCCGGACACAUGCGGAUUCAGCAGCACCGACCACCCACAGACUUGGAUUUGAUUACAAAGUUGGGACUUAGGAUUUGGGUUUGUGGCUGCCGAAACAGAAAGUGAGAGAGUAGAAAGUAGAGACUGAGAGUGGUGCAAACAUGUGUAAUUUUGUGUGUGUGUCUAUAUAUAUAUAAUGUGAAAUUACAAAAAUGCCAUUAUAUCAGUUCAAUUCGAAUUUUGUAACUUGUGAUCCGAAAACUGAACCAAACCGAACCAUUUGGUUUGGUAUUUAUAUAUUCAGGUUUUUAAUUUAAAAAAACUAAAUUGAAAUUGAAAGAACUAAACCGAACCGAAUUUUUUUUUUUUUUGUUUCGAUUCAAUUAUGCCCAUCCCUACUUAGUAGGCUGGGUAUCAAUUUCUUUGAAUUGUGCUUUCAUUGCAGUAAUCUCCUCCUUGGUAAUAGGUUUAAUUGCUUGCUGAUGCCACCUUUCCUCUAGUAACAACUAGUCUAACAAGCCAUCAUCGUCAAACAUGUACCUAUUAUAAGCAUCAUCCAGAAUUUGCUCUCUUUGCUUUUUGCUUAGUGUCUUCUUUGCACAAGCUAUUAUCUUAGCUUUUGUAUCAAUAUCUUUAUCUUUUGAUUCACCAGAGGAUGAAUCAUCACCGGAAUAGAGUGGUGAAGGCCCCAUAGAUUAGUGUGAUCAAGUUCUAGUGUAGUUUUGGUUUUGAUUUCAGUAUUAGGAAAAUGAAGCCUAUGAAAUUUACCAAGCUAACAUGCUUCACAAAAGUGCUUUAAUACUUGACUAUGAAUACUUGAAGAGGAUAAAUGAGGAUAAAUAAAUUUAAAUAUACAUUAGAUUUUGAGGGUUGGGAUGUCAAAACUUUUGGUGAAAAAGAGUUAGUACAAGCAUUUUUAUUGAGAUUGAAAACAUUUCUUAAGAUGAUCAAUACUAGUUACAAAAUUGGAAUGAAAAAAAAAAGGCAACAUAGACAAAGGUUUGUUUAUUUGAUUGUAAGAUAGAAAAGACUUGUAUUUAGGUUGUGGAAAGGAUUUGAGCAGCAAUUUAUACAACCUUUUCUCAGCAAAACCUUCCUCUUCAAUGAAUCCUUCACAAAACAAAUAGAUCCAAGAAAUUCGACAAAUAAAUUGUUGUCAAUGGUAAGUUUUGAAAUGCUCAAUAGAUUCUUUGUAAUGGAUGGAACAAACAGUACAUCCUUAAGUAAAAUAUGUCUUAUAUUAUCUUUUUUUAAUUCUUUUUAAAAAAAUAAGUGAAUAAUAGUAUGUCAAUCUCAAAUAUCAAUAUGUACAAUUUUUAUUUGUGUAAGAAUUUGCAUCCAAUAAUCAUCAAUACAUAAUUGUCUUUUAAUUGAAUGGUUCUCACCUCCCUUCCAAACUUUGAAAAGGUAAAAUAAGAUCAAUCAUGUCAGUGGCAAUUAAUAUAAAGAUUACUUUUCUUAUUUGUAGUAACGUCCUCUGAUUAUUUAGCUGAUUUUCAAGCUACACAUUUAUUCCAUUUGAUGUUGAUAUUAGUAAAAUUAAUGUAAUAUUUAAAAAGGAAAAAAAUCCGUCGAGCUAAAAGCCGAGUAUAAAAUUGAACCAGACCCAAACCAGAAACGCACGCCAACAACAUGUUUGCGUCAGUCGGCCCAUGCCCAUAAACCCACCAAGCCCGAUCCAAAUAGAAAAAUGAAUUGGACACCCGAGAUAGCAGAAACAGAUAAGUAACGGUCGUGCUAUCCCCAAUCUCAUAUCUUCAACGGUAUCCAGCCAACAUCUCAAAGUGUUCAAUUUUUUUUUAAGCCAAAAAAAAAUUCAAAAUUUUCAAGCGGAAUCUGGGAAGAUAGCGAUGAAAAGCAAGAUUCUGGUUAUCGGCGGAACCGGAUACAUCGGUAAGUACUUAAGGUGCGUUUGAAAUUGAGGUUGAGCAACUAUAACUUUAAAACUGCAGCACUAAAAUAUUUGGUAAACACUAAUUGUUGUAACUUAAAAGCUAUUUAAUAUAAUUUUUCACUUGUAUAAUAAAAAAUUUAUUAUCUUUAAUAAUUUUGUCAAAAUUAUUAUUUAAAAUAUAUACAGUAAGAGAGAUUGUAACAUUUUCAAUCUUUGGUUUGAUAUUCUGGAAGAAAACGAUUUGCCGUUUAUGGAGAAAACUGCUAACCGUUUAAUUUCAGAGAGCAUGUUUUCUAUUCUAGAGAAAACGGCUAACCGUUUGGAGAAAACGGCUAACCGUUUGGAGAAAAUGGCUAACCGUUUGGAGAAAACGGCUAACCGUUUAAUUCCAGAGAGCAUGUUUUCUGUUCUAGAGAAAAUGACUAACCGUUUGGAUAAAACGGCCAACCAUUAAUUACAGAGAGCAACUUAUUUGACAUUCUGGAAUAAAACGGCUCACCGUUAUUGAGAAAACGGCUAACCGUUUAUUUCCAGAGAGCGUGUUUUUGCGUCAACUGGAAAAACGGUUAGCAAGCUUAGAAAUUUCAAUUGUCAAUCGAUGCAAACUCAAACCAAAAGAGUGUUUUUUUGAAGAAGUACUAUUUUUAAUGGUUGUAUUCUUUCAAAUAAACAUCUUCUUUAUUAAAGAUAGACAAACUAUUAUAUCAUAAUUAGAUUUUGCAGGUUUCAUAUAUGUUCUGGAAAUACAAUCUUAUUUUUUAGAGAUUGUAUUCAGGAUUUGAUAUAUCUUAGGGGUAAUUUGCCAUUAAAACUCUAUAGCAAACCAAGAUUGGUGAGGGUAAAUAAAACCUUAAAGAAAAAUGUGCAAACACGUCUCAAAUCCUAAGAAAUUUUCUUUGUUCUUUGCCUCCAUAUUCUUAAAAUUUGAAAAUUCACCCAUCAAUCUUUAAGGUUUUAUUUUGAUGCAAAUAGAGGCUGAGAAGAGUUUGACGUCAUUUCUUAAUCCUAGUGUCCAUCUCGAUCGUUUUGAUGGAACAAAUUUCACUCGUUGGAAGGAAAAAUUGUUCUUUCUUCUUACUGUUCUUAAAGUGGCAUAUGUUCUUAAUCCGAAAUUGGAACCAUUUCCAGAACCAAGGGAAGAUGAUACCGAAGUUGUUAAGGCUGUAAGGAAACGUCGUGAAGAUGAUGAAUUGAUGUGCCGGGGUCACAUACUCAAUACGCGUUCUGACAGGUUAUAUGAUCUCUACAAUUUUAUGACUUCUUCGAUGGAAAUUUGGAAUGCUCUUGAGUACAAAUACAAAACGGAGAAAGAAGGUACUGACAAAUUCCUUGUCUCUAAAUAUUUUGAAUUUAUUAUGGUAGACACACAAUCCAUUCUUGAUCAAAUACAUGAGUUAUAAAUUAUUGUUGCUAAGCUUCGAGAGUUAAAAGUUAAAAUUUCUGAAUCAUUUCAAGUUGGGACUAUUAUUGCUAAAUUGCCUCAAAGUUGGAAUGAUUAUAGAAAGAAACUCCUUCAUAGUAAAGAGAACAUAACUUUAGAAGAAUUGCAAAAACACUUGGUAAUUGAAGAAGAGACUAGGUCUCGCGAAUCCAAGGAUAAACAUGAUUCUACUAAAGUUAAUGUUCUUGAAGCUAGUAAAUUCUCAAAGAAUUUUAAAGUCAAGAAUGACAAGAAAUUUAAGAGGUCCAGCACACAAAAGUUUUCUGGAAAUUGUUUCUUUUGUGGUAAGAAAGGUCAUCGCCAAAGUGAUUGCAGAUUCAAGAAAAAAAAAGAAGAAGUGAAUUCCUAUAAAGCUAAUGUUAUUGAAAACAAAUCUGAAAAGAUUUGUGCUAUGGUUUCUGAAAUACAAAUUGGCAUGAUUAUCGAAACCAAUAUGGCUGAAACUAAGUCCUAUGAUUGGUGGCUCGAUUCGGGUACAACAAUUCAUGUUUGUAAUGAUAAGAAAUUUUUAUUAUCAUACAAAGAAGAAACGGAAGGACAAAUGGUUCUCAUGGGGAACAAUAAUGCAGCCAUAGUAGCAGGGAAAUGAGUAGUUGAGAUCAACUUCACUUCUAGAAAGAAAGUCACAUUGUAUAAUGUCUUUCAUGUACCUUCCGUUAGGAAGAAUCUUAUUUCUGCUAGUUGUAUGUGUAAGCAUGGGCUUAAGAUUGUGCUUGAGGGUAAUACUUGUAUUAUCUCAAAGAAUGAAUUAUUUGUUGGGAAAGGGUAUUCUUGUGAUGGAAUGUACAAACUCAACAUUAAUAAUAAUAAUAUCAACUUAGCUUAUAUUGUUGAGUCUUGUGAUGUUUGGCAUGCUAAAUUAGCACAUUUGAAUUUUAGAUCUUUGAAAUACAUGUCUGAGCAUGGUUUGAUUAAUUGCAAUGAUGUUAAAGGUCAUAAGUGUGAAAUCUGCAUCCAAGCUAAAUUAACUAAGAAACAUUUUCUUAAAGCCGAACGAAAUACUCAAAUAUUGGAUUUAAUAUAUACCGAUAUUUGUGAGUAUAAUGGCGUUUUAACAAGAGGAGGUAAGAAGUACUUUAUCCCUUUUAUUGAUGAUUGUUCUAGAUACACUUAUAUGUAUUUACUUAGAACAAAAAAUGAAGCUUUUGAUAAAUUUAAAAUUUUCAAAGCUGAAGUUGAGAACCAAAAAGAUAAGAAAAUCAAAAUGGUUCGUAGUGAUAGAGGUGGUGAAUAUUUCUCAAUUGAAUUUAAUAAUUAUUGUGAAGAAUUUGGAAUUAUUCACCAAAGAUCAGCUCCAUUUACUCCUCAACAAAGUGGUUUGGCUGAAAGAAAGAAUAGGAUCUUCACGGAUAUGAUAAAUUCCAUGAUCCAUAAUGCAAAACUACCAAAUAAUUUGUGGGGGGAAGCAUUACUCACUGCAUGUCAUAUUCAUAACAGAAUUACAUCUUUGAAAACACAUAUAUCUCUUUAUGAAAUUUGGAAAGGAAGAAAACCAAACUUGAUGUAUUUAAGGGUCUAGGGUUGUUUAGCUUUUUAUAAAAUACAUGAUCCUAAAUCAUCAAAGUUAAGUGCUAGAUGUAUAAAGAGUGUUUUCGUAGGAUAUGCUGAAAAUUCUAAGGCUUAUAGGUUGUUAGAUUUAGAUUAUAAUGUGAUUGUGGAAUCUAGAGAUGUUGAAUUUAUUGAGAAUAAAUUUCAACAUGAUUCUAAUAUUGAAUUAGAAUCAAUUAUUGAUCAACCAUGUGUUAAUACUCCUGUUACCUCCACUAACAAUAAUAAAAGGAAAGAGUCUAUGACAUCUUUCGAACCAAUGAGGAGUCAACGUGAAAAGAAAGAAAAGAGUUUAGCUCCGGAUUUUAUUUCAUCACAAGCACUACUCUUCUUGGUUGAAGGGGAUAGAAAGAAUGUACUUAACAAAGUACCAUUAUUGUUAAAUAUUGAAAAAGAUCCAAAGACAUUUAGCGAAGCUAUGUCUUCUAGAGACGCUUCUUUUUAGAGAGAGGCGGUAAAUGAUGAAAUUGAUUCGAUUAUUUCGAAUCAAACAUGGGUCUUGGUUGAUCUUCCUCCAGGAUCUAAACCAAUUAGCAGCAAAUGGGUAUUUAGAAGAAAGUACAAUAGUGAUGGUUCUUUGCACACUUUUAAGGCUAGAUUAGUAGCCAAAGGGUUUAAGCAAAGAAAUGGUAUUGAUUAUUUCGAUACAUAUGCUUCGGUAGCAAGGUUAACUUCUAUAAGAGUGCUAUUUGCAAUUGCUUCAUUGAACAAUUUGUAUGUGCAUCUAAUGGAUGUUAAAACCGCUUUUCUUAAUGGUGAUCUUGAUGAAGAAAUCUAUAUGGAACAACCUGAGGGAUUUGUUUUACCAGGAAAUGAGAAAAAAGGUAUGCAAAUUAGUCAAAUCACUUUAUGGUUUAAAGCAAGCACCAAAACAAUGGCAUGAGAAGUUUGAUUCGGUAAUUUUAUCUCAUGGUUUUAAGCAUAAUAAUGCUGAUAAAUGUAUAUAUUUUAAAUUUACGAAUGAUUUUGGUGUGAUUAUAUGCUUGUAUGUUGAUGACUUGCUUAUCUUUGGGACAAAUAUGCAAGGAGUAGAUGAUACAAAGAAGUAUUUAACUUCACAAUUUAAGAUAAAAGAUCUUGGUGAAGUAGAUACUAUCUUAGGUGUCAAAGUGAAGAAACAUAGUGAGGGUUACUCGUUGUGUCAAUCUCAUUAUAUAGAGAAAGUGCUUCUUAAAUUCAAUUAUUUGAAAUUUAAAGAAGCUAAUACCCCAUAUGAUUCUAGUAUUAAAUUAUUAGAGAAUUCAGGCCGAGUAGUAGCACAACUAGAAUAUGCUAGUGCUAUUGGUAGCUUGAUGUAUGCUAUGCAUUGUACGAGGCCUGAUAUAGCAUUUGCAGUUUGCAAAAUGUCAAGAUUCACGAGUAACCCUAGUGUUGAACACUGGAAAGCAAUUGGUAGAAUACUUGGUUAUCUUAAAAGGACCAUUCAUUUGGGUUUAUUUUAUAAUGAUUAUCCUGAAGUACUGGAAGGAUAUUCAGAUGCUAGUUGGGUAACCAAUACAAGAGAUAAUAAAUCCACUUCUGGUUGGAUUUUUACAAUUGUUGGAGGAGCAGUUUCCUGGGCUUCAAAGAAACAAACGUACAUAACUCAUUCAACAAUGGAAAGUGAGUUUAUAGCACUCGCAGUUGCAAGCAAGGAAGUAGAAUGACUGAGAAAUUUGUUGUUUGAUAUAAUGUUAUGGCCACAACCGAUGCCAUAUAUUUCUUUGUACUGCGAUAGUGAAGCUACAUUGUCUAGAGCUUAUAAUAAAGUGUAUAAUGGAAAGUCUAGACAUAUUAGCUUGAGACAUGAAUAUGUGAAACAAUUAAUAGCAGAUGGUGUUAUUAAUAUUGUUUAUGUUAGGACUAAUAAGAACCUAGCGGAUCCUUUAAUAAAAGGUCUUACAAGAGACUUAGUUAAGGAUACAUCUUUUGGAAUGGGAUUGAAACCUUUAAAUAAUAAAGUCACCAACGACGAUAACCCAACUAUGUAGUAGUUGUACCGCUACUCCAUAGUUAAAUGGAUAAUAACAAGUUGUUGUUAUGUGACUGGUUUGGCACCGAGUAAUAAAUAAUCACAUUCGAGAUAUUCGGUGCAAAUAGCUACGAGGUUGAGGUUGAGUAUUUAUUCUUAAUGAAGUUCAAGUCUUAUAGUAGCUAAAGACAUGAUUUGAAACUUCACCUAAGUGAACAUAAGAAAUGGUGCCGUUUCUAACAAGAUCAUGGUUUAAUCUAGUAAAUGUUCAUGAAUUCAAGAUAGAGCACAAGGCCGGAAUAGUGCUAAAUAUUGGAACACAACUUUGAAAAUCUGGGAUAGCUUAUAUGUGAUGUAUCUCCGGUAUUUACUUAAGAGACAAAGUUUAAUGCUUAGCACAUUAUUGUCUUGUAAAUGCUUUGAAAUACACUCACUAAUUAAAGGUUAAAAUCGAAAGAUAUCUUUUUGUAUGUAUAAGUUUAUCAUUAAUAAAUAUGAAAAAUAUUACAAUCUAGUGGGGGAUUGUAAGAGAGAUUGUAACAUUUUCAAUCUUUCGUUUGAUAUUCUGGAAGAAAACGGUUUGCCGUUUAUGGAGAAAACGGCUAACUGUUUAAUUCCAAAUAGCAUGUUUUCUGUUCUAGAGAAAACGACUAACUAUUUGGAGAAAAUGGCUAACUGUUUAAUUCUAGAGAGCAUGUUUUCUGUUCUAGAGAAAGCGGCUAACCGUUUGGAUAAAACGACCAACCGUUAAUUACAGAGAGCAACUUAUUUGACAUUCUGGAAUAAAACGGCUCACCGUUAUUGAGAAAACGGCUAACCGUUUAUUUCCAGAAAGCGUGUUUUUGCGUCAAUUGGAAAAACGGUUAGCAAGCUUGGAAAUUUCAAUUGUCAAUCGAUGCAAACUCAAACCAAAAGAGUGUUUUUUUGAAGAAGUACAAUUUCUAAUGGUUGUAUUCUUUCAAAUAAACAUCUUCUUUAUUAAAGAUAGACAAACAAUUAGAUCAUAAUCAGAUUUUGCAGGUUUCAUAUAUGUUCUGGAAAUACAAUAGAUCAUAAUCAGAUUUUGCAGGUUUCAUAUAUGUUCUGGAAAUACAAUCUUAUUUGCUAGAGAUUGUAUUCAUGAUUUGAUAUAUCUUGGGGGUAAUUUACCAUUAAAACUCUAUAGCAAACCAAGAUUGGUGAGGACAAAUAAAACCUUAAAGGAAAGUGUGCAAACACGUCUCAAAUCCUAAGAAUUGUUUUUUGUUCUUUGCCUCCAUAUUCUUAAAAUUCGAAAAUUCACCCAUCAUAUACAUACUACAUAUUAUUAACUUUUGUUUUAUAACUAUAGUGUUUUUUUUUUACCGCAACUGUAGUUUAAAAACUACAGCACCUCAAUCCCAAACAAGACCUUAGUGGAAGCGAGCGCAAAAGCCGAUCACCCAACAUUCGCGCUUGUGAGAGACUCCACUCUCUCCACUCAUUCCAAAUCCAAAAUCCUCGACCGUUUCAAAAAUCUCGGCGUCAAUUUAGUUCUUGUGCGCCACUCUUUUAGCUUUCCAAUUUUCCCGCCAAUUUUCUUUUAUUGUGAUUAAUUAAUUAAUUAAUUAAUUAAAGUAAAGAUUUUAUAUUAUAAUUUUGUUUGCAGGGAGAUCUAUACAGCCAUGAGAGCUUGGUGAGUGCAAUAAAGCAAGUGGAUGUUAAGGUAAUGAUUAACUUAAGUAAAUGCGUUAACUAAUUACUUGGGAUUUUAAAUUCAAAUGCGUGAAUUGUUCUAAAAAAUGAUUUAUGUUUAUUAGUCAGAGAUUCUUUCCUUCAGAAUUUGGAAAUGAUGUUGAUCGCGUGCAUGCCGUUGAGCCAGCAAGAACAUCAUUUGCCACCAAGGCUAAAAUCCGCCGAGCUGUUGAGGCUGAAGGAAUUCCAUACACCUACGUAGCUUCCAAUUUCUUCGCUGGUUUGUAUCUUUCCAGUUUCUCACAGCCUGAAGCCACAGCUCCUCCAAGGGAUAAAGUGGUCAUCGUAGGUGAUCGAAAUGCAAAAGGCAAAGCGCUUCUGGAUACAUUUACUCUGUACACGCAAUGUGUGGUUACUGUUUGGGGAUAAAAAAGGAGAUUAAUUAAUAAAGAAAAUGAAAUUAUUGAGGGAUUUGCUGAAGAGUUGCGUGCACUCCUCAUUUUUCUCCACCACUCAUCUUACUUGCAAAAUGCAAUGACCAAACUAUCCUCGCCAAAGCCUAGACAUUUACUUGUGUUCAAAGGCCAUUUAAGAGAGACAAGUACAAAAAAUUAUAAAGGAUAGUGAGCAAAAGAAGAAAAUGGAAGGAGGGGAGAAUAAAAAAUGGGAGUGGGGCGUUAUCUAGGGAGGAUUUUUAUUUUUAUUUUUUUUCCUCUCUUCUCCAUGGCAUCUCUUUCUCUCUUUCUCCCACUAAGAAAUUCUUUCUUUUACACUCUAUUUUACUUUUAUUCAAAUUACACAAAAAACUUUUGGUUUUAAGGCAAUGUUUAUUAAGCCACGUGAAUUUGAAAAAGCAGGAAUAAGGGGAUGAUUUUAACACAUUAAUUCACCAACAUUAAUUGGAAAAGAUCAGUUGCCACUUCGAAUCAGAGUAAUUUCUUCGGCAAUAGCCAAAUAUUGAUAUUUGAUCUUGACACUGUAGUUAAAUCAAUGUAACUGGUUUUGUCAUUUGAUCCCCAGUAAUUUUUAACAAGGAAGACGAUAUUGGAAUUAAUUCUAUCAAAGCGGUGGAUGAUCCGAGAACACUGAACAAAAUACUUUACAUCAGACCCCGUUGCAAUAUCUACUCAUUUAAUGAUCUUGUGUCUCUGUGGGAGGAAAAGAUUGGCAAAGCCCUUGACAGGGUCUAUGUUACAGAGGAACAACUUCUGAAAAACAUUCAAGGUUAGUUAGAACUAUCACUUUAUCAAGUGCAUAGAUGUAACUGACCGAUAAUGGAAUUUUUUUUCCUUCUCCAAAAUGCGAUAGAAUCUAAUCGGUUUCAACAAUCUCAAGAACACCUAUUCAUGGUUGUGUUGUUUGAAAUCUGUAUGUAUCAGUUUUCUUUCUAGAUCUCAGAUUGCUCGCAAGGAUGUCAAGUUUUGAUGAUGCUUGCCUGUUUUCCUGUGUUUACAGAAGCUUCAUAUCCACUCAAUAUGAUAUUACCUAUUGGGCACUCUGCCUAUGUCCUGGGAGAUCAGACCAACUUCGAAAUUGAACCUUCAUUUGGAGUAGAGGCAACAGAGCUUUAUCCAGAUGUCAACUACACUACUGUGGAUGAGUACCUCAACCAGUUCAUAUAAACCUUCUGAGAUGAGCAGCAGGAUCCUAACAAAAAAUUGGGUGGUUUCCAUCCCUGAUUCUAUGGUAUAAAGAUAGCGGCUUUCCCUGCUUUUGCCAGUUCAAUGAAGUUUGUUAGAUGAUGUUAUUUAUACUAUACUAGCAAAGAUCAAGUUGCCUUUCUUGUCAAGAAGCCAAGCUCUGGCAUUGGUUUAUGCUAGUUUUUCAUGUUUAUUACUUUUUUUGCAUUCAAAAUGAUAAAACUGCAGAGGUUGUUGCAUGCACGUCAUUUGUUAGUAGGGGUAUCAAUUUAUGAACGUAUGAAGUAUCUCUUCUGCAACGGCAUCCUCCUUAACUGUCAGUAGGAUCACAAUAAGUCGACCAACCAUCUACCGUAUGGAUUAUCUAUAAAUUGAAAUUGGUGUGUAUUAUGGAUCUGUCACUCUGCUGUUUCUGUUUUCUUUUCUAUUUUUACCAAGAAAGAAACAUUGUUAAAACUGAAUGGUUGUUAUCUCGUCUUGUUGUAAUGUUGUGUAUGCUUUCUAGAAAAUAAUGAAGUGCCAAAUAUGAAAAUACUAGUGGCUACCUUACCAUCCUUAAUAAGUUGUCUGAUUGUCACCGUCAACAAUCACUCUCAGCAACUCAUAAUCCAUUUAAGCAUAUUAUAAAAUAAUCAAUUUUGUAUUUGCACCAACUUUUAGUUUUAAAUGACAAUUUCGUUGAUCCCCACACUUCUGUACUAAUCAAAUCCACUGAAACUGGACUUUUUUUUCUUUUUUUUUAUAAUUACAUCGAUUGCAUUGGCUAUUGCAGGGAAAAGACUGCCUCUACAGGGAACUAAACUUUCAGAAUUGUUCUUAUGAGGGUUUGAAUAUGCUCUCGUACUAGGUCAAUGGCCUAUUGGUUCGAGACCAUUCACAAAGAAAGAAAUGAGUUUUGCUUGUAUAAAUGAAAGAAAUCCAAAUGAUAACUAAUGUAUAGUGGUACAUGAGAAAAAUAAUUUCAGCCCGUGUAAAGUCAAAAAGAGAAAAUAUUAAAAGAAAGGAUAAUGUCAUUGAGUUCGGUGAAGUGAAAGAAAAUGAAAAACAUGGGAUUUAGUCAAACUUAGUGUCCCAAUCAGCAGAAAAAGGUUUUAGAAACUCACCUCAAGUUAAGCCAACUAUUAGGAGCUUUAUUUAAUCAUGACUUUCUAAUGUAUAGUACUCCAAUACUAAACGAGGGCUACCUCUACGCUUGCAAUUGUAAAUGAAAUUGAGUUCGUGACGCACAAUGAAGUGAGCAAAAUGAGUUGAGAUCUGAGAAUAUAUUAAAGAAAAUAUGAAUCAAUGAAUUUUGGUUAAAAAAAACAAAUGCUGGUUCUUCAAGACCUGCGUGUAUUGUGUAAGUUUUGUUAGGAGAAGGAAAGCAUUUUGGUCUAAAACGCACUAAAUCGGAUUCAUUUGCUUGAUAUCUAAUAAGGGUGAAUUAACCACUCGCCCACAGCAAUUCAAGUCCCAAAAAAAUUAUUGUGGGGGCUAAAUUUCUUCUUUAAUUAUAACAAAUAAUUGAGUGGAGGAUAAAAAUUUAGGCCAUGUAUAACAAUAACUAAUAUAAACUAGUCCUAAUAAUAGUAUAAUUGUAAAUAUCAGUUGUAGUCUCAUACAAUAUAAGUUUAUAGAUUAUAAUAUCGGCAUAAAAAGAAAAAUGAUAUCUGACGGUCAAUCAAUAAAAGGACAAAAACUUGGAGUAACAUACCACAAAGUCAAUGUAGCUGGACAGAUGAAUAUAAUAUGUAAACAAAUUUAAAUGGGAUAAUACCAUACGGUACAUACAUAACAUUUUAAAACUGAAUUAAAAAAAUAAAAUUAAAACUGAAUUGGAAUUCGUAUGUGUAUCCAGCUACCUUGCAACAGUUGUAAGGUACCCUAACUUUGCAACAAUUUCAUCCUUCGUGCAUUCGGUCACAAAGUCCAAAUUAGGCACGUUUAAGAAUCGAACUGAAAAACUAAAAAAAAAGAAUCCGGCGAUAUUUGCGAACCGGAAACGAGCCAGCGUUAUGCUUAUGUCAUUUCAGAGAUAUCAACAGUCGUGCUUUCAGUCCUUAAACCUCAAGGGCAUUUUCGUCCUUUCACUCAAGCGUGAAACUGCAUGUAAGAACUGCUUCGCUUACACGCUCCAUGCACAUUUAAAGGCACCACUGUCGGAUAAAAAAUAUCCAUCCAUUUGAUCAUUUCAAAACAAAACGAAAAAAAAAAUCUCAGUAAUUGAACUGAACGAGUCUCAGAAAUGGCAUCGAAAAGUAAGAUUCUAUUCAUCGGCGGGACAGGGUAUAUCGGUAAAUUCACUGUCGAAGCGAGCGUAAAAGCCGGCCACCCGACGUUCGUGCUCGUGAGAGAAUCCACAAUCUCUGGUCCUUCCAAAUCUCAACUCCUCGAUCACUUCAAAAACCUCGGCGUCAAUCUUGUCAUAGUGCGUUUUCAUUUUUCUCUUUUCUUUAUUUUUUAUUCCGAUCAUUUUUACACGUCGAAGUGUAGCAUCUACUACUUAAUAUACAUAAUGAUAUUAUUAUUUUUUAAUUUUUUUGGGUUGCUGUUAUUAUUAUACAGGGAGAUGUGUUGAAUCACGAGAGUUUGGUGAAGGCGAUAAAACAAGUGGACGCGGUGAUAUCAACAGUUGGUCACACUUUAAUAGCCGAUCAGGUCAAGAUUAUUGCUGCCAUUAAAGAAGCCGGUAACGUUAAGGUAUGACAUAAUUAAUGUAAAUGUCUUAGAUUUCGAUCAGGAUUGUGCACUCGUGCACACGUGGUGAUUUAUUCUUCGUGUGGAGCUCGCUGUAGAGUAGAGCUCCCAGUUCCGCUAAUAAACACCCGUCAGAUGCGCAAUUGCGCCUCAAAAUAAUUUAAUUAAUUAAUUAGGUAUAAACACCGAUGGCAUGAAAGCAAUUAAAAUUAGUUGAUGUUUAUAAAUUAUUUAUUACUCAGAGAUUCUUACCAUCGGAAUUUGGAAAUGAUGUUGAUCGAGUCGAAGGCGCCGUAGAGCCAACAAAAUCGACGUAUGACGUAAAGGCGAAAAUCCGCCGAGCCGUUGAGGCAGAAGGCAUUCCGUACACUUACGUAGAAUCUUAUUGUUUUGAUGGGUAUUUCCUCCCCAAUUUGUUGCAGCCUGAGGCCACUGCCCCCCCUAGGGAUAAGGUUGUCAUCUUAGGCGAUGGAAAUCCAAAAGGUAAUAUAAUUUAAUUAAGCUCUGUUUGUUUGGUAUGUAUUGCGGUGUUAAUGUUAUUGUCUGUUGUACAAUGGAUGGUCUUGCUUGGUACUGUUGUUGGAGAGCUGCAGUGUUUUGAUAAACACCUCUAUAGUCUAUCCUUAUCCUUAGCUUUCAAGUUAAGUUGAUUUUAUACAACACUUGUUUAAUUAAAAACUUGUAAUAUUCUUACUACUUUGAUAAAAAAAAUAUUACGAUUAAAGUAUUAAUGGCACCAUAAUACGAAAUGAAUCUUAAGUGGUCAUUAUAGAUUUUAAGAUAGAGUUUUAAGUGAUUACCAGAUACUUUAGCUGCUGAACCGCCACAUCAUGGUUGCCACACAACAAUUUCAAACAGAACCUAAAUAACUUCAUUGCAAAACAGUUAAAUGAAUCUAACUUAGUUUCGUCGUUUGAUUUUCAGCUGUUUUUAACAAGGAAGAUGAUAUUGGAACCUACACUAUCAAAGCGGUUGAUGAUCCGAGAACCUUGAACAAAAACUUUUACAUUCAGCCUCCCGGUAAUAUUUACUCAUUCAAUGAUCUUGUGUCUCUGUGGGAGAGAAAGAUUGGUAAAACCCUCGAAAAGGAGUAUGUUUCAGAGGAGCAGCUCCUAAAGAAUAUUCAAGGUUGGUUAAAACUCUCUUUUUUAAAUGUAUUAAAGAGAGCCGUAUAUUCUCUGCCGUAAAUGUUAUUGAUCCUGUCUUCUCCAAAAUGUUGCAGAAGCUGCACCUCCACACAAUGUGAUAUUAUCAAUUUAUCACUCUGCUUUCGUGAAGGGAGUUCAAACCAACUUCAAGAUUGAACCAUCUUUUGGAGUUGAAGCCUCGCAGCUUUAUCCUGAUGUCAAGUACACUACAGUUGAUGAGUACCUCAAUCAGUUUGUGUAACCCUUCUCUGUUUCCAGCUGCAGCUUGCAGGAUCUUGGACUCUUGGUAAAUAAAUAAUUGGCUUGUUGCCAUCUUUGGUUUUAUAUGUAAAAAUUAUGGUUGUUGGCCUUACUUUCUUCUGGUUGUCCAUGGAAUUUGUUAGACCAUAUUAUGUUUGCUAUGUCAGUGAUCAAAUGAAGUAGGCCAUGUACUUGAUUUGAGAGUAGUAGUUAUAAAAAGCCAUCAUGAUCAGGUGGGUGCGUGGGUUGGGCUUCUAUUAGGGUGCGUGUGUUGGGCUUCAGGGGCUUGUGAUAUGGGUUCGACAGCCCCUAACGGGCAGUCAUUAUAAAAAUAAUUAUAGAGUUACAAAUCUAUGUAAAAAGCAAAAAUUAAAAGUAAUUUAUCAAUAAAAAUAAUUAAAAUUAAUAAAAAGUAGGUAUGAUAUUUCAGAAAUUAAAUUAAAGAUAGCAUUCUAAAGAGUUGGAUAAUCCUCCAACUAAACUAAAGAUCUAGUACAUUUGAGAGCAAAUUUAAUUAAAGAAAAGGAUAAGGAAAAACAAUAGAAUAAUAAUAUUAAAAAUUGCAAAUCUUGGUCUUUUUUUUUUACGAUGAUGUUGAUUUCUUAUAAAUUUAAUCUUAUCUAUAGAAUUAUUUAGUUACUGUAUGUCAAAAUUUCCUAUAAAGAUGAAGAAAAAUUAUAUUAGGAGAAGAUCCAAAUCCGUUUAACUGAUGCAUCAUCAACAACAUGAGUACAACAUUUUCGAAUAAACAAAAGAAACUCGUUUUAUGUGCGAACCAGUUCCAAAAUAAAGAGCAGACUAUUGGAAGGAGACAAAUACUACAAGAAGAACAAAACAUUCUACAGUUCCUACAUGAGCCCGCAACAAUUAAUUAUUAACUCGACAUUCAUUACACUUUUUCUUUAAUUUGACAAAGAAACCAAAAAUAAGAUAAAAUUGACUAAGAAAUAAAAAAAUGACCAAAAUCUUUUUGAAGUUUUGCCAGUUCAGCCAUGCACGCUUAUCUUUAUUCACUUGUUUCCUUUCUUUCCUGGAGCCUUCACAAAUCCUUUACCUUUCUGAGCCUUGCCAAUUUUCCCCUUCUUCAAACCACCUGGCCUUGCUGGAUCCACGUGUCCUUGCAUCCUUUUUCAUUCGUGGAUCAACAAGAAUCUCCCCCUUUCCAACUCUCUCUUGAACUCCUUUCUUUGCGACCAUGUAUUCUUUUGUAGGCCUUUUGGGUAUAGUUGUCUUGUAUAAUUGUUCAAUUUGAUUCCUCUUCGAACGAUCAGAGAUGUCCGCUUAGUCUAAUAUGACAUUUGCCUUCUUGCGAACCUUCUCAAGAUUUCGCAUGGCAACCCGUAUCUUUCGAGCUUUGGUCUUAGCCACCUUCUUGGCAAUAAGGGUGGGCGAUUCGGUUUUGGGAUAAACUUUUGGUUUCGUAUCGGUUUAGAUUCAAAAAUAGUAUAAAAAAAUAUUUAGAUUUUAUGGGAAAAAAUCUGAACCGAAACUGACCUAUCGAUUUCGUCUCGGUUUCAGUUUAGUUUCGAUUCUCCUAAUAGUUUUGUUUUGCCUUAUUGACUUCCGGUCAAGGACACUUUUGAAAAAUUUACAAACAAAAAAAAAUUGGCCAUAACAAAAUUUCUAUAUGUAAAUAUUUCCUAAACAUUGGGCUAUACUAAAUUUUUUUAAAAGGUAGGGAUCCAAACGAUAUUAUCCCUCUACUUCAUCUUCAACCUUCGUCACUUAGCAGCUACCACAGUAUCGAAAUGGAAAAACUAAAAAAGCACCGUAGGAUACGCAUAUCCACACAUAUCUAAUAAAACUAAAUAUUAUUAAUAAUUUAGUAUAGUAAUAAUAAAACAAGACAAACAUGAAAUUAGAAAAGACUAAAGAGCUUUUUAAGAAAAAAGCCAUUUAAAAAACGAAAAAUAGCAAGUUAUUUGGCUAGUUAACUGGCGACAGAAGUAAUGGAAAGAAGCAACAACGGCAGCGGCAGGUCAACAACGAAGAUUCAGCAGCACCGACCACCCACAGACUUGGAUUCGAUUGCAAAGUUGGGACUUAGGAUUUGGGUUUGUGGCUGCUGAAAUUGAAAGCGAGAGAGUAGAAAGUAGAGACUGAGAGUGGUGCAAACAUGUGUAAUUCUGUGUGUGUGUGUGUCUAUAUAUAUAUAUAUAUAUAUAUAUAUAUAUAUAUAUAUAUAUAUAAUGUGAAAUUAUAAAAAUGCCAUUAUAUCGGUUCGAUUCGAAUUUUGUAACUUGUGAUCCGAAAACUGAACCAAAUCGAAUCAUUUGGUUUGGUAUUUAUAUAUUCGGGUUUUUAAUUUAAAAAAAACUAAAUUAAAACUGAAAAAACCAGAACCGAAUUUUUUUUUUUUUUUUUGUUUCGGUUCAAUUCUGCCCAUCCCAACUUAGUAGGCUGGGCAUCAAUUUCUUUGAAUUGUGCUUUCAUUGCAGUAAUCUCCUCCUUGGUAAUAGGUUUAAUUGCUUACUGAUGCCUCAUUUCCUCUAGUAACAACUAGUCUAACAAGUCAUCAUCGUCAAACAUGUACCUAUUAUAAGCAUCAUCCAGAAUUUGCUCUCUUUGCAUUUUGCUUAGUGUCUUCUUUGCACAAGCUAAUAUCUCAGCUUUUUGUAUCAAUAUCUUUAUCUUUUGAUUCACCAGCGGAUGAAUCAUCACCGGAAUAGAGUGGUGAAGGCCCCAUAGAUCAGUGUGAUCAAGUUCUAGUGUAGUUUUGGUUUUGAUUUCAGUAUUAGGAAAAUGAAGCCUAUGAAAUUUACCAAGCUAACAUGCUUCACAAAAGUGCUUUAAUACUUGACUAUGAAUACUUGAAGACGAUAAAUGAGGAUAAAUAAAUUUAAGGCAAAUGUUAUGUUACAAUUAAUGUAACAUACACACUCAAUAACAACCACACAAAUUUUGUGGGCCCAUUAUUUGUGUGGUUGUUGUUGAGUGUGUAUGUUACAUUAAUUGUAACAUAGGGGCUCCCUAAAUUUAAAUAUGCAUUAGAUUUUGAGGGUUGGGAUGUCAAAACUUUUGGUGAAAAAGAGUUAGUACAAGCAUUUUUAUUGAGAUUUAAAACAUUUCUUAAGAUGAUCAAUGCUAGUUACAGAAUAGGAAUGAAAAAAAAAGGCAACAUAGACAAAGGUUUGUUUAUUUGAUUGUAAGAUAGAAAAGACUUGUAUUUAGGUUGUGGAAAGGAUUUGAGCAGCAAUUUAUACAACCUUUUCUCAGCAAAACCUUCCUCUUCAAUGAAUCCUUCACAAAACAAAUAGAUCCAAGAAAUUUGACAAAUAAAUUGUUGUCAAUGGUAAGUUUUGAAAUGCUUAAUAGAUUCUUUGUAAUGGAUGGAACAAACAAUACAUCCUUAAGUAAAAUAUGUCUUAUAUUAUCUUUUUUUUUAAUUAUUUUUAAAAAAUAAGUGAAUAAUAGUAUGUCAAUCUCAAAUAUCAAUAUGUACAAUUUUUAUUUGUGUAAGAAUUUGCAUCCAAUAAUCAUCAAUACAUAAUUGUCUUUUAAUUUAAUUGUUCUCACCUCCCUUCCAAACUUUGAAAAGGUAAAAUAAGAUCAAUCAUGUCGGUGGCAAUUAAUAUAAGGAUUACUUUUCUUAUUUGUAGUAACGUCCUCUGAUUAUUUAGCUGAUUUUCAAGCUACACAUUUAUUCCAUUUGAUGUUGAUAUUAGUAAAAUUAAUGUAAUAUUUAAAAAGGAAAAAAAUCCGUCGAGCUAAAAGCUGAGUAUAAAAUUGAACCCGACCCAAACCAGAAACGCACGCCAACAGCAUGCUUGCGUCAGUCGGCCCAAGCCCAUAAACCCACCAAGCCCAAUCCAAAUAGAAAAAUGAAUUGGAUGCCCGAGAUAGCACAAACAGAUAAGUAACGCUAGCGCUAUCCCCAGUCUCAUAUCUUCAACGGUAUCCAGCCAACAUCUCAAAGUGUUCAAUUUUUUUUUGAAGCUAAAAAAAAAAUUCAAAAUUUUCAAGUGGAAUCUGGGAAGAUGGCAACAAAAAGCAAGAUUCUGGUUAUCGGCGGAACCGGAUACAUAGGUAAGUACUUAAGGUGCGUUUGAAAUUGAAGUUGGACAGGUAUAACUUUAAAACUGCAGCACUAAAAUGUUUGGUAAACACUAACUAUUGUAACUUAAAAACUAUUUAAUAUAAUUUUUCACUUGUAUAAUAAAAAAUUUAUUAUAUCUUUAAUAAUUUUAUCAAAAUUAUUAUUUAAAAUAUAUACAUACUACAUAUUAUUAAUUUUUGUUUUAUAACUAUAAUUUUUUUCCUACCGCAACUGUAAUUUAAAAACUACAGCACCUCAAUCCCAAACAAGACUUUAGUGGAUGCGAGCGCGAAAGACGAUCACCCAACAUUUGCGCUUGUGAGAGACUCCACUCUCUCCACUCCUUCCAAAUCCAAAAUCCUCGACCGUUUCAAAAAUCUCGGCGUCAAUUUAGUUCCUGUGCGCCACUCUUUUAGCUUUCCAUUUUUCCUGCCAAUUUUCUUUUAUUGUGAUUAAUUAAUUAAUGUAAAGAUUUUAUAUUAUAAUUUUGUUUUCAGGGAGAUCUAUACAGCCAUGAGAGCUUGGUGAGUGCAAUAAAGCAAGUGGAUGUGGUGAUAUCAGCGAUAGGUCGCACUCAAUUAGCUGAUCAACUCAACAUUAUCGCAGCAAAUUGCGAUAACUAAUUACUUGGGAUUUUAAAGAAGCUGGAAAUGUUAAGGUACUGAUUAACUUAAGUAAAUGCGUUAACUAAUUACUUGGGAUUUUAAAUUCAAAUGCGUGAAUUGUUCUAAAAAAUGAUUUAUGUUUAUUAGUCAGAGAUUCUUUCCUUCAGAAUUUGGAAAUGAUGUUGAUCGCGUGCAUGCCGUUGAGCCAGCAAGAACAUCAUUUGCCACCAAGGCUAAAAUCCGCCGAGCUGUUGAGGCUGAAGGAAUUCCAUACACCUACGUAGCUUCCAAUUUCUUCGCUGGUUUGUAUCUUUCCAGUUUCUCACAGCCUGGAGCCGCAGCUCCUCCAAGGGAUAAAGUGGUCAUCGUAGGUGAUGGAAAUGCAAAAGGCAAAGCGCUUCUGGAUACAUUUACUCUGUACACGCAGUGUGUGGUUACUGUUUAGGGAUAAAAAAGGAGAUUAAUUAAUAAAGAAAAUGAAAUUAUUGAGGGAUUUGCUGAAGAGUUGCGUGCACUCCUCAUUUUUCUCCACCACUCAUCUUACUUGCAAAAUGCAAUGACCAAACUAUCCUCGCCAAAGCCUAGACAUUUGCUUGUGUUCAAAGGCCAUUUAAGGGAGACAAGUACAAAAAAUUAUAAAGGAUAGUGAGCAAAAGAAGAAAAUGGAAGGGGGAGAGUAAAAAAGGGGAGUGGGGCGUUAUCCAGGGAGGAUUUUUAUUUUUAUUUUUUUCCUCUCUUCUCCAUGGCAUCUCUUUCUCUCUUUCUCCCACUAAGAAAUUCUUUCUUUUACACUCUAUUUUACUUUUCUACAAAUUACACAAAAAGCUUUUGGUUUUAAGGCAAUGUUUAUUAAGCCACAUGAACUUGAAAAAGCAUGAAUAAGGGGAUGAUUUUAACACAUUAAUUCACCAACAUUAAUUGGAAAAGAUCAGUUGCCACUUCGAAUCAGAGUAAUUUCUUCGGCAAUAGCCAAAUAUUGAUAUUUGAUCUUGACACUGUAGUUAAAUGAAUGUAACUGGUUUUGUCAUUUGAUCCCCAGCAUUUUUUUAACAAGGAAGACGAUAUUGGAAUCAAUUCUAUCAAAGCGGUGGAUGAUCCAAGAACACUGAACAAAAUACUUUACAUCAGACCCCGUUGCAGUAUCUACUCAUUCAAUGAUCUUGUGUCUCUGUGGGAGGAAAAGAUUGGCAAAGCCCUUGACAGGGUCUAUGUUACAGAGGAACAACUUCUGAAAAACAUUCAAGGUUAGUUAGAACUAUCACUUUAUUCGUUACUGAUGACAACACAUGGAGAAAUUUUCCUUGGUCUUAUCAAGUGGAUAGAUGUAACUGACCGAUAAUGGAAAAUUUUUUCCUUCUCCAAAAUGCGAUAGAAUCUAAUCGGUUUCAACAAUCUCAAGAACAUCUAUUCAUGGUUGUGUUGUUUGAAAUCUGUAUGUAUCAGUUUUCUUUCUAGAUCUCAGAUUGCUCGCAAGGAUGUCAAGUUUUGAUGAUGCUUGCCUGUUUUCCUGUGUUUACAGAAGGCUCAUAUCCACUCAAUAUGAUAUUAUCUAUUGGGCACUCUGCCUAUGUCCUGGGAGAUUAGACCAACUUCGAAAUUGAACCUUCAUUUGGAGUAGAGGCAACCGAGCUUUGUCCAGAUGUCAACUACACUACUGUGGAUGAGUACCUCAACCAGUUCAUAUAAACCUUCUGAGAUGAGCAGCAGGAUCCUAACCAAAAAUUGGGUGGUUUCCAUCCCUGAUUCUAUGGUAUAAAGAUAGCGGCUUUCCAUGCUUUUGCCAGUUCAAUGAAGUUUGUUAGAUGAUGUUAUUUAUACUAUACUAGCAAAGAUCAAGUUGCCUUUCUUGUCAAGAAGCCAAGCUCUGGCAUUGGUUUAUGCUAGUUUUUCACACUAAUAUUGGUAUUCACUAAUUUUUUUUUUUUCAUUUCACACCUCCAUCAUCAGUUGAGAUACCCUCUUGUAUGGUACUAACUUUGAUUUUCCUUAUGCUUCACUUGCUGUCUCUGCAGAUUCGUAAAAGAUCAUUCAUGGAUAAGAUCAGAACAUCAAUGUAAUACAGUAUGCAUUGAGAACUCCCACAUGAGUCUUGUUCUAGUUCUCGUUAGACAUGAAACAUGUUACAGUUCCAUAACUUGAGACAUUGUCAUUCAACAAUUAUCAUCGCAUUAAAACAGUGGCCAAUCCCUAACAGCUACCUUUUGACUCUUCACAUUUUUUUUCUGCAUUUUAUGCGCAUUAAUUAUCCAGACCUAGACUUACUCUUCUCAGCUUGGCCCGUUGGACAGUGAGUGAUGAAACAGAAAAUUUUUCAUGUUUAUGAAUGUAUGAAGUAUCUCUUCUGCACUGCACCGGCAUCCUCCUUAACUGUCAGUAGGAUCACAAUAAGUCGACCAACCAUCUACCGUAUGGAUUAUCUAUAAAUUGAAAUUGGUGUGUAUUAUGGAUCUGUCACUCUGCUGCUUCUGUUUUCUUUUCUAUUUUUACCAAGAAAGAAACAUUGUUAAAACUGAAUGGUUGUUAUCUCGUCUUGUUGUAAUGUUGUGUAUGCUUUCUAGAAAAUAAUGAAGUGCCAAAUAUGAAAAUACUAGUGGCUACCUUACCAUCCUUAAUAAGUUGUCUGAUUGUCACCGUCAACAAUCACUCUCAGAAACUCAUAAUCCAUUUAAGCAUAUUAUAAAAUAAUCAAUUUUGUAUUUGCACCAACUUUUAGUUUUAAAUGACAAUUUCGUUGAUCCCCUCACACUUCUGUACUAAUCAAAUCCACUGAAACUGGACUUUUUUUUUUUUUUUUUUAUAAUUACAUCGAUUGCAAUGGCUAUUGCAGGGAAAAGACAGCCUCUACAGGGAACUAAACUUUCAGAAUUGAUCUUAUGAGGGUUUGAAUAUGCUCUCGUACUAGGUCAAUGGCCUAUUGGUUCGAGACCAUUCACAAAGAAAGAAAUGAGUUUUGCUUGUAUAAAUGAAAGAAAUCCAAAUGAUAACUAAUGUAUAGUGGUACAUGAGAAAAAUAAUUUCAGCCCCUGUGUAAAGUCAAAAAGAGAAAAUAUUAAAAGAAAGGAUAAUGUCAUUGAGUUCGGUGAAGUGAAAGAAAAUAAAAAACAUGGGAUUUAGUCAAACUUAGUGUCCCAAUCAGCAGAAAAAGGUUUUAGAAACUCACCUCAAGUUAAGCCAACUAUUAGGAGCUUUAUUUAAUCAUGGCUUUCUAAUGUAUAGUACUCCAAUACUAAACGAGGGCUACCUCUACGCUUGCAAAUGUAAAUGAAAUUGAGUUCGUGACGCACAAUGAAGUGAGCAAAAUGAGUUGAGAUCUGAGAAUAUAUUAAAGAAAAUAUGAAUCAAUGAAUUUUGGUUAAAAAAAACAAAUGCUGGUUCUUCAAGACCUGCGUGUAUUGUGUAAGUUUUGUUAGGAGAAGGAAAGCAUUUUGGUCUAAAACGCACUAAAUCGGAUUCAUUUGCUUGAUAUCUAAUAAGGGUGAAUUAACCACUCGCCCACAGCAAUUCAAGUACCCAAAAAAGUUUUGUGGGGGCUAAAUUUCUUCUUUAAUUAUAACAAAUAAUUGAGCGGAGGAUAAAAAUUUAGGCCAUGUAUAACAAUAACUAAUAUAAACUAGUCCUAAUAAUAGUAUAAUUGUAAAUAUCAGUUGUAGUCUCAUACAAUAUAAGUUUAUAGAUUAUAAUAUCGGCAUAAAAAGAAAAAUGAUAUCUGACGGUCAAUCAAUAAAAGGACAAAAACUUGGAGUAACAUACCACAAAGUCAAUGUAGCUGGACAGUGAAUAUAAUAUGUAAACAAAUUUAAAUGGGAUAAUACCAUACGGUACAUACAUAACAUUUUAAAACUGAAUUAAAAAAAUAAAAUUAAAACUGAAUUGGAAUUCGUAUGUGUAUCCAGCUACCUUGCCACAGUUGUAAGGUACCCUAACUUUGCAACAAUUUCAUCCUUCGUGCAUUCGGUCACAAAGUCCAAAUUAGGCACGUUUAAGAAUCGAACUGAAAAACUAAAAAAAAGAAUCCGGCGAUAUUUGCGAACCGGAAACGAGCCAGCGUUAUGCUUAUGUCAUUUCAGAGAUAUCAACAGUCGUGCUUUCAGUCCUUAAACCUCAAGGGCAUUUUCGUCCUUUCACUCAAGCGUGAAACUGCAUGUAAGAACUGCUUCGCUUACACGCUCCAUGCACAUUUAAAGGCACCACUGUCGGAUAAAAAAUAUCCAUCCAUUUGAUCAUUUCAAAACAAAACGAAAAAAAAAAUCUCAGUAAUUGAACUGAACGAGUCUCAGAAAUGGCAUCGAAAAGUAAGAUUCUAUUCAUCGGCGGGACAGGGUAUAUCGGUAAAUCCACUGUCGAAGCGAGCGUAAAAGCCGGCCACCCGACGUUCGUGCUCGUGAGAGAAUCCACAAUCUCUGGUCCUUCCAAAUCUCAACUCCUCGAUCACUUCAAAAACCUCGGCGUCAAUCUCGUCAUAGUGCGUUUUCAUUUUUCUCUUUUCUUAAUUUUUUAUUCCGAUCAUUUUUACACGUCGAAGUGUAGCAUCUACUACUUAAUAUACAUAAUGAUAUUAUUAUUUUUUAAUUUUUUUGGGUUGCUGUUAUUAUUAUGCAGGGAGAUGUGUUGAAUCACGAGAGUUUGGUGAAGGCGAUUAAACAAGUGGACGUGGUGAUAUCAACGGUCGGUCACACUUUAUUAGCUGAUCAGGUCAAGAUUAUUGCUGCCAUUAAAGAAGCCGGUAACGUUAAGGUAUAACAUAAUUAAUGUAAAUGUCUUAGAUUCCGAUCAGGAUUGUGCACUCGCGAACACGUGGUGAUUUAUUCUUGGUGUGGAGCUCGCUGUAGAGUAGAGCUCCCAGUUCAGCUAAUAAACACCCCGUCACAUGCGCAAUUGCGCCUCAAAAUAAUUUAAUUGAUUAAUUAAGGAUAAAUACCAAUGGCAUGAAAGCAAUUAAAAUUAGUUGAUGUUUAUAAAUUAUUUAUUACUCAGAGAUUCUUACCAUCGGAAUUUGGAAAUGAUGUUGAUCGAGUUGAAGGCGCCGUAGAGCCAACAAAAUCGACGUAUGACGUAAAGGCGAAAAUCCGCCGAGCCGUUGAGGCAGAAGGCAUUCCGUACACUUACGUAGAAUCUUAUUGUUUUGAUGGCUAUUUCCUCCCCAAUUUGUUGCAGCCUGAGGCCACUGCCCCCCUAGGGAUAAGGUUGUCAUCUUAGGCGAUGGAAAUCCAAAAGGUAAUAUAAUUUAAUUAAGCUCUGUUUGUUUGGUAUGUAUUUCGGUGUUAAUGUUAUUGUCUGUUGUACAAUGGAUGGUCUUGCUUGGUACUGUUGUUGGAGAGCUGCAGUGUUUUGAUAAACACCUCUAUCCUUAGCUUUCAAGUUAAGUUGAUUUUAUACAACACUUGUUUAAUUCAAAACUUGUAAUAUUCUUACUACUUUGAUAAAAAAUAUUACGAUUAAAGCAUUAAUGGCACCAUAAUACGAAAUGAACCUUAAGUGGUCAUUAUAGAUUUUAAGAUAGAGUUUUAAGUGAUUACCAGAUACUUUAGCUGCUGAACCGCCACAUCAUGGUUGCCACACAACAAUUUCAAACAGAGCCUAAAUAACUUCAUUGCAAAACAGUUAAAUGAAUCUAACUUAGUUUCGUCGUUUGAUUUUCAGCUGUUUUUAACAAGGAAGAUGAUAUUGGAACCUACACUAUCAAAGCGGUUGAUGAUCCGAGAACCUUGAACAAAAACUUUUACAUUCAGCCUCCCGGUAAUAUUUACUCAUUCAAUGAUCUUGUGUCUCUGUGGGAGAGAAAGAUUGGUAAAACCCUCGAAAAGGAGUAUGUUUCAGAGGAGCAGCUCCUAAAGAAUAUUCAAGGUUGGUUAAAACUCUCUUUUUUUAAAUGUAUUAAAGAGAGCCGUAUAUUCUCUGCCGUAAAUGUUAUUGAUCCUGUCUUCUCCAAAAUGUUGCAGAAGCUGCACCUCCACACAAUGUGAUAUUAUCAAUUUAUCACUCUGCUUUCGUGAAGGGAGUUCAAACCAACUUCAAGAUUGAACCAUCUUUUGGAGUUGAAGCCUCGCAGCUUUAUCCUGAUGUCAAGUACACUACAGUUGAUGAGUACCUCAAUCAGUUUGUGUAACCCUUCUCUGUUUCCAGCUGCAGCUUGCAGGAUCUUGGACUGUUGGUAAAUAAAUAAUUGGCUUGUUGCCAUCUUUGGUUUUAUAUGUAAAAAUUAUGGUUGUUGGCCUUACUUUCUUCUGGUUGUCCAUGGAAUUUGUUAGACCAUAUUUUGUUUGCUAUGUCAGUGAUCAAAUGAAGUAGGCCAUGUACUUGAUUUGAGAGUAGUAGUUAUAAAGCCAUCAUGAUCAGGUGGGUGCGUGGGUUGGGCUUCUAUUAGGGUGCGUGUGUUGGGCUUCAGGGGCUUGUGAUAUGGGUUCGACAGCCCCUAACGGGCAGUCAUUAUAAAAAUAAUUAUAGAGUUACAAAUCUAUGUAAAAAGCAAAAAUUAAAAGUAAUUUAUCAAUAAAAAUAAUUAAAAUUAAUAAAAAGUAGGUAUGAUAUUUCAGAAAUCAAAUUAAAGAUAGCAUUCUAAAGAGUCGGAUAAUCCUCCAACUAAACUAAAGAUCUAGUACAUUUGAGAGCAAAUUUAAUUAAAGAAAAGGAUAAGGAAAAACAAUAGAAUAAUAAUAUUAAAAAUUGCAAAUCUUGGUCUUUUUUUUUUACGAUGAUGUUGAAUUCUUAUAAAUUUAAUCUUAUCUAUAGAAUUAUUUAGUUACUGUAUGUCAAAAUUUCCUAUAAAGAUGAAGAAAAAUUAUAUUAGGAGAAGAUCCAAAUCCGUUUAACUGAUGCAUCAUCGACAACAUGAGUACAACAUUUUUGAAUAAACAAAAGAAACUCGUUUUAUGUGCGAACCAGUUCCAAAAUAAAGAGCAGACUAUUGGAAGGAGACAAAUACUACAAGAAGAACAAAACAUUCUACAGUUCCUACAUGAGCCCGCAACAAUUCAUUAUUAACUCGACAUUCAUUACACUUUUUCUUUAAUUUGACAAAGAAACCAAAAAUAAGAUAAAAUUGACUAAGAAAUAAAAAAAUGACCGAAAUCUUUUUGAAGUUUUGCCAGUUCAGCCAUGCACGCUUAUCUUUAUUCACUUGUUUCCUUUCUUUCCUUUCUUUGCUGAAGCCUUCACAGAUCCUUUACCUUUCUGAGCCUUGCCAAUUUUCCCCUUCUUCAAACCACCUGGCCUUGCUGGAUCCACGUGUCCUUGCAUCCUUUUUCAUUCGUGGAUCAACAAGAAUCUUCCCCUUUCCAGCUCUCUCUUGAACUCCUUUCUUUGGGACCAGUAUUCUUUUGUCGGCCUUUUGGGUAUAGUUGUCUUGUAUAAUUGUUCAAUUUGAUUCCUCUUCGAACGAUCAGAGAUGUCCGCUUAGUCUGAUAUGACAUUUGCCUUCUUGCGAACCUUCUCAAGAUUUCGCAUGGCAACCCGUAUCUUUCGAGCUUUGGUCUUAGCCACCUUCUUGGCAGUAUGGGUGGGCGAUUCGGUUUUGGGAUAAACUUUUGGUUUCGUAUCGGUUUAGAUUAAAAAAUAAUAUAAAAAAAUAUUUAGAUUUUAAGAGAAAAAAUCCGAACCGAGACUCACCUAUCGAUUUCGGCUCGGUUUCAGUUCAGUUUUGAUUCUCCUAAUAGUUUUAUUUUGCCUUAUUGACUUCCGGUCAAUGACACUUUUGAAAAAUUUACCAAAAAAAAAAAAAAUGGCCAUAACAAAAUUUCUAUAUGCAAAUAUUUCCUAAACAUUAGGCUAUACUAAAUUUUUUUAAAAGGUAGGGACCCAAACGAUAUUAUCCCUCUACUUCAUCUUCAACCUUCGUCAUUAGGGAUGGCAAAAUCCGAGUUCGGGUCCGGGUUUAGCCAUUUGGGAUCCGGACCCGGAUGAAUAUUUUUUGUACCAGACCCGAAAAUAAACCCGCAUUUUUCCACUUCGAGUCCGGUACGGGUUCAACCCGAAAAAAUUCGGGUUCCCUGACUGCGGGUUUCCAACUCGGAUUAAUGAAUCCAAUUGAAAAAAAAAAACUAAAUUCAACAAAAAAAAUCAAAUAGAAAUACAUAUCCAGGAUUUCAGCAAAUCAAAGAAAAAUUAUUUCAUCUGGAAACUAAUUAACAAAAACAACAAUUUUGUUUGGCUGCCCAGAAUCAGCAACCCAAUGUGGCGGCUCGUUCAAAACAUUAGUGUUUUCAACAGAUUUUGGGGUAGGAAAAGCCAAACCUAUCUAGAACAAUGAAUUUGUAUUUUUGGGGGAGAUGAGGUACCUCACUGGUUUGUUGUGUGCGGUGCAGUGUAUCUUAAAUUUGGGGGAUGUGAGAAGGGGAGAGGGAGUGGUAAUAAUGGUGAAAGGUCAAAACCAAUAGAGAUGUCCUUCAAAAUGAGCUUCACACCUGUAAAACAGUGAAAUAAAGGUUAGAGGUGAAGCUGGGGUAUCCCGGUGUUCACACUCCGACGCUCAAGUUAGCAAACUCAAGCUUUUAUGACAAAGAGAACUGGCUAGCCCUCUGUAAAUUAGGGUUUAAGGUUCAAGGAAACCUAUUUUUUGGAAUGUGAGUGUUAAUGGUGAGUGAGAGACCUCUUGGAGAAUGAAACCUAUGCGCCUUUAUAUAUGGAGUACCUCAGCUGCCACGUGACGUACCCUUUUUGGCUAACGUCAUUUUUCAUUUUUAUGAUUUUUGGGUCGUUAUGUUCAUGUUCGCGGGGUAUCUCAUCUUUUAGAAACGUGGCGCGCGCUGGAGAGUGGUCCAGGGUACCUCUGCAGUAGCUGUCGGGUAGGCGGCUGAGGACCACUGUCCUUGGGACAGUGUCUUUCACUUUUGGUAAAGGUGACAGGCGGUUGUCCUCCCUUUUAACACGACAUUUUUUAUUCCUAAUUAUGACAAAAUCGAAUAAUAUCUUUUAAGAGAUGGAGACGUUUCUCAUGGUGGAUAUUUUCGGAAGAUUCUCUUGCAUCUGAUCAGCCGGGUUCCUCCAGUUACGCAGGGUACCUCAAUUUAUGUGGGGUACCUCUAAUUUUAUGGGGUACCACUAUUUGCGCAGGGUACCUUGAAUCAUGCCAAGUACCUUAGAUUAUGCGGAGUACCUCUAAUUGUGCGGGAUACCUCUAUUGCGCUAGGUACCUUGAAUCAUGCCGGGUACCUCAGAUUGUGCGGGGUAUCUCUAUUUGCGCAGGGUACCUUGAAUCAUGCUGGGCACCUCAGAUUGUGUGGGGUACCUUGAGUCAUGCGAGGUACCUCUAAUCAGGCCAGGUACCCUCUAAUUGUGCUGAGUACCUAUAAUCAUGCAGGGUACCUCUAAUCAAGCCGGGUACCUUUAAUCAUGCGGGGUACCUCUAAUCAGGCCGGGUACCUUAGAUUGUGCGGGGUACCUCUAUUUGCGCAGGGUACCUUGAAUCAUGCAGGGUAUCUCAGAUUGUGCGGGGUACCUCAAAUUGUGUGGGGUACUUCUAAUCGUGCGGGGUACCUCUAAUCAUGUCGGGUACCUCGGAUUGCACUGAAGUUAUUCCAUUCGUUGACACGUGGCGUUAUGCUAUCUUUCUUAUUUUUCCCCCAAACAACAUCCCUCUAGUUUCUUUUGGCAAGAAGUUUUGGAGGCAAAAGAAACUUACAUAAAAAGUAGAAGCGACACGUGGCGAUAUGAUGUUUAGCUCGAUGGGUAACUAAAUAGAGGGCGCCUUUAGGGGUACCCUGAGAACCCAAAAAGGGAAGAUGGGCUCCAUUUCCUCGGAAAUGGCUACCACUUUGGACAUGUUGGAAAGGAUAGAGCUAAUUGAUCAAAAAAAUUUCAUCUAUUUCUAGGGAAGAACACCAAAUACGGGUAGAGGGUAUCGUUAGGGUACCCCACCAUUACCCAUAGUUUGUUUUCUAGUGACUGCCAUGUAUAAAUCGCUCUGGUGAAGGCUUCAAUACAUUCUUUGGGCAUUUAAGAAGCAAUUAUUUGAUUAUCUCGGGAUCCACCUUAUUUAAGGGUAUAUUUCCUUCAUGUACUUUGAAGACAAAAAUAAAAUCACAGGGCUUUCUUCCUUGUAACUUCAGAGGUACCCUCGACAGAAGAAUAUAGUCAACAAUGCUUUUAAGCGUAUCAUGAUCGAGGAAUGGAGUGCUGAUCUGGGGUUGGUGGUGCCAAGAGUGGAGAAGAUGGUAGAUGAACCGGCUAUCUUGAAGGCGAUUAACGAUAGCGGGGCUCUCAACACAUCUUGGUCUGAAGGGGUAAUGCAAAUAAGUUUACGUUGAUUGGAUAUUCAGAAGAAGUAAUACGCCAUUAAAAGCAACAAGUUUUCCAAAAAGCCAACAAAGACAGACACCACCACACCACCCCGCGCUGGAUGAAAAACGAUGAAAGCAUGAUAAGUGACAUCGAGUAAGCCACGUUCUCUCUCUCUCUCUCACUCGCACUCGCACUCGCACUCGCACUCGCACUCGCACACACUGUUACUAAAAUAACCAAAAAUAAGAUUCCCAUCAAAAUAUUUUCAAGUAUCGUUCUUGAAAGUGGCGGCGGCUGAUGAUGAUGAACACAGCCGCGAUUGCGAUUGGCGAAGGCGGCGUUCAGCCCGUAUCACAGCUAGUUAUCGGUCGUGGCAGAAAAGAUAAUGAAACGACGGCUGAUGAUGAUAAUGAUGAUGUUGAACAGCCGCAAAUAUGGGUAAGUGAUGCGACGAUGAUUUGAUGAAGAUGAAGAUGAGCUGAAGAUGGAAUAAGAGUGGAAAUGUUUGUGCGGCUGGGAAAGUGUAAUGAGCUGCUAGGGCACCAUUUGGGUUUUUUUGCUUUCCUAUUUAUAUUAAAAAUAAUUUUUAAAAAUUAAUAUAUAUCCGGGUUCGGGUUUUGGAUGUACGGGUUUACCUAGACCCGGACACAUGCGGAUUCAGCAGCACCGACCACCCACAGACUUGGAUUCGAUUGCAAAGUUGGGACUUAGGAUUUGGGUUUGUGGCUGCUGAAACAGAAAGUGAGAGAGUAGAAAGUAGAGACUAAGAGUGGUGCAAACAUGUGUAAUUUUGUGUGUGUGUCUAUAUAUAUAUAUAUAAUGUGAAAUUACAAAAAUGCCAUUAUAUCAGUUCAAUUCGAAUUUUGUAACUUGUGAUCCAAAAACUGAACCAAACCGAACCAUUUGGUUUGGUUUUUAUAUAUUCAGGUUUUUAAUUUAAAAAAACUAAAUUGAAAUUGAAAGAACUAAACCGAACCGAAUUUUUUUUUUUUUUUUGUUUCGGUUCAAUUAUGCCCAUCCCUACUUAGUAGGCUGGGCAUUAAUUUCUUUGAAUUGUGCUUUCAUUGCAGUAAUCUCCUCCUUGGUAAUAGGUUUAAUUGCUUGUUGAUGCCUCAUUUCCUCUAGUAACAACUAGUCUAACAAGCCAUCAUCGUCAAACAUGUACCUAUUAUAAGCAUCAUCCAGAAUUUGCUCUCUUUGCUUUUUGCUUAGUGUCUUCUUUGCACAAGCUAUUAUCUCAGCUUUUGUAUGAAUAUCUUUAUCUUUUGAUUCACCAGAGGAUGAAUCAUCACCGGAAUAGAGUGGUGAAGGCCCCAUAGAUUAGUGUGAUCAAGUUCUAGUGUAGUUUUGGUUUUGAUUUCAGUAUUAGGAAAAUGAAGCCUAUGAAAUUUACUAAGCUAACAUGCUUCACAAAAGUGCUUUAAUACUUGAAGAGGAUAAAUGAGGAUAAAUAAAUUUAAAUAUACAUUAGAUUUUGAGGGUUGGGAUGUCAAAACUUUUGGUGAAAAAGAGUUAGUACAAGCAUUUUUAUUGAGAUUGAAAAUAUUUCUUAAGAUGAUCAAUACUAGUUACAAAAUUGGAAUGAAAAAAAAAGGCAACAUAGACAAAGGUUUGUUUAUUUGAUUGUAAGAUAGAAAAGACUUGUAUUUAAGUUGUGGAAAGGAUUUGAGCAGCAAUUUAUACAACCUUUUCUCAGCAAAACCUUCCUCUUCAAUGAAUCCUUCACAAAACAAAUAGAUCCAAGAAAUUCGACAAAUAAAUUGUUGUCAAUGGUAAGUUUUGAAAUGCUCAAUAGAUUCUUUGUAAUGGAUGGAACAAACAGUACAUCCUUAAGUAAAAUAUGUCUUAUAUUAUCUUUUUUUAAUUCUUUUUUAAAAAAUAAGUGAAUAAUAGUAUGUCAAUCUCAAAUAUCAAUAUGUACAAUUUUUAUUUGUGUAAGAAUUUGCAUCCAAUAAUCAUCAAUACAUAAUUGUCUUUUAAUUGAAUGGUUCUCACCUCCCUUCCAAACUUUGAAAAGGUAAAAUAAGAUCAAUCAUGUCAGUGGCAAUUAAUAUAAAGAUUACUUUUCUUAUUUGUAGUAACGUCCUCUGAUUAUUUAGCUGAUUUUCAAGCUACACAUUUAUUCCAUUUGAUGUUGAUAUUAGUAAAAUUAAUGUAAUAUUUAAAAAGGAAAAAAAUCCGUCGAGCUAAAAGCCGAGUAUAAAAUUGAACCGGACCCAAACCAGAAACGCACGCCAACAACAUGCUUGCGUUAGUCGGCCCAUGCCCAUAAACCCACCAAGCCCGAUCCAAAUAGAAAAAUGAAUUGGACACCCGAGAUAGCAGAAACAGAUAAGUAACGGUCGUGUUAUCCCCAAUCUCAUAUCUUCAACGGUAUCCAGCCAACAUCUCAAAGUGUUCAAUUUUUUUUUAAGCCAAAAAAAAAUUCAAAAUUUUCAAGCGGAAUCUGGGAAGAUGGCGAUGAAAAGCAAGAUUCUGGUUAUCGGCGGAACCGGAUACAUCGGUAAGUACUUAAGGUGCGUUUGAAAUUGAGGUUGAACAACUAUAACUUUAAAACUACAGCACUAAAAUAUUUGGUAAACACUAACUGUUGUAACUUAAAAGCUAUUUAAUAUAAUUUUUCACUUGUAUAAUAAAAAAUUUAUUAUCUUUAAUAAUUUUGUCAAAAUUAUUAUUUAAAAUAUAUACAGUAAGAGAGAUUGUAACAUUUUCAAUCUUUGGUUUGAUAUUCUGGAAGAAAACGGUUUGCCGUUUACGGAGAAAAUGGCUAACCGUUUAAUUUCAGAGAGCAUGUUUUCUAUUCUAGAGAAAACGACUAACCGUUUGGAGAAAAUGGCUAACCGUUUGGAGAAAACGGCUAACCGUUUUGAGAAAACGGCUAACCGUUUAAUUCCAGAGAGCAUGUUUUCUGUUCUAAAGAAAAUAACUAACCGUUUGGAUAAAACAACCAACCAUUAAUUACAGAGAGUAACUUAUUUGACAUUCUGGAAUAAAACGGCUCACCGUUAUUGAGAAAAUGGCUAACCGUUUAUUUCCAGAGAGCGUGUUUUUGCGUCAACUGGAAAAACGGUUAGCAAGCUUGGAAAUUUCAAUUGUCAAUCGAUGCAAACUCAAACCAAAAGAGUGUUUUUUAAAGAAGUACCAUUUUUAAUGGUUGUAUUCUUUCAAAUAAACAUCUUCUUUAUUAAAGAUAAACAAACUAUUAUAUCAUAAUCAGAUUUUGCAGGUUUCAUAUAUGUUCUGGAAAUACAAUCUUAUUUUCUAGAGAUUGUAUUCAGGAUUUGAUAUAUCUUAGGGGUAAUUUGCCAUUAAAACUCUAUAGCAAACCAAGAUUGGUGAGGGCAAAUAAAACCUUAAAGAAAAGUGUGCAAACACGUCUCAAAUCCUAAGAAAUUUUCUUUGUUCUUUGCCUCCAUAUUCUUAAAAUUUGAAAAUUCACCCAUCAAUCUUUAAGGUUUUAUUUUGAUGCAAAUAGAGGCUGAGAAGAGUUUGACGCCAUUUCUUAAUCCUAGUGUCCAUCUCGAUCGUUUUGAUGGAACAAAUUUCACUCGUUGGAAGGGAAAAUUGUUCUUUCUUCUUACUGUUCUUAAAGUGACAUAUGUUCUUGAUCCGAAAUUGGAACCAUUUCCAGAACCAAGAGAAGAUGAUACCGAAGUUGUUAAGGCUGCAAGGAAACGUCGUGAAGAUGAUGAAUUGAUGUGCCGGGGUCACAUACUCAAUACGCGUUCUGACAGGUUAUAUGAUCUCUACAAUUUUAUGACUUCUCCGGUGGAAAUUUGGAAUGCUCUUAAGUACAAAUACAAAACGGAGAAAGAAGGUACUGACAAAUUCCUUGUCUCUAAAUAUUUUGAAUUUAUUAUGAUAGACACACAAUCCAUUCUUGAUCAAAUACAUGAGUUAUAAAUUAUUGUUGCUAAGCUUCGAGAGUUAAAAGUUGAAAUUUUUGAAUCAUUUCAAGUUGGGACUAUUAUUGCUAAAUUGCCUCAAAGUUGGAAUGAUUAUAGAAAGAAACUCCUUCAUAGUAAAGAGAACAUAACUUUAGAAGAAUUGCAAAAACACUUGAUAAUUGAAGAAGAGACUAGGUCUCGCGAAUCCAAGGAUAAGCAUGAUUCUACUAAAGUUAAUGUUCUUGAAGCUAGUAAAUUCUCAAAGAAUUUUAAAGUCAAGAAUGACAAGAAAUUUAAGAAGUCCAGCACACAAAAGUUUUCUGGAAAUUGUUUCUUUUGUGGUAAGAAAGGUCAUCGCCAAAGUGAUUGCAGAUUCAAGAAAAAAAAAAGGAAGAAGUGGAUUCCUAUAAAGCUAAUGUUAUUGAAAACAAAUCUGAAAAGAUUUGUGCUAUGGUUUCUGAAAUGCAAAUUGGCAUGAUUAUCGAAACCAAUAUGGCUGAAACUAAGUCCUAUGAUUGGUGGCUCGAUUCGGGUACAACAAUUCAUGUUUGUAAUGAUAAGAAAUUUUUAUUAUCAUACAAAGAAGAAACGGAAGGACAAAUGGUUCUCAUGGGGAACAAUAAUGCAGCCAUAGUAGCAGGGAAAUGAGUAGUUGAGAUCAACUUCACUUCUAGAAAGAAAGUCACAUUGUAUAAUGUCUUUCAUGUACCUUUCGUUAGGAAGAAUCUUAUUUCUGCUAGUUGUAUGUGUAAGCAUGGGCUUAAGAUUGUGCUUGAGGGUAAUACUUGUAUUAUCUCAAAGAAUGAAUUAUUUGUUGGGAAAUGGUAUUCUUGUGAUGGAAUGUACAAACUCAACAUUAAUAAUAAUAAUAUCAACUUAGCUUAUAUUGUUGAGUCUUGUGAUGUUUGGCAUGCUAAAUUAGCACAUUUGAAUUUUAGAUCUUUGAAAUACAUGUCUGAGCAUGGUUUGAUUAAUUGCAAUGAUGUUAAAGGUCAUAAGUGUGAAAUCUGCAUCCAAGCUAAAUUAACUAAGAAACAUUUUCUUAAAGCCGAACGAAAUACUCAAAUAUUGGACUUAAUAUAUACCGAUAUUUGUGAGUAUAAUGGCGUUUUAACAAGAGGAGGUAAGAAGUACUUUAUCACUUUUAUUGAUGAUUGUUCUAGAUACACUUAUGUGUAUUUACUUAGAACAAAAAAUGAAGCUUUUGAUAAAUUUAAAAUUUUCAAAGCUGAAGUUGAGAACUAAAAAGAUAAGAAAAUCAAAAUGGUUCGUAGUGAUAGAGGUGGUGAAUAUUUCUCAAUUGAAUUUAAUAAUUAUUGUGAAGAAUUUGGAAUUAUUCACCAAAGAUCAGCUCCAUUUACUCCUCAACAAAGUGGUUUGGCUAAAAGAAAGAAUAAGAUCUUCACAGAUAUGAUAAAUUCCAUGAUCCUUAAUGCAAAACUACCAAAUAAUUUGUGGGGGGAAGCAUUACUCACUGCAUGUCAUAUUCAUAACAGAAUUACAUAUUUGAAAACACAUAUAUCUCUUUAUGAAAUUUGGAAAGGAAGAAAACCAAACUUGAUGUAUUUAAGGGUCUAGGGUUGUUUAGCUUUUUAUAAAAUACAUGAUCCUAAAUCAUCAAAGUUAUGUGCUAGAUGUAUAAAGAGUGUUUUCGUAGGAUAUGCUGAAAAUUCCAAGGCUUAUAGGUUGUUAGAUUUAGAUUAUAAUGUGAUUGUGGAAUCUAGAGAUGUUGAAUUUAUUGAGAAUAAAUUUCAACAUGAUUCUAAUAUUGAAUUAGAAUCAAUUAUUGAUCAACCAUGUGUUAAUACUCCUGUUACCUCCACUAACAAUAAUAAAAGGAAAGACUCUAUGACAUCUUUCGAACCAAUGAGGAGUCAAGGUGAAAAGAAAGAAAAGAGUUUAGCUCCGAAUUUUAUUUCAUCACAAGCACUACUCUUCUUGGUUGAAGGGGAUAGAAAGAAUGUACUUAACAAAGUACCAUUGUUGUUAAAUAUUGAAAAAGAUCCAAAGACAUUUAGCGAAGCUAUGUCUUCUAGAGACGCUUCUUUUUGGAGAGAGGCGGUAAAUGAUGAAAUUGAUUCGAUUAUUUCGAAUCAAACAUGGGUCUUGGUUGAUCUUCCUCCAGGAUCUAAACCAAUUAGCAGCAAAUGGGUAUUUAGAAGAAAGUACAAUAGUGAUGGUUCUUUGCAAACUUUUUAGGCUAGAUUAGUAGCCAAAGGGUUUAAGCAAAGAAAUGGUAUUGGUUAUUUCGAUACAUAUGCUUCGGUAGCAAGGUUAACUUCUAUAAGAGUGCUAUUUGCAAUUGCUUCAUUGAAUAAUUUGUAUGUGCAACUAAUGGAUGUUAAAACCGCUUUUCUUAAUGGUGAUCUUGAUGAAGAAAUCUAUAUGGAACAACCUGAGGGAUUUGUUUUACCAGGAAAUGAGAAAAAAGGUAUGCAAGUUAGUCAAAUCACUUUAUGGUUUAAAGCAAGCACCAAAACAAUGGCAUGAGAAGUUUGAUUCGGUAAUUUUAUCUCAUGGUUUUAAGCAUAAUAAUGCUGAUAAAUGUAUAUAUUUUAAAGUUACGAAUGAUUUUGGUGUGAUUAUAUGCUUGUAUGUUGAUGACUUGCUUAUCUUUGGAACAAAUAUGCAAGGAGUAGAUGAUACAAAGAAGUAUUUAACUUCACAAUUUAAGAUAAAAGAUCUUGGUGAAGUAGAUACUAUCUUAGGUGUCAAAGUGAAGAAACAUAGUGGGGGUUACUCGUUGUGUCAAUCUCAUUAUAUAGAGAAAGUGCUUCUUAAAUUCAAUUAUUUGAAAUUUAAAGAAGCUAAUACCCCAUAUGAUUCUAGUAUUAAAUUAUUAGAGAAUUCAGGCCGAGUAGUAGCACAACUAGAAUAUGCUAGUGCUAUUGGUAGCUUGAUGUAUGCUAUGCAUUGUACGAGGCCUGAUAUAGCAUUUGCAGUUUGCAAAAUGUCAAGAUUCACGAGUAACCCUAGUGUUGAACACUGGAAAUCAAUUGGUAGAAUACUUGGUUAUCUUAAAAGGACCAUUAAUUUGGGUUUGUUUUAUAAUGAUUAUCUUGAAGUACUGGAAGGAUAUUCAGAUGCUAGUUGGGUAACCAAUACAAGAGAUAAUAAAUCCACUUCUGGUUGGAUUUUUACAAUUGCUGGAGGAGCAGUUUCUUGGGCUUCAAAGAAACAAAUGUACAUAACUCAUUCAACAAUGGAAAGUGAGUUUAUAGCACUCGCAGUUGCAAGCAAGGAAGUAGAAUGGCUGAGAAAUUUGUUGUUUGAUAUAAUGUUAUGGCCACAACCGAUGCCAUCUAUUUCUUUGUACUGCGAUAGUGAAGCUACAUUGUCUAGAGCUUAUAAUAAAGUGUAUAAUGGAAAGUCUAGACAUAUUAGCUUGAGACAUGAAUAUGUGAAACAAUUAAUAGCAGAUGGUGUUAUUAAUAUUGUUUAUGUUAGGACUAAUAAGAACCUAGCGGAUCCUUUAACAAAAGGUCUUACAAGAGACUUAGUUAAGGAUACAUCUUUUGGAAUGGGAUUGAAACCUUUAAAUAAUAAAGUCACCAACGACGAUAACCCAACUAUGUAGUAGUUGCACCGCUACUCCAUAGUUAAAUGGAUAAUAACAAGUUGUUGUUAUGUGACUGGUUUGGCACCGAGUAAUAAAUAAUCACAUUCGAGAUAUUCGGUGCAAAUAGCUACGAGGUUGAGGUUGAGUAUUUACUCUUAAUGAAGUUCAAGUCUUAUACUAGCUAAAGACAUGAUUUGAAACUUCACCUAAGUGAACAUAAGAAAUGGUGCCGUUUCUAACAAGAUCAUGGUUUAAUCUAGUAAAUGUUUAUGAAUCCAAGAUAGAGCACAAGGCCGGAAUAGUGCUAAAUAUUGGAACACAACUUUGAAAAUCUGGGAUAGCUUAUAUGUGAUGUAUCUCCGGUAUUUACUUAAGAGACAAAGUUUAAUGCUUAGCACACUAUUGUUUUGUAAAUGCUUUGAAAUACACUCACUAAUUAAAGGUUAAAAUCGAAAGAUAUCGUUUUGUAUGUAUAAGUUUAUCAUUAAUAAAUAUGAAAAAUAUUACAAUCUAGUGGGGGAUUGUAAGAGAGAUUGUAACAUUUUCAAUCUUUGGUUUGAUAUUCUGGAAGAAAACGGUUUGCCGUUUAUGGAGAAAACGGCUAACUGUUUAAUUCCAAAUAGCAUGUUUUCUGUUCUAGAGAAAACGACUAACUAUUUGGAGAAAAUGGCUAACUGUUUAAUUUUAGAGAGCAUGUUUUCUGUUCUAGAGAAAACGGCUAACCGUUUGGAUAAAACGGCCAACCGUUAAUUACAGAGAGUAACUUAUUUGACAUUCUGGAAUAAAACGGCUCACCGUUAUUGAGAAAACGGCUAACCAUUUAUUUCCAGAGAGCGUGUUUUUGCGUCAACUGGAAAAACGGUUAGCAAGCUUGGAAAUUUCAAUUGUCAAUCGAUGCAAACUCAAACCAAAAGAGUGUUUUUUUAAAGAAGUACCAUUUCUAAUAGUUGUAUUCUUUCAAAUAAACAUCUUCUUUAUUAAAGAUAGACAAACAAUUAGAUCAUAAUCAGAUUUUGCAGGUUUCAUAUAUGUUUUGGAAAUACAAUCUUAUUUGCUAGAGAUUGUAUUCAGGAUUUGAUAUAUCUUGGGGGUAAUUUGCCAUUAAAACUCUAUAGCAAACCAAGAUUGGUGAGGGCAAAUAAAACCUUAAAGGAAAGUGUGCAAACACGUCUCAAAUCCUAAGAAUUGUUUUUUGUUCUUUGUCUCAAUAUUCUUAAAAUUCGAAAAUUCACCCAUCAUAUACAUACUACAUAUUAUUAAUUUUUGUUUUAUAACUAUAGUUUUUUUUUUACCGCAACUGUAGUUUAAAAACUACAGCACCUCAAUCCCAAAUAAGACCUUAGUAGAAGUGAGCGCGAAAGCCGAUCACCCAACAUUCGCGCUUGUGAGAGACUCCACUCUCUCCACUCCUUCCAAAUCCAAAAUCCUCGACCGUUUCAAAAAUCUCAGCUCGACCGUUUCAAAAAUCUCAGCGUCAAUUUAGUUCAUGUGCGCCACUCUUUUAGCUUUCCAAUUUUCCCGCCAAUUUUCUUUUAUUGUGAUUAAUUAAUUAAUUAAUGUAAAGAUUUUAUAUUAUAAUUUUGUUUGCAGGGAGAUCUAUACAGCCAUGAGAGCUUGGUGAGUACAAUAAAGCAAGUGGAUGUGGUGAUAUCAGCGAUAGGUCGCACUCAAUUAGCUGAUCAACUCAACAUUAUCGCAGCAAAUUGCGAUAACUAAGUACUUGGGAUUUUAAAGAAGCUGGAAAUGUUAAGGUUCUGAUUAACUUAAGUAAAUGCGUUAACUAAUUACUUGGGAUUUUAAAUUCAAAUGUGUGAAUUGUUCUAAAAAAUUAUUUAUGUUUAUUAGUCAGAGAUUCUUUCCUUCAGAAUUUGGAAAUGAUGUUGAUCGCGUGCAUGUCGUUGAGCCAGCAAGAACAUCAUUUGCCACCAAGGCUAAAAUCCGCCGAGCUGUUGAGGAUGAAGGAAUUCCAUACACCUACGUAGCUACGUAGCUUCCAAUUUCUUCGCUGGUUUGUAUCUUUCCAGUUUCUCACAGCCUGAAGCCACAGCUCCUCCAAGGGAUAAAGUGGUCAUCGUAGGUGAUGGAAAUGCAAAAGGCAAAGCGCUUCUGGAUACAUUUACUCUGUACACGCAAUGUGUGGUUACUGUUUGGAGAUAAAAAAGGAGAUUAAUUAAUAAAGAAAAUGAAAUUAUUGAGGGAUUUGCUGAAGAGUUGCGUGCACUCCUCAUUUUUCUCCACCACUCAUCUUACUUGCAAAAUGCAAUGACCAAACUAUCCUCGCCAAAGCCUAGACAUUUACUUGUGUUCAAAGGCCAUUUAAGGGAGACAAGUACAAAAAGUUAUAAAGGAUAGUAAGCAGAAGAAGAAAAUGGAAAGGGGAGGGGGGGGGGGGGAGAAUAAAAAAGGGGAGUGGGGCGUUAUCUAGGGAGGAUUUUUAUUUUUAUUUUUUUUCCUCUCUUCUCCAUGGCAUCUCUUUCUCUCUUUCUCCCACUAAGAAAUUCUUUCUUUUACACUCUAUUUUACUUUUAUGCAAAUUACGCAAAAAACUUUUGGUUUUAAGGCAAUGUUUAUUAAGCCACGUGAAUUUGAAAAAGCAUGAAUAAGGGGAUGAUUUUAACACAUUAAUUCACCAACAUUAAUUGGAAAAGAUCAGUUGCCACUUCGAAUCAGAGUAAUUUCUUCGGCAAUAGCCAAAUAUUGAUAUUUGAUCUUGACACUGUAGUUAAAUCAAUGUAACUGAUUUUGUCAUUUGAUCCCCAGUAAUUUUUAACAAGGAAGACGAUAUUGGGAUUAAUUCUAUCAAAGCGGUGGAUGAUCCAAGAACACUGAACAAAAUACUUUACAUCAGACCCCGUUGCAAUAUCUACUCAUUUAAUGAUCUUGUGUCUCUGUGGGAGGAAAAGAUUGGCAAAGCCCUUGACAGGGUCUAUGUUACAGAGGAACAACUUCUGAAAAACAUUCAAGGUUAGUUAGAACUAUCACUUUAUCAAGUGGAUAGAUGUAACUGACCGAUAAUGGAAAUUUUUUUCCUUCUCCAAAAUGCGAUAGAAUCUAAUCGGUUUCAACAAUCUCAAGAACACCUAUUCAUGGUUGUGUUGUUUGAAAUCUGUAUGUAUCAGUUUUCUUUCUAGAUCUCAGAUUGCUCGCAAGGAUGUCAAGUUUUGAUGAUGCUUGCCUGUUUUCCUGUGUUUACAGAAGCUUCAUAUCCACUCAAUAUGAUAUUACCUAUUGGGCACUCUGCCUAUGUCCUGGGAGAUCAGACCAACUUCGAAAUUGAACCUUCAUUUGGAGUAGAGGCAACAGAGCUUUAUCCAGAUGUCAACUACACUACUGUGGAUGAGUACCUCAACCAGUUCAUAUAAACCUUCUGAGAUGAGCAGCAGGAUCCUAACAAAAAAUUGGGUGGUUUCCAUCCCUGAUUCUAUGGUAUAAAGAUAGCGGCUUUCCCUGCUUUUGCCAGUUCAGUGAAGUUUGUUAGAUGAUGUUAUUUAUACUAUACUAGCAAAGAUCAAGUUGCCUUUCUUGUCAAGAAGCCAAGCUCUGGCAUUGGUUUAUGCUAGUUUUUCACACUAAUAUUGGUAUUCACUAAUUUUUUUUUUUCAUUUCACACCGCCAUCAUCAGUGGAGAUGCCCUCUUGUAUGGUACUAACUUUGAUUUUCCUUAUGCUUCACUUGCUGUCUCUGCAGAUUCGUAAAAGAUCAUUCAUGGAUAAGAUCAGAACAUCAAUUUGAUACAGUAUGCAUUGAGAACUCCCACAUGAUUCUUGUUCUAGUUCUGGUUAGACAUGAAACAUGUUACAGUUCCAUAACUUGAGACAUUGUCAUUCAACAAUUAUCAUCACAUUAAAACAGUGGCCAAUCCCUAACAGCUACCUUUUGACUCUUCACAUUUUUUUUCUGCAUUUUAUGCGCAUUAAUUAUCUAGACCUAGACUUAUUACACUUCUCAGCCUGGCCCGUUGGACAGUGAGUGAUGAAACAAAUUUUUUUUCAUGUUUAUUACUUUUUUUGCAUUCAAAAUGAUAAAACUGCAGAGGUUGUUGCAUGCACGUCAUUUGUUAGUAGGGGUAUCAAUUUAUGAACGUAUGAAGUAUCUCUUCUGCACCGGCAUCCUCCUUAACUGUCAGUAGGAUCACAAUAAGUCGACCAACCAUCUACCGUAUGGAUUAUCUAUAAAUUGAAAUUGGUGUGUAUUAUGGAUCUGUCACUCUGCUGCUUCUGUUUUCUUUUCUAUUUUUACCAAGAAAGAAACAUUGUUAAAACUGAAUGGUUGUUAUCUCGUCUUGUUGUAAUGUUGUGUAUGCUUUCUAGAAAAUAAUGAAGUGCCAAAUAUGAAAAUACUAGUGGCUACCUUACCAUCCUUAAUAAGUUGUCUGAUUGUCACCGUCAACAAUCACUCUCAGCAACUCAUAAUCCAUUUAAGCAUAUUAUAAAAUAAUCAAUUUUGUAUUUGCACCAACUUUUAGUUUUAAAUGACAAUUUCGUUGAUCCCCACACUUCUGUACUAAUCAAAUCCACUGAAACUGGACUUUUUUUUCUUUUUUUUUAUAAUUACAUCGAUUGCAUUGGCUAUUGCAGGGAAAAGACUGCCUCUACAGGGAACUAAACUUUCAGAAUUGAUCUUAUGAGGGUUUGAAUAUGCUCUCGUACUAGGUCAAUGGCCUAUUGGUUCGAGACCAUUCACAAAGAAAGAAAUGAGUUUUGCUUGUAUAAAUGAAAGAAAUCCAAAUGAUAACUAAUGUAUAGUGGUACAUGAGAAAAAUAAUUUCAGCCCCUGUGUAAAGUCAAAAAGAGAAAAUAUUAAAAGAAAGGAUAAUGUCAUUGAGUUCGGUGAAGUGAAAGAAAAUAAAAAACAUGGGAUUUAGUCAAACUUAGUGUCCCAAUCAGCAGAAAAAGGUUUUAGAAACUCACCUCAAGUUAAGCCAACUAUUAGGAGCUUUAUUUAAUCAUGGCUUUCUAAUGUAUAGUACUCCAAUACUAAACGAGGGCUACCUCUACGCUUGCAAAUGUAAAUGAAAUUGAGUUCGUGACGCACAAUGAAGUGAGCAAAAUGAGUUGAGAUCUGAGAAUAUAUUAAAGAAAAUAUGAAUCAAUGAAUUUUGGUUAAAAAAAACAAAUGCUGGUUCUUCAAGACCUGCGUGUAUUGUGUAAGUUUUGUUAGGAGAAGGAAAGCAUUUUGGUCUAAAACGCACUAAAUCGGAUUCAUUUGCUUGAUAUCUAAUAAGGGUGAAUUAACCACUCGCCCACAGCAAUUCAAGUACCCAAAAAAGUUUUGUGGGGGCUAAAUUUCUUCUUUAAUUAUAAAAAAUAAUUGAACGGAGGAUAAAAAUUUAGGCCAUGUAUAACAAUAACUAAUAUAAACUAGUCCUAAUAAUAGUAUAAUUGUAAAUAUCAGUUGUAGUCUCAUACAAUAUAAGUUUAUAGAUUAUAAUAUCGGCAUAAAAAGAAAAAUGAUAUCUGACGGUCAAUCAAUAAAAGGAUAAAAACUUUGGAGUAACAUACCACAAAGUCAAUGUAGCUGGACAGUGAAUAUAAUAUGUAAACAAAUUUAAAUGGGAUAAUACCAUACGGUACAUACAUAACAUUUUAAAACUGAAUUAAAAAAAUAAAAUUAAAACUGAAUUAGAAUUCGUAUGUGUAUCCAGCUACCUUGCCACAGUUGUAAGGUACCCUAACUUUGCAACAAUUUCAUCCUUCGUGCAUUCGGUCACAAAGUCCAAAUUAGGCACGUUUAAGAAUCGAACUGAAAAACUAAAAAAAAGAAUCCGGCGAUAUUUGCGAACCGGAAACGAGCCAGCGUUAUGCUUAUGUCAUUUCAGAGAUAUCAACAGUCGUGCUUUCAGUCCUUAAACCUCAAGGGCAUUUUCGUCCUUUCACUCAAGCGUGAAACUGCAUGUAAGAACUGCUUCGCUUACACGCUCCAUGCACAUUUAAAGGCACCACUGUCGGAUAAAAAAUAUCCAUCCAUUUGAUCAUUUCAAAACAAAACGAAAAAAAAAAUCUCAGUAAUUGAACUGAACGAGUCUCAGAAAUGGCAUCGAAAAGUAAGAUUCUAUUCAUCGGCGGGACAGGGUAUAUCGGUAAAUUCACUGUCGAAGCGAGCGUAAAAGCCGGCCACCCGACGUUCGUGCUCGUGAGAGAAUCCACAAUCUCUGGUCCUUCCAAAUCUCAACUCCUCGAUCACUUCAAAAACCUCGGCGUCAAUCUCGUCAUAGUGCGUUUUCAUUUUUCUCUUUUCUUAAUUUUUUAUUCCGAUCAUUUUUACACGUCGAAGUGUAGCAUCUACUACUUAAUAUACAUAAUGAUAUUAUUAUUUUUUAAUUUUUUUGGGUUGCUGUUAUUAUUAUGCAGGGAGAUGUGUUGAAUCACGAGAGUUUGGUGAAGGCGAUUAAACAAGUGGACGUGGUGAUAUCAACGGUCGGUCACACUUUAUUAGCUGAUCAGGUCAAGAUUAUUGCUGCCAUUAAAGAAGCCGGUAACGUUAAGGUAUAACAUAAUUAAUAUAAAUAUCUUGAAUUCCGAUCAGGAUUGUGCACUCGCGAACACGUGGUGAUUUAUUCUUGGUGUGGAGCUCGCUGUAGAGUAGAGCUCCCAGUUCAGCUAAUAAACACCCCGUCACAUGCGCAAUUGCGCCUCAAAAUAAUUUAAUUGAUUAAUUAAGGAUAAAUACCAAUGGCAUGAAAGCAAUUAAAAUUAGUUGAUGUUUAUAAAUUAUUUAUUACUCAGAGAUUCUUACCAUCGGAAUUUGGAAAUGAUGUUGAUCGAGUUGAAGGCGCCGUAGAGCCAACAAAAUCGACGUAUGACGUAAAGGCGAAAAUCCGCCGAGCCGUUGAGGCAGAAGGCAUUCCGUACACUUACGUAGAAUCUUAUUGUUUUGAUGGCUAUUUCCUCCCCAAUUUGUUGCAGCCUGAGGCCACUGCCCCCCCUAGGGAUAAGGUUGUCAUCUUAGGCGAUGGAAAUCCAAAAGGUAAUAUAAUUUAAUUAAGCUCUGUUUGUUUGGUAUGUAUUUCGGUGUUAAUGUUAUUGUCUGUUGUACAAUGGAUGGUCUUGCUUGGUACUGUUGUUGGAGAGCUGCAGUGUUUUGAUAAACACCUCUAUCCUUAGCUUUCAAGUUAAGUUGAUUUUAUACAACACUUGUUUAAUUCAAAACUUGUAAUAUUCUUACUACUUUGAUAAAAAAUAUUACGAUUAAAGCAUUAAUGGCACCAUAAUACGAAAUGAACCUUAAGUGGUCAUUAUAGAUUUUAAGAUAGAGUUUUAAGUGAUUACCAGAUACUUUAGCUGCUGAACCGCCACAUCAUGGUUGCCACACAACAAUUUCAAACAGAACCUAAAUAACUUCAUUGCAAAACAGUUAAAUGAAUCUAACUUAGUUUCGUCGUUUGAUUUUCAGCUGUUUUUAACAAGGAAGAUGAUAUUGGAACCUACACUAUCAAAGCGGUUGAUGAUCCGAGAACCUUGAACAAAAACUUUUACAUUCAGCCUCCCGGUAAUAUUUACUCAUUCAAUGAUCUUGUGUCUCUGUGGGAGAGAAAGAUUGGUAAAACCCUCGAAAAGGAGUAUGUUUCAGAGGAGCAGCUCCUAAAGAAUAUUCAAGGUUGGUUAAAACUCUCUUUUUUAAAUGUAUUAAAGAGAGCCGUAUAUUCUCUGCCGUAAAUGUCAUUGAUCCUGUCUUCUCCAAAAUGUUGCAGAAGCUGCACCUCCACACAAAGUGAUAUUAUCAAUUUAUCACUCUGCUUUCGUGAAGGGAGUUCAAACCAACUUCAAGAUUGAACCAUCUUUUGGAGUUGAAGCCUCGCAGCUUUAUCCUGAUGUCAAGUACACUACAGUUGAUGAGUACCUCAAUCAGUUUGUGUAACCCUUCGCUGUUUCCAGCUGCAGCUUGCAGGAUCUUGGACUGUUGGUAAAUAAAUAAUUGGCUUGUUGCCAUCUUUGGUUUUAUAUGUAAAAAUUAUGGUUGUUGGCCUUACUUUCUUCUGGUUGUCCAUGGAAUUUGUUAGACCAUAUUAUGUUUGCUAUGUCAGUGAUCAAAUGAAGUAGACCAUGUACUUGAUUUGAGAGUAGUAGUUAUAAAGCCAUCAUGAUCAGGUGGGUGCGUGGGUUGGGCUUCUAUUAGGGUGCGUGUGUUGGGGGGCUUCAGGGGCUUGUGAUAUGGGUUCGACAGCCCCUAACGGGCAGUCAUUAUAAAAAUGAUUAUAGAGUUACAAAUCUAUGUAAAAAGCAAAAAUUAAAAGUAAUUUAUCAAUAAAAAUAAUUAAAAUUAAUAAAAAGUAGGUAUGAUAUUUCAGAAAUUAAAUUAAAGAUAGCAUUCUAAAGAGUUGGAUAAUCCUUCAACUAAACUAAAGAUCUAGUACAUUUGAGAGCAAAUUUAAUUAAAGAAAAGGAUAAGGAAAAACAAUAGAAUAAUAAUAUUAAAAAAUUGCAAAUCUUGGUCUUUUUUUGUUACGAUGAUGUUGAAUUCUUAUAAAUUUAAUCUUAUCUAUAGAGUUAUUUAGUUACUGUAUGUCAAAAUUUCCUAUAAAGAUGAAGAAAAAUUAUAUUAGGAGAAUAUCCAAAUCCGUUUAACUAAUGCAUCAUCAACAACAUGAGUACAACAUUUUCGAAUAAACAAAAGAAACUCGUUAUAUGUGCGAACCAGUUCCAAAAUAAAGAGCAGACUAUUGGAAGGAGACAAAUACGACAAGAAGAACAAAACAUUCUACAGUUCCUACAUGAGCCCGCAACAAUUAAUUAUUAACUCGACAUUCAUUACACUUUUUCUUUAAUUUGAAAGAAACCAAAAAUAAGAUAAAAUUGACUAAGAAAUAAAAAAGUGACCAAAAUCUUUUUGAAGUUUUGCCAGUUCAGCCAUGCACGCUUAUCUUUAUUCACUUUUUCCUUUCUUUCCUUUCUUUGCUGAAGCCUUCACAGAUCCUUUACCUUUCUGAGCCUUGCCAAUUUUCCCCUUCUUCAAACCACCUGGCCUUGCUGGAUCCACGUGUCCUUGCAUCCUUUUUCAUUCGUGGAUCAACAAGAAUCUCCCCCUUUCCAGCUCUCUCUUGAACUCCUUGCUUUGCGACCAUGUAUUCUUUUGUAGGCCUUUUGGGUAUAAUUGUUCAAUUUGAUUCCGCUUCGAACGAUCAGAGAUGUCCGCUUAGUCUGAUAUGACAUUUGCCUUCUUGCGAACCUUCUCAAGAUUUCGCAUGGCACCGUAUCUUUCGAGCUUUGGUCUUAGCCACGCUCUUGGCAGUAAGGGUGGGCCAUUCGGUUUUGGGAUAAACUUUUGGUUUCGUAUCGGUUUAGAUUCAAAAAUAAUAUAUAAAAAUAAGUAGAUUUUAAUGGAAAAAAUCCAAACUGAAACUGACCUAUCGAUUUCGGCUCGGUUUCAGUUCAGUUUCGAUUCUCCUAAUAGUUUUAUUUUGCCUUAUUGACUUCCGGUCAAUGACACUUUUGAAAAAUUUACAAAAAAAAAAAAAACUGGCCAUAACAAAAUUUCUAUAUGCAAAUAUUUCCUAAACAUUGGGCUAUACUAAAUUUUUUUCAAAGGUAGGGAUCCAAACGAUAUUAUCCCUCUACUUCAUCUUCAACCUUCGUCACUAGGGAUGGCAAAAUCCGAGUCCGGGUCCGGGUAUAGCCAUUCCGGAUCCGGACCCGAACGAAUAUUUUCUAUACCGGACCCAGAAAUAAACCCGUAUUUUUCCACUCCGAGUCCGAUACGGGUUCAACCCGGAAAAAUUCGGGUUCCCAGACUGCGGGUUUCUAACCCGGAUUGAUGAAUCCAAUUGAAAAAAAAAAACUAAAUUUGACUAAAAAAAUCAAAUAGAAAUACAUAUCUAGGAUUUCAACAAAUCAAAAAAAAAUUAUUUCAUCUGGAAACUAAUUAACAAAAACAACAAUUUUGUUUGGCUGCCCAGAAUCAGCAACCCAAUGUGGCGGCUCGUUCAAAACAUUAGUGUUUUCAACAGAUUUUGGGGUAGGAAAAGCCAAACCUAUCUAGAACAAUGAAUUUGUAUUUUUGGGGGAGAUGGGGUACCUCACUGGUUUGUUGUAUGCGGUGCAGUGUAUCUGAAAUUUGGGGGAGGUGAGAAGGGGAGAGGGAGUGGUAACAAUGGUGAAAGGUCAAAACCAAGAGAGAUGUCCUUCAAAAUGAGCUCACACAUGUAAAACAGUGAAAUAGAGGUUAGAGGUGAAGCCGGGGUACCCCGGCAUUCACACUCCGACGCUCAAGUUAGCAAACUCAAGCUUUUAUGACAAAGAGAACUGGCUAGCCCUCUGUAAAUUAGGGUUUAAGGUUCAAGGAAACCUAUUUUUUAGAGUGUGAGUGUUAAUGGUGAGUGAGAGACCUCUUGGAGAAUGAAACCCAGGUGCCUUUAUAUAUGGAGUACCUCAGCUGCCACGUGGCAUACCCUUUUUAGCUAACGUCUUUUUUCCUUUUUAUGAUUUUUUGGCCGUUAUGUGCAUGUUCGCGGCGUAUCUCAUCUUUUGGAAAUGUGGCGUGCGCUGGAGAGUGGUCCAGGGUACCUCUGCAGUAAUUGUCGGGUAGGCGGCUGAGGACCACUGUCCUUGGGACAAUGUCCUUCACUUUUGGUAGAGGUGACAGGCGGCUGUCCCCCCUUUUAGCACGACAUUUUUGAUUCCUAAUUCUGACAAAAUCGAAUAAUAUCUUUUAAGAGAUGGAGACGUUUCUCAUGGUAGAUAUUUUCGGAGGAUUCUCUGGCAUCCGAUCAGCCGGGUUCCUCCAGUUACGCGGGGUACCUCAAUUUAUGUGGGGUACCUCUAAUUGUGCGGGGUACCUUUAUUUGCGCAAGGUACCUUGAAUCAUGCCAGGUACCUCAGAUUAUGUGAGGUAUCUCUAAUUGUGCGAGAUACCUCUAUUUGCGCAAGGUACCUUGAAUCAUGCUGGGUACCUCAGAUUGUGUGGGAUACUUCUAUUUUCGCAGGGUACCUUGAAUCAUGUUGGGCACCUCAGAUUGUGCGGGGUACUUCUAUUUGCGCAGGGUACCUUGAGUCAUGCGAGGUACCUCUAAUCAGGCCAGGUACCUCUAAUCGUGCUGGGUACGUCUAAUCAUGCGGGGUACCUCUAAUCAGGCCGGGUACCUCUAAUCACGCCGGGUACCUCUAAUCAUGUGGGGUAUCUCUAAUCAGGCCGGAUACUUCAGAUUGUGCGGGAUACCUCAGAUUAUGCGGGGUACCUCUAUUUGCGCAAGGUACCUUGAAUCAUGUCAGGUAUUUCAGAUUGUGCGGGGUACCUCAAAUUGUGUGGGGUACCUCUAAUCGUGCGGGGUACCUCUAAUCAUGUCGGGUACCUCGGAUUGCACUGAAGUUAUUUCAUUCGUUGACACGUGGCGAUAUACUAUCUUUCCUAUUUUUCCCUCAAACAACAUCCCCCUAGUUUCUUUUGGCGAGAAGUUUUAGAGGCAAAAGAAAUUUACAUAAAAAGUAGGAGCGACACGUGGCGAUAUGAUGUUUAGCUCGAUGGGUAACUAAAUAGAGGGCGCCUCUAGGGGUACCCUGAGAACCCAAAAAGGGAAGAUGAGUUCCCUUUCCUCGGAAAUGACUACCACUUUGGACAUGUUGGAAAUGACAGAGCUAAUUGAUCAAAAAAUUUUCAUCUAUUUCUGGGGAAGAACACCAAAUACUGGUAGAAGGUAUCGUUAGGGUACCCCACCAUUAUCCAUAGUUUGUUUUCUAGUGACUGCCAUGGAUAAAUCGCUCUGGUGAAGGCUUCAAUGCAUUCUUUGGGCAUUUAAGAAGCAAUUAUUUAAUUAUCUCGGGAUCCACCUUAUUUAAGGGUACAUUUCCUUCAUGUUCUUCGAAGACAAAAAUAAAAUCAUAGGGCUUCCUUCCUUGCAACUUCAGAGGUACCCUCGACAGAAGAACAUAGUCGACAAUGCUUUUAAGCGUAUCAUGAUCGAGGAAUGGAGUGCUGAUCUGGGGUUGGUGGUGCCAAGAGUGGAGAAGAUGGUAGAUGAACCGGCUAUCUUGAAGGCGAUUGACGAUAGCGGGGCUCCUAACACAUCUUGGUCUGAAAGCCCAUUGAGAUUAGCUGAGGUACCUCAGAUGAAGUAUCUAUAAGGUACCCCUGAUACUAACCCUUGUGUUUUUGCUACUUUUAGCACUUUUGUUGAUCCCCUCAUCUUAAGGGAUGAAGUUGAAGAUAACCAUCCUGCUGUGUAACCUUGUUCGGCAUUACUGACAAGGUGUAUGGGGUACCUCGGGUACCCUAAUGCUUGGAUAUCCCUUGAGCUAUCUAUUACUUCAUGGCGGAAUAACCCAAUUUCAUCAACCAUAUGACGAUUCCUCCAGAUAUGCUUGUCGCUUAUCUUAAGCUUUCUUAGGGUUUCUCCCGGUGUAUCUGAGGAAUAACUUUCUGGCGUGGGGUACCCUUAAUCAGCGUAUGACGAUUUUCAUAGAAAUGCUUACCGCAAAUCUUCACAAAACUUGUGGCGGUUUCUGUUGAGAGAUGAUGGAAAACCUCAUGAUCCACCAUUCACUCUAAAUCAAAUAUGCAAGACAAAUAGUAAUAAAGGUGACUGCUCGCCUACCCUUAUGCAAAAUAGUGGAAAAUCUCAUGAUCCGCCAUUCGCGUGGAAUCAAAUAGACAACAUAGAUUGAGAUAAAUGUAGCUGCUCACCUACCCUUAUGCGAGAUGGUCGAAAACCUCAUGAUUCAUCAUUCGCAUGGAAUCAAAUAAACAAUAUAGAUUAAGAUAAAGGUGGCUGCUCGCCUACCCUUAUGCGAGAUGGUCGAAACCUCAUGAUCCACCAUUCGCAUGGAAUCAAACAUGACGAAAAAAUAAUGAUAAAGGCGGCUACUAGCGUGCCCUUUUGCUGGGUCUACUGUUGAGUAGAUUAUCAUGAUCGGAGAUUGGUCAUGUACACCUCGGGUACCCUGGAAUAAGGUACCUCGGGUACCCCGGAAUAAGGUGAUCUCUGGAUUCCAUCUUGCUUCAUAAUAAACAAUGCUCAACGACAUAUAUAAAAUUAGUUUAAUGGUGAACAUAUUAUUAUAGCAUUUCAAGCUACUCAUCCAUAUCAAAAAAUCGAGAGGCAAAUAAAAGAGCACACAUUAUCAAACUUUGUAAAGAAAAUACAUUCACAAAGAGUGGCGAUAUGGAUCAUUAUAUGACACUAUUUUAUUAUCCUAAGGAGAAUAUAGGGGAUCCCGAGAUCACUUGUUAUUGUCAUUAAAGGCUUAGGAAACUGACCAGUUUGGGGUACACUCUGGAUACCCCAUAUAGCCAAGCAUAUAUUUCAAACAUACAAGCAUUAAAGAAAACAAACAAACUAAGUAGAAGGGGGUAAAGUGUUAUCACUUUACUAGUAGUAUGACUUUUCUUUGUUGUUCUUCUGAAAGGUUGGAGCCUAUUUUGACGGUCUUUGUUGGAUCGGUGGCGCAAAUUGAGACUGAAAUUGGGUCUUCAACCAGGGUACCUCGUUUUUCAUCUUUGGGUAUUCAAGGAUCCAAAUGUGCCUCCAAUUCACAUUUGGGCUUAAUCUGGUCCCCUUAGGGUAUCCCCGCAUAACUUCAGAGUAACUAGUUAUGGGGUACCCCACCACCGAGGCCUCGAUGGUGACUCUUGCUGCUUUGAUGGUGGCGAUCUUAGAGGUUGGGGUACUCGUGAGAUACCCUGAGUUUAAACCCUCGUCCCCGCGGGGCAGCCCGUGGAGGGCUCCGAGUUUGGGGUACCCUUAGUAUUGGGGAUUCGGUUUUCUUGGGCUUCUUCUUGUUCUUUGUGACUUCGGCCUUAUUUUCUUGGCACUUCAAAUGGCAUUUCUCAUCCAUCUCCACUUACUGCAACGCCCGAGAACGGGCUUCCACAUAUGAAAGAGGGCGCUUCUUUUGAAAAGAACGUCAUACAUUGCCCAACCGUAAAUUUUUCUCAAAAUGGGUCAAUGUGUAUUGGUUUCCAAAUGCUCCGGUUCGCAGCACCUCUUAGUGGAAACGACUCACAUACUCUGUCAAAGGCUCGGCUUCCCCUUGCUUAAUAAAGGCAAGUUUGGAGACUACUCUAUCUUGAGUAGAAGCGUAGGAAAAUUCUUUAGUAAAUUCGGAUAACAAUUGGUGUUUUCAACAGAUUUUAGGGUAGGAAAAGCCAAACCUAUCUAGAACAAUGAAUUUGUAUUUUUGGGGGAGAUGAGGUACCUCACUGGUUUGUUGUGUGCGGUGCAGUGUAUCUGAAAUUUGGGGGAGGUGAGAAGGGGAGAGGGAGUGGUAACAAUGGUGAAAGGUCAAAACCAAGAGAGAUGUCCUUCAAAAUGAGCUUCACACCUGCAAAACAGUGAAAUAGAGGUUAGAGGUGAAGCCGGGGUACCCCGGCGUUCACACUCUGACGCUCAAAUUAGCAAACUCAAGCUUUUAUGCCAAAGAGAGCUGGCUAGCCCUCUGUAAAUUAGGGUUUAAGGUUAAAGGAAACCUAUUUUUUGGAGUGUGAGUGUUAAUGGUGAGUGAGAGACCUCUUGGAGAAUGAAACCCAGGCGCCUUUAUAUAUGGAGUACCUCAGCUGCCACGUGGCGUACCCUUUUUAGCUAACGUCAUUUUUCCUUUUUAUGAUUUUUAGGCCGUUAUGUGCAUGUUUGCGGCGUAUCUCAUCUUUUGGAAACGUGGCACGCGCUGGAGAGUAGUCCAGGGUACCUCUGCAGUAGCUGUCGGGUAGGCGGCUGAGGACCACUGUCCUUGGGACAAUGUCCUUCACUUUUGGUAGAGGUGACAGGCGGAUGUCCCCCCUUUUAGCACCACAUUUUUUAUUCCUAAUUCUGACAAAAUCGAAUAAUAUCUUUUAAGAGAUUGAGACGUUUCUCAUUGUGGAUAUUUUCAGAGGAUUCUCUUGCAUCCGAUCAGCCGGGUUCCUCCAGUUACGCGGGGUACCUCUAUUUGCGUAAGGUACCUUGAAUCAUGCCGGGUACCUCAGAUUGUGCGGGGUACCUCUAUUUGCGCAGGGUACCUUGAAUCAUGCUGGGCACCUCAGAUUGUGCAGGGUACCUCUAUUUGCGCAGGGUACCUUAAGUCAUGCGAGGUACCUCUAAUCAUGCGGGGUACCUCUAAUCAGGCCGGGUACCUCUAAUCACGCCGGAUACCUCUAAUCAUGCGGGGUACCUCUAAUCAGGCCGGGUACCUCAGGUUGUGCAUGGUACCUCAGAUUAUGCGGGGUACUUCUAUUUGCGCAGGGUACCUUGAAUUAUGCCAGGUAUCUCAGAUUGUUCGGGGUACCUCAAAUUGUGUGGGGUACCUCUAAUCGUGCGGGAUACCUCUAAUCAUGUCGGGUACCUCGGAUUGCACUGAAGUUAUUGCAUUCGUUGACACGUGGCGUUCUGCUAUCUUUCAUAUUUUUCCCCCAAACAAUUAGUAAAGAGAGCUAAAGAACUAGCUUUAGUUGCGAGUAGGAAGUCAAGAGUCAAGGAGCAGCCAAAGCACUUUUAAUGGUGAUGGGAAAGCUGGAGGGGUAAUGCAAAUAAGUUUACGUUGAUUGGAUAUUCAGAAGAAGUAAUACGCUAUUAAAAGCAACAAGUUUUCCAAAAAGCCAACAAAGACAGACACCAUCACACCACCCCGCACUGGAUGAAAAAAGAUGAAAUCAUGAUAAGUGGCAUCGAGUAAGCCACGUUCUCUCUCUCUCUCUCUCACUCGCACUCGCACACACUGUUACUAAAAUGACCAAAAAAUAAGAUUCCCAUCAAAAUAUUUUCGAGUAUCAUUCUUAAAAGUGACGGCGGCUGAUGAUGAUGAACACAGCCGCGAUUGCGAUUGGCGAAGGCGGCGUUCAACCCGUAUCACAGCUGGUUAUCGGUCGCGGCGGAAAAGAUAAGGAAACGACAGUUGAUAAUGAUGAUGAUGAUGUUGAACAGCCGCGAAGAUGGGUAAGUGAUGCGACGAUGAUUUGAUUUGAUGAAGAUGAGCUGAAGAGGGAAUAAGAGAGGAAAUGUUUGUGCGGCUGGGAAAGUGUAAUGAGCUGCUAGGGCACCAUUUGGGUUUUUUUGCUUUCCUAUUUAUAUUAAAAAUCAUUUUUAAAAAUUAAUAUAUAUCCGGGUCUGAGUUUUGGAUGUACGGGUUUACCUAGACCCGAACACACGCGGGUUUUUAAAAUGACAUCCGGAUCCAGAUUUUAUUUAAUCCGGUACGGGUUGAACCCGGACUGGAAAAUCCGGGUUUCAUCUAGGUCCGGGCCAGGUGCGGGUUGAAUUGCCAUCCUUAUUCGUCACUUAGCAGCUACCACAAUAUCGAAAUGGAAAAACUAAAAAAGCACCAUAGGAUACGCAUAUCCACACAUAUAUAAUAAAACUAAAUAUUAUUAAUAAUUUAGUAUCUAUAUAUAUAUAUAAAGCUGGGACUUGAGGAGGUGAUGUGGCAUCACCAUUUCUCAUCUUUGUAUAUUCUCUAUUAUCUAAUAAAUAGAGAAAUUUUCUUUUAGAUUUGGUUUUUCAUCUUCUCAUAAUUAAUUUGAUUGUUUUUACACAAUAACAAUUAUGUAAAGAUUUUAAUGAAGCAUAUUCUUUGUAAUGAACAUCCAAGGGGGAGUGUUAUGAAUUUAUUAAAAUAAAUGUAGAUGUUCAUAACAUAUAUCUCUUAGUCUCCCCACUAUCUCCCAUUAGCAACCUUUAACUUCCUUAUAACUCCCAUUAUCUCACAAGGAAUUAUGAUCCAUAAUUUUUCAUUAAUUUCAUGGAGUGAUUAUGUAACUAUAAAAGGAGAGCUUAUCUUUUUGUUUUGUACACACACAAUUGGAAUAAAUAAAAUCACUCUAUAAUAUAUUCUCUCAUUUUAUUCUUUAUCUUGUGUUGCUUCUUUAUUUGUAUUGUUGGCUAAUAGCUUUUUUUGUUUUUUAUAAGGCUGCCUCAUCUUAAAAAAAAAUUAAUUCAUAUUUUUUAUCAGUUUCAUCAAGUGUAAAGUAAGAAUAAAAAAAAGGCAAACAUGAAAUUAGAAAAGACUAAAGAGCUAUUUAAAAAAAAAAGCCAUUUAAAAAAAGGAAAAUAGCAAGUUAUUUGGCUAGUUAACUGGCGACAGAAGUAAUGGAAAGAAGCAACAACGGCAGCGGCAGGUCGACAGCGAAGAUUCAGCAGCACCGACCACCCACAGACUGGGAUUUGAUUGCAAAGUUGGGACUUAGGAUUUAGGUUUCUGGCUGCUGAAACUGAAAGCGAGAGAGUAGAAAGUAGAGACUGAGAGUGGUGCAAACAUGUGUAAUUGUGUGUGUGUGUCUAUAUAUAUAUAUAUAUAAUGUGAAAUUACAAAAAUGCCAUUAUAUCAGUUCAAUUCGAAUUUUGUAACUUGUGAUCCGAAAACUGAACCAAACCGAACCAUUUGGUUUGGUAUUUAUAUAUUCGGGUUUUUAAUUUAAAAAACUAAAUUGAAACUGAAAAAACUAAACCGAACCGAAUGUUUUUUUUUGUUUCGGUUCAAUUCUGCCCAUCCCUACUUAGUAGGCUGGGCAUCAAUUUCUUUGAAUUGUGCUUUCAUUGCAGUAAUCUCCUUCUUGGUAAUAGGUUUAAUUGCUUGCUGAUGCCUCAUUUCCUCUGGUAAUAACUAGUCUAACAAGCCAUCAUCGUCAAACAUGUACCUAUUAUAAGCAUCAUCCAGAAUUUGCUCUCUUUGCUUUUUGCUUAGUGUCUUCUUUGCACAAGCUAUUAUCUCAGCUUUUGUAUCAAUAUCUUUAUCUUUUGAUUCACUAGAGGAUGAAUCAUCACCGGAAUAGAGUGGUGAAGGCCCCAUAGAUUAGUGUGGUUAAGUUCUAGUGUAGUUUUGGUUUUGAUUUCAGUAUUAGGAAAAUGAAGCGUAUGAAAUUUACUAAGCUAACAUGCUUCACAAAAGUGCUUUAAUACUUGACUAUGAAUACUUGAAGAGGAUAAAUGAGGAUAAAUAAAUUUAAAUAUACAUUAGAUUUUGAGGGUUGGGAUGUCAAAACUUUUGGUGAAAAAGAGUUAGUACAAGCAUUUUAUUGAGAUUGAAAACAUUUCUUAAGAUGAUCAAUGCUAGCUACAAAAUUGGAAUGAAAAAAAAGGCAACAUAGACAAAGGUUUGUUUAUUUGAUUGUAAGAUAGAAAAGACUUGUAUUUAGGUUGUGGAAAGGAUUUGAGCAGCAAUUUAUACAACCUUUUCUCAGCAAAACCUUCAUCUUCAAUGAAUCCUUCACAAAACAAAUAGAUCCAAGAAAUUCGACAAAUAAAUUGUUGUCAACGGUAAGUUUUGAAAUGCUCAAUAGAUUCUUUGUAAUGGAUGGAACAAACAGUACAUCCUUAAGUAAAAUAUGUCUUAUAUUAUCUUUUUUUAAUUCUUUUUAAAAAAAUAAGUGAAUAAUAGUAUGUCAAUCUCAAAUAUCAAUAUGUACAAUUUUUAUUUGUGUAAGAAUUUGCAUCCAAUAAUCAUCAAUACAUAAUUGUCUUUUAAUUGAAUGGUUCUCACCUCCCUUCCAAACUUUGAAAAGGUAAAAUAAGAUCAAUCAUGUCAGUGGCAAUUAAUAUAAAGAUUACUUUUCUUAUUUGUAGUAAUGUCCUCUGAUUAUUUAGCUGAUUUUCAAGCUACACAUUUAUUCCAUUUGAUGUUGAUAUUAGUAAAAUUAAUGUAAUAUUUAAAAAGGAAAAAAAUCCGUUGAGCUAAAAGCCGAGUAUAAAAUUGAACCGGACCCAAACCAGAAACGCACGCCAACAACAUGCUUGCGUCAGUCGGCCCAUGCCCAUAAACCCACCAAGCCCGAUCCAAAUAGAAAAAUGAAUUGGACAUCCGAGAUAGCAGAAACAGAUAAGUAACGCUCGCGCUAUCCCCAAUCUCAUAUCUUUAACGGUAUCCAGCCAACAUCUCAAAGUGUUCAAUUUGUUUUUAAACCAAAAAAAAAAAUUCAAAAUUUUCAAGCGGAAUUUGGGAAGAUGGCGACGAAAAGCAAGAUUCUGGUUAUCGGCGGAACCUGAUACAUCAGUAAAUACUUAAGGUGCGUUUGAAAUUGAGGUUGAACAACUAUAACUUUAAAACUGCAGCACUAAAAUGUUUGGUAAACACUAACUGUUGUAACUUAAAAGCUAUUUAAUAUAAUUUUUCACUUGUAUAAUAAAAAAUUUAUUAUCUUUAAUAUUUUUGUCAAAAUUAUUAUUUAAAAUAUAUACUGUAAGAGAGAUUGUAACAUUUUCAAUCUUUGGUUUGAUAUUCUGGAAGAAAAUGAUUUGCCGUUUAUGGAGAAAAAGGCUAACCGUUUAAUUCCAAAGAGCAUGUUUUCUGUUCUAGAGAAAACGGCUAACCGUUUUGAGAAAAUGGCUAACCGUUUUGAGAAAACGGCUAACCGUUUAAUUCCAGAGAGCAUGUUUUCUGUUCUAGAGAAAACGACUAACCGUUUGGAUAAAACGGCCAACCAUUAAUUACAGAGAGUAACUUAUUUGACAUUCUAGAAUAAAACGGCUCACCGUUAUUGAGAAAACAGCUAACCGUUUAUUUUCAGAGAGCGUGUUUUUGCGUCAAUUGGAAAAACGGUUAGCAAGCUUGGAAAUUUCAAUUGUCAAUCGAUGCAAACUCAAACCAAAAGAGUAUUUUUUUGAAGAAGUACCAUUUUUAAUGGUUGUAUUCUUUCAAAUAAACAUCUUCUUUAUUAAAAAUAGACAAACAAUUAGAUCAUAAUCAGAUUUUGCAGGUUUCAUAUAUGUUAUGGAAAUACAAUCUUAUUUGCUAGAGAUUGUAUUCAGGAUUUGAUAUAUCUUAGGGGUAAUUUGCCAUUAAAACUCUAUAGCAAACCAAGAUUGGUGAGGGCAAAUAAAACCUUAAAGAAAAGUGUGCAAACACGUCUUAAAUCCUAAGAAAUUUUCUUUGUUCUUUGCCUCCAUAUUCUUAAACUUUGAAAAUUCACCCAUCAAUCUUUAAGGUUUUAUUUUGAUGCAAAUGGAGGCUGAGAAGAGUUUGACGUCAUUUCUUAAUCCUAGUGUCCAUCUCGAUCGUUUUGAUGAAACUAAUUUCACUCGUUGGAAGGGAAAAUUAUUCUUUCUUUUUACUGUUCUUAAAGUGGCAUAUGUUCUUGAUCCGAAAUUGAAACCAUUUCCAGAACCAAGAGAAGAUGAUACCGAAGUUGUUAAGGCUGCAAGGAAACGUCGUAAAGAUGAUGAAUUGAUGUGCCGGGGUCACAUACUCAAUACGCUUUCUGACAUGUUAUAUGAUCUCUACAAUUCUAUGACUUCUCCGGUGGAAAUUUGAAAUGCUCUUGAAUACAAAUACAAAACGGAGAAAGAAAGUACUGACAAAUUCCUUGUCUCUAAAUAUUUUGAAUUUAUUAUGGUAGACACACAAUCCAUUCUUGAUCAAAUACAUGAGUUACAAAUUAUUGUUGCUAAGCUUCGAGAGUUAAAAGUUGAAAUUUCUGAAUCAUUUCAAGUUGGGGCUAUUAUUGCUAAAUUGCCUCAAAGUUGGAAUGAUUAUAGAAAGAAACUCCUUCAUAGUAAAGAGAACAUAACUUUAGAAGAAUUGCAAAAACACUUGGUAAUUGAAGAAGAGACUAGGUCUCGCGAAUCCAAGGAUAAGCAUGAUUCUACUAAAGUUAAUGUUGUUGAAGCUAGUAAAUUCUCAAAGAAUUUUAAAGUCAAGAAUGACAAGAAAUUCAAGAAGUCCAGCACAUAAAAGUUUUCUGGAAAUUAUUUCUUUUGUGGUAAGAAAGGCCAUCGCCAAAGUGAUUGCAGAUUCAAGAAGAAAAAGGAAGAAGUGAAUUCCUAUAAAGCUAAUGUUAUUGAAAACAAAUCUGAAGAGAUUUGUGCUAUGGUUUCUGAAAUGCAAAUUGGCAUGAUUACCGAAACCAAUAUGGCUGAAACUAAGUCCUAUGAUUGGUGGCUCGAUUCGGGUACAACAAUUCAUGUUUGUAAUAAUAAGAAAAUUUUCUUAUCAUACAAAGAAGAAACGGAAGGACAAAUGGUUCUCAUGGGGAACAAUAAUGCAGCCAUAAUAGCAGGGAAAAGAGUAGUUGAGAUCAACUUCACUUCUGGAAAUAAAGUCACAUUGUAUAAUGUCUUUUAUGUACCUUCCGUUAGGACUUAUCUUAUUUCUGCUAGUUGUAUAUGUAAGCAUGGGCUUAAGAUUGUGCUUGAGGGUAAUACUUGUAUUCUCUCAAAGGGUAUUCUUGUGAUGGAAUGUACAAACUCAACAUUAAUAAUAAUAAUAUCAAGUUAGCUUAUAUUGUUGAGUCUUGAGAUGUUUGGCUUGCUAAAUUAGCACAUUUGAAUUUUAGAUCUUUGAAAUACAUGUCUGAGCAUGGUUUGAUUAAUUGCAAUGAUGUUAAAGGUCAUAAGUGUGAAAUUUGCAUCCAAGCUAAAUUAACUAAGAAACAUUUUCUUAAAGCCGAACGAAAUACUCAAAUAUUGAAUUUAAUACAUAUCGAUAUUUGUGAGUAUAAUGGCGUUUUAACAAGAGGAGGUAAAAAGUACUUUUAUCACUUUUAUUGAUGAUUGUUCUAGAUACACUUAUGUGUAUUUACUUAGAACAAAAAAUGAAGCUUUUGAUAAAUUUAAAAUUUUCAAAGCUGAAGUUGAGAACCAAAAAGAUAAGAAAAUCAAAGUGGUUCGUAGUGAUAAAGGUGGUGAAUAUUUCUCAAUUGAAUUUAAUAAUUAUUGUGAAGAAUUUGGAAUUAUUCACCAAAGAUCAGCUCCAUUUACUCCUCAACAAAAUAGUUUGGCUGAAAGAAAGAAUAAGAUCUUCACGGAUAUGAUAAAUUCCAUGAUCCUUAAUGCAAAACUACCAAAUAAUUUGUGGGGGGAAGCAUUACUCACUGCAUGUCAUAUUCAUAACAGAAUUACAUCUUUGAAAACACAUGUAUCUCCUUAUGAAAUUUGGAAAGGAAGAAAACCAAACUUGAUGUAUUUAAGGGUUUGGGGUUGUUUAGCUUUUUAUAAAAUACAUGAUCCUAAAUCAUCAAAGUUAAGUGCUAGAUGUAUAAAGAGUGUUUUCGUAGGAUAUGCUGAAAAUUCCAAGGCUUAUAGGUUGUUAGAUUUAGAUUCUAAUGUGAUUGUGAAAUCUAGAGAUGUUGAAUUUAUUGAGAAUAAAUUUCAACAUGAUUCUAAUAUUGAAUUAGAAUCAAUUAUUGAUCAACCAUAUGUUAAUACUCCUAUUACCUCCACUAACAAUAAUAAAAGGAAAGACUCUAUGACAUCUUUCGAACCAAUGAGGAGUCAACGUGAAAAAAAAGAAAAGAGUUUAGCUCCGGAUUUUAUUUCAUCACAAGCACUACUCUUCUUGGUUGAAGGGGAUAGAAAGAAUGUACUUAACAAAGUACCAUUGUUGUUAAAUAUUGAAAAAGAUCCAAAGACAUUUAGCGAGGCUAUGUCUUCUAGAGAUGCUUCUUUUUGGAGAGAGGCGGUAAAUGAUGAAAUGGAUUCGAUUAUUUCGAAUCAAACAUGGGUCUUGGUUGAUCUUCCUCCAGGAUCUAAACCAAUUAGCAGCAAAUGGGUAUUUAGCAGAAAGUACAAUAGUGAUGGUUUUUUGCAAACUUUUAAGGCUAGAUUAGUAGCCAAAGGGUUUAAGCAAAGAAAUGGUAUUGAUUAUUUCGAUACAUAUGCUUCGGUAGCAAGGUUAACUUCUAUAAGAGUGCUAUUUGCAAUUGCUUCAUUGAACAAUUUGUAUGUGCAUCAAAUGGAUGUUAAAACCGCUUUUUUUAAUGGUGAUCUUGAUGAAGAAAUCUAUAUGGAACAACAUGAGGGAUUUGUUUUGCCAGGAAAUGAGAAAAAGGUAUGUAAGUUAGUCAAAUCACUUUAUGGUUUAAAGCAAGCACCAAAACAAUGGCAUGAGAAGUUUGAUUCGGUAAUUUUAUCUCAUAGUUUUAAGCAUAAUAAUGCUGAUAAAUGUAUAUAGUUUAAAUUUACGAAUGAUUUUGGUGUGAUUAUAUGCUUGUAUGUUGAUGACUUGCUUAUCUUUGGAACAAAUAUGCAAGGAGUAGAUGAUACAAAGAAGUAUUUAACUUCACAAUUUAAGAUGAAAGAUCUUGGUGAAGUAGAUAUUAUCUUAGGUGUCAAAGUGAAGAAAUAUAGUAGGGGUUACUCGUUGUGUCAAUCUCAUUAUAUAGAGAAAGUGCUUCUUAAAUUCAAUUAUUUGAAAUUUAAAGAAGCUAAUACCCCAUAUGAUUCUAGUAUUAAAUUAUUAGAGAAUUCAGGCCGAGUAGUAGCACAACUAGAAUAUGCUAGUGCUAUUGGUAGCUUGAUGUAUGCUAUACAUUGUACGAGGCCUGAUAUAGCAUUUACAGUUUGCAAAAUGUCAAGAUUCACGAGUAACCCUAGUGUUGAACACUGGAAAGCAAUUGGUAGAAUACUUGAUUAUCUUAAAAGGACCAUUAAUUUGGGUUUGUUUUAUAGUGAUUAUCCUGAAGUACUGGAAUGAUAUUCAGAUGCUAGUUGGGUAACCAAUACAAGAGAUAAUAAAUCCACUUCUGGUUGGAUUUUUACAAUUGCUGGAGGAGCGGUUUCUUGGGCUUCAAAGAAACAAACGUGCAUAACUCAUUCAAAAAUGGAAAGUGAGUUUAUAGCACUUGCAGUUGCAGGCAAGGAAGCAGAAUGACUAAGAAAUUUGUUGUUUGAUAUAAUGUUGUGGCCACAACCGAUGCCAUCUAUUUCUUUGUACUGCGAUAGUGAAGCUACAUUGUCUAGAGCUUAUAAUAAAGUGUAUAAUGGAAAGUCUAGACAUAUUAGCUUGAGACAUGAAUAUGUGAAACAAUUAAUAGCAGAUGGUGUUAUUACUAUUGUUUAUGUUAGGACUAAUAAGAACCUAGUGGAUCCUUUAACAAAAGGUCUUACAAGAGACUUAGUUAAGGAUACAUCUUUUGGAAUGGGAUUGAAACCUUUAAAUAAUAAAGUCACCAACGACGGUAACCCAACUAUGUAGUAGUUGUACCGCUACUCCAUAGUUAAAUGGGUAAUAACAAGUUGUUGUUAUGUGACUAGUUUGGCACCAAGUAAUAAAUAAUCACAUUCGAGAUAUUCGGUGCAAAUAACUACGAGGUUGAGGUUGAGUAUUUACUUUUAAUGAAGUUCAAGUCUUAUAGUAGCUAAAGACAUGAUUUGAAACUUCACUUAAGUGAACAUAAGAAAUGGUGCCGUUUCUAACAAGAUCAUGGUUUAAUCUAGUAAAUGUUCAUGAAUCCAAGAUAGAGCACAAGGCCGAAAUAGUGCUAAAUAUUGGAACACAACUUUGAAAAUCUGGGAUAGCUUGUGAUGUAUCUCCGGUAUUUACUUAAGAGACAAAGUUUAAUGCUUAGCACACUAUUGUCUUGUAAAUGCUUUGAAAUACACUCACUAAUUAAAGGUUAAAAUCGAAAGAUAUCUUUUUGUAUGUAUAAGUUUAUCAUUAAUAAAUCUGAAAAAUAUUACAAUCUAGUGGGGGAUUGUAAGAGAGAUUGUAACAUUUUCAAUCUUUGGUUUGAUAUUCUGAAAGAAAACGGUUUGUCGUUUAUGGAGAAAAUGGCUAACCGUUUAAUUCCAGAGAGCAUGUUUUCUGUUCUAGAGAAAACGGCUAACCGUUUGGAGAAAAUGGCUAACUGUUUAAUUCCAGAGAGCAUGUUUUUUGUUCUAGAGAAAACGACUAACCGUUUAGAUAAAACGGCCAACCGUUAAUUACAGAGAGCAACUUAUUUGACAUUCUGGAAUAAAAAGGCUCACCGUUAUUGAGAAAACGGCUAACCGUUUAUUUCCAGAGAGCGUGUUUUUUGCGUCAACUGGAAAAACGGUUAGCAAGCUUGGAAAUUUCAAUUGUCAAUCGAUGCAAACUCAAAACAAAAGAGUGUUUUUUUGAAGAAGUACAAUUUCUAAUGGUUGUAUUCUUUCAAAUAAACAUCUUCUUUAUUAAAGAUAGACAAACAAUUAGAUCAUAAUCAGAUUUUGCAGGUUUCAUAUAUGUUAUGGAAAUACAAUCUUAUUUGCUAGAGAUUGUAUUCAGGAUUUGAUAUAUCUUGGGGGUAAUUUGCCAUUAAAACUCUAUAGCAAACCAAGAUUGGUGAGGGCAAAUAAAAUUUUAAAGGAAAGUGUGCAAACACGUCUCAAAUCCUAAUAAAUUUUUUUUGUUCUUUGCCUCCAUAUUCUUAAAAUUCGAAAAUUCACCCAUCAUAUACAUACUACAUAUUAUUAAUUUUUGUUUUAUAACUAUAGUUUUUUUUUUACCGCAGCUGUAGUUUAAAAACUACAGCACCUCAAUCCCAAAAAAGACCUUAGUGGAAUCGAGCGCAAAAGCCGAUCACCCAACAUUCGCGCUUGUGAGAGACUCCACUCUCUCCACUCCUUCCAAAUCCAAAAUCCUCGACCGUUUCAAAAAUCUCGGCGUCAAUUUAGUUCCUGUGCGCCACUCUUUUAGCUUUCCAAUUUUCCCGCCAAUUUGCUUUUAUUGUGAUUAAUUAAUUAAUUAAAGUAAAGAUUUUAUAUUAUAAUUUUGUUUGCAGGGAGAUCUAUACAGCCAUGAGAGCUUGGUGAGUGCAAUAAAGCAAGUGGAUGUGGUGAUAUCAGCGAUAGGUCGCACUCAAUUAGUUGAUCAACUCAACAUUAUCGCAGCAAAUUGCGAUAACUAAUUACUUGGGAUUUUAAAGAAGCUGGAAAUGUUAAGGUACUGAUUAACCUAAGUAAAUGCGUUAACUAAUUACUUGGGAUUUCAAAUUCAAAUGCGUGAAUUGUUCUCAAAAUUGAUAUAUGUUUAUUAGUCAGAGAUUCUUUCCUUCAGAAUUUGGAAAUGAUGUUGAUCGCGUGCAUGCCGUUGAGCUAGCAAGAACAUCAUUUGCCACCAAGGCUAAAAUCCGCCGAGCUGUUGAGGCUGAAAGAAUUCCAUACACCUACGUAGCUUCCAAUUUCUUCGCUGGUUUGUAUCUUUCCAGUUUCUCACAGCCUGAAGCCACAGCUCCUCCAAGGGAUAAAGUGGUCAUCGUAGGUGAUGGAAAUGCAAAAGGCAAAGCGCUUCUGGAUACAUUUACUCUGUACACGCAAUGUGUGGUUACUGUUUGGAGAUAAAAAAGGAGAUUAAUUAAUAAAGAAAAUGAAAUUAUUGAGGGAUUUGCUGAAGAGUUGCGUGCACUCCUCAUUUUUCUCCACCACUCAUCUUACUUGCAAAAUGCAAUGACCAAACUAUCCUCGCCAAAGCCUAGACAUUUACUUGUGUUCAAAGGCCAUUUAAGGGAGACAAGUACAAAAAAUUAUAAAGGAUAGUGAGCAAAAGAAGAAAAUGGAAGGAGGGGAGAAUAAAAAAGGGGAGUGGGGCGUUAUCUAGGCAGGAUUUUUAUUUUUAUUUUUUUCCUCUCUUCUCCAUGGCAUCUCUUUCUCUCUUUCUCCCACUAAGAAAUUCUUUCUUUUACACUCUAUUUUAUUUUUCUGCAAAUUAUGCAAAAAACUUUUGGUUUUAAGGCAAUAUUUAUUAAGCCACAUGAACUUAAAAAAGCAUGAAUAAGGGGAUGAUUUUAACACAUUAAUUCACCAACAUUAAUUGGAAAAGAUCAGUUGCCACUACGAAUCAGAGUAAUUUCUUCGGCAAUAGCCAAAUAUUGAUAUUUGAUCUUGACACUAGAGUUAAAUGAAUGUAACUGGUUUUGUCAUUUGAUCCCCAGCAUUUUUUAACAAGGAAGAUGAUAUUGGAAUCAAUUCUAUCAAAGCGGUGGAUGAUCCAAGAACACUGAACAAAAUACUUUACAUCAGACCCCGUUGCAGUAUCUACUCAUUCAAUGAUCUUGUGUCUCUGUGGGAGGAAAAGAUUGGCAAAGCCCUUGACAGGGUCUAUGUUACAGAGGAACAACUUCUGAAAAACAUUCAAGGUUAGUUAGAACUAUCACUUUAUCAAGUGGAUAGAUGUAACUGACCGAUAAUGGAAAAUUUUUUCCUUCUCCAAAAUGCGAUAGAAUCUAAUCGGUUUCAACAAUCUCAAGAACAUCUAUUCCUGGUUGUGUUGUUUGAAAUCUGUAUGUAUCAGUUUUCUUUCUAGAUCUCAGAUUGCUCGCAAGGAUGUCAAGUUUUGAUGAUGCUUGCCUCUUUUCCUGUGUUUACAGAAGCUUCAUAUCCACUCAAUAUGCUAUUACCUAUUGGGCACUCUGCCUAUGUCCUGGGAGAUCAGACCAACUUCGAAAUUGAACCUUCAUUUGGAGUAGAGGCAACAGAGCUUUAUCCAGAUGCCAACUACACUACUGUGGAUGAGUACCUCAACCAGUUCAUAUAAACCUUCUGAGAUGAGCAGCAGGAUCCUAACCAAAAAUUGGGUGGUUUCCAUCCCUGAUUCUAUAGUAUAAAGAUAGCGGCUUUCCCUGCUUUUGCCAGUUCAAUGAAGUUUGUUAGAUGAUGUUAUUUAUACUAUACUAGCAAAGAUCAAGUUGCCUUUCUUGUCAAGAAGCCAAGCUCUGGCAUUGGUUUAUGCUAGUUUUUCACACUAAUAUUGGUAUUCACUAAUUUUUUUUUUUUUCAUUUCACACCUCCAUCAUCAGUUGAGAUACCCUCUUGUAUGGUACUAACUUUGAUUUUCCUUAUGCUUCACUUGCUGUCUCUGCAGAUUCGUAAAAGAUCAUUUAUGGAUAAGAUCAUAACAUCAAUAUGAUACAGUAUGCAUUGAGAACUCCCACAUGAGUCUUGUUCUAGUUCUGGUUAGACAUGAAACAUGUUACAGUUCCAUAACUUGAGACAUUGUCAUUCAACAAUUAGCAUCGCAUUAAAACAGUGGCCAAUCCCUAACAGCUACCUUUUGACUCUUCACAUUUUUUUUCUGCAUUUUAUGCGUAUUAAUUAUCCAGACCUAUACUUACUCUUCUCAGCUUGGCCCGUUGGACAGUGAGUGAUGAAACAGAAAAUUUUUCAUGUUUAUUACUUUUCUUGCAUUCAAAAUGAUAAAACCGAAGAGGUUGUUGCAUGCACGUCAUUUGUUAGUAGGGGUAUCAAUUUAUGAACGUAUGAAGUAUCUCUUCUGCACUGGCAUCCUCCUUAACUGUCAGUAGGAUCACAAUAAGUCGACCAACCAUCUACCGUAUGGAUUAUCUAUAAAUUGAAAUUGGUGUGUAUUAUGGAUCUGUCACUCUGCUGCUUCUGUUUUCUUUUCUAUUUUUACCAAGAAAGAAACAUUGUUAAAACUGAAUGGUUGUUAUCUCGUCUUGUUGUAAUGUUGUGUAUGCUUUCUAGAAAAUAAUGAAGUGCCAAAUAUGAAAAUACUAGUGGCUACCUUACCAUCCUUAAUAAGUUGUCUGAUUGUCACCGUCAACAAUCACUCUCAGCAACUCAUAAUCCAUUUAAGCAUAUUAUAAAAUAAUCAAUUUUGUAUUUGCACCAACUUUUAGUUUUAAAUGACAAUUUCGUUGAUCCCCACACUUCUGUACUAAUCAAAUCCACUGAAACUGGACUUUUUUUUCUUUUUUUUUAUAAUUACAUCGAUUGCAUUGGCUAUUGCAGGGAAAAGACUGCCUCUACAGGGAACUAAACUUUCAGAAUUGUUCUUAUGAGGGUUUGAAUAUGCUCUCCUACUAGGUCAAUGGCCUAUUGGUUCGAGACCAUUCACAAAGAAAGAAAUGAGUUUUGCUUGUAUAAAUGAAAGAAAUCCAAAUGAUAACUAAUGUAUAGUGGUACAUGAGAAAAAUAAUUUCAGCCCUUGUGUAAAGUCAAAAAGAGAAAAUAUUAAAAGAAAGGAUAAUGUCAUUGAGUUGGUGAAGUGAAAGAAAAUGAAAAACAUGGGAUUUAGUCAAACUUAGUGUCCCAAUCAGCAGAAAAAGGUUUUAGAAACUCACCUCAAGUUAAGCCAACUAUUAGGAGCUUUAUUUAACCAUAGUUGCCUCAACAAUGACUGAUUCUCUUCCCCCCACCCACAUUGUAGCUUUCUAAUGUAUAGUACUCCAAUACUAAACGGGGGCUACCUCUACGCUUGCAAAUGUAAAUGAAAUUGAGUUCAUGACGCACAAUGAAGUGAGCAAAAUGAGUUGAGAUCUGAGAAUAUAUUAAAGAAAAUAUGAACCGAUGAAUUUUGGUUAAAAAAAAAAAUGCCGGUUCUUCAAGACCUGCGUGUAUUGCGUAAAUUUUGUUAGGAAAAGGAAAGCAUUUUGUCUAAAACGCACUAAAUCAGAUUCAUUUGCUUGAUAUCUAAUAAGGGUGAAUUAACCACUCGGCCAUAGCAAUUAGGGGUGGGCAAAAUACCCGACCCGACCCGAUUCGAUUCGAAAAAAAUCGGGUUCGGAUCGGAUCGGGUUGUAAAGAAAACCCGAUCGGGUGCAUUUGUGUCAACCCAAUCGGAGCAUGAUCGGAUCGGAUCGGGUUGACCCGAUCGGGUUGACACAAAAUAAAAAAAAAAUUAAACCUCAAAUACACACCCCACACACACAGGAACAUAUAUACGCCACACACACUAGAACACACACGCUGGAACACAUACACACCACACACACUGGAACACAUUACACAUACACACCACCCACGCACUGGAACACACACAUUGGAAUACACACACUGGAACACACACACACCACCCACGCCCUGGAACACACACACCACGCCCCCCACGCACUGGAACACACACACUGGAACACGAAGUGAACACCACACACACUGACACACCCACAGCCCCCUGCCGACCAGCAACAUAAUCGCCCACACCCACCCACAAGCCACAGCCUCCCUCUCUCGCAUCCCACUAUCGACGGAAACAAGCGACAGUUAUACAGCCCACUCCAACCGAGGCUACUCCGUGAGAAUGGUGACCCGAUCUACUGAUCUACUGCUACCAAGUACCGGAUCUGCUGCGCCACCUCCACGCCUCCAAUCCUCCGCCAUCACCCGAUCCGAUUCAAGCUCCAUUUGUCUGUUGAGUUUUGAAAGCUUUGGGUUGUUGCUGUAAAUGUGUAGAUCGUGUGUGUGUAAAUGGGUAGAUUGUGUGUAUUUUUUAUAUCCGACCCGAUCCGAUCCGAAUUAUAUUCGGAUCGGGUCGGAUCGGGUUAUAGAUUCGGGUUGAAUUCGGAUGAGUUCUCAUCUAACCCGACCAACCCGAAACCCGAUCGGGUUGAUCCGAACCCGAUUUUACCCACCCCUAAUAACAAUUCAAAUCCCCACAAAAGUAUUAUGGGGGCUAAUUUUCUUCUUUAAUUAUAACAAAUAAUUGAGCGGAGGAUAAGAAUCGAACUGAAAAACUAAAAAAAAUGAAUCCGGCGAUAUUUGCGAACCGGAAACGAGCCAGCGUUAUGCUUAUGUCAUUUCAGAGAUAUCAACAGUCGUGCUUUCAGUCCUUAAACCUAGAAACAUUAUGGCUUUUCUCCUUAAACCUCAAGGGCAUUUUCAUCCUUUCACUCAAGCGUGAAACUGCAUGUAAGCACUGCUUCGCUUACACGCUCCAUGCACAUUUAAAGGCACCACUGUCGGAUAAAAAAUAUCUAUCCAUUUGAUCAUUUCAAAACAAAACGAAAAAAAAAAAAAAAUCUCAGGAAUUGAACUGAACGAGUCUCAGAAAUGGCAUCGAAAAGUAAGAUUCUAUUCAUCGGCGGGACAGGGUAUAUCGGUAAAUUCACUGUCGAAGCGAGCGUAAAAGCCGGCCACCCGACGUUCGUGCUCGUGAGAGAAUCCACAAUCUCUGGUCCUUCCAAAUCUCAACUCCUCGAUCACUUCAAAAACCUCGGCGUCAAUCUCGUCAUAGUGCGUUUUCAUUUUUCUCUUUUCUUAAUUUUUUAUUCCGAUCAUUUUUACACGUCGAAGUGUAGCAUCUACUACUUAAUAUACAUAAUGAUAUUAUUAUUUUUUAAUUUUUUUGGGUUGCUGUUAUUAUUAUGCAGGGAGAUGUGUUGAAUCACGAGAGUUUGGUGAAGGCGAUUAAACAAGUGGACGUGGUGAUAUCAACGGUCGGUCACACUUUAUUAGCUGAUCAGGUCAAGAUUAUUGCUGCCAUUAAAGAAGCCGGUAACGUUAAGGUAUAGCAUAAUUAAUAUUGUCAAUAAAAUUAAAAUAAUUAAUUAUAAACCAAUGGCAUGGACGCAAUUAAUUAAUUGAUGUUGAAUGUGAUUAUUAUUAUCCAGAGAUUCUUCCCUUCAGAAUUUGGAAAUGACAUUGAUCGAGUCCACGCCGUUGAGCCAGCAAAGUCUUUAUUUGCCAUAAAGGCGAAAAUCCGCCGAGCCGUUGAGGCUGAAGGCAUUCCGUAUACUUACGUAGCAUCGAAUCUCUUUGCUGGUUACUUCCUUCCCAAUUUGUCGCAGCCUGGGGCCACUGCCCCACCUAGGGAUAAAGUUGUCAUCUUAGGCGAUGGAAAUCCAAAAGGUAUGAAUUUAGGUCAUUGCUUAUAGCAAAACUGUUGAAAUAACCAUGAUUAAGGCUCCGUUUGUUACUACGGUGUUAAUUUUAUGGCCUAAAAUUGCUGUAGAAUGGAAGGUGUUGCAACCUAACUUACGCUCUGUUCGGUGUGGUUGUUGCAUAGCUGUAACUUAAAGUUAACUGAAAAGUGUUUGAUGAAUAUUUGCAGACUUAACUUUAAACCGAGGUGAUUUUAUCCAACAUUUGUCUGAUUAAAACUUAUGAUCCCUAAGAAGUUUGUCAAAAAAAAUAUAUAUAUAUGUAUAUAUAUUCAAUGGAGCACCUCAAUACUAAAUGAAUCCAUGUAUUCAACUUUGGAUAGACUUUUAAAUAAUGACCAAACACUUUAGCUGUUAAAUUGCCACAUCACAGCUGCAACACAAUAAUUCCAAACGUCUUCAUUGCAAAAUAGUUGAAUGAAUCUAAGUCCACUGGCUUCGUCAUUUGAUUUUCAGCGAUCUAUAACGAGGAAAAUGAUAUUGGAACCUACACCAUCAAAGCGGUUGAUGAUCCGAGAACCUUGAACAAAAUCCUUUACAUUAAACCCCCUGGUAAUAUUUACUCAUUCAAUGAUCUUGUGUCCUUGUGGGAGAGAAAGAUUGGCAAAACCCUCGAAAGGGUGUACCUUCCGGAGGAGCAAGUCCUAAAGAAUAUUCAGG